rnacentral:lncRNA from 1 species
UGCAAACAUUGGUGGUUUAUCCACAAACUUAUUGGAAACUUUUAUAUGCAAACCCGUUUUAUAUUUACAAUUACUAGCAGUGUAUUAACCUACAACACUGGUGGUUCAUCUAUAAUGUUUACUGGCAGAUUUUGUCUACAAACCCAUUGUGUAUUCACAACUACUGGCAGCGUAUUAACUUGAAACACUUGUGGUUCAUCCAUAAACUAGAGUGUCCAGGAUAUAAGAGUUUUGGGGAACUCUUACUAUGAAGUGUAGCGAUAGGGUAGGACCUUUCUUUUCUAUUAAAUUGAAAUUGUAUUACAUUGACACUUAUAAGCAUACUCGAAUGAAUUGUCAAUUUUUUGCUAUACUAUAUGAUUAUUAUUGUACUGAAAACUAUUAUUAUGAAUGUUUGGUUUAUUAUUUUGCACUGAUUCUCUUGUGAUAGAACUCACACUGAGCUUCAUAGUCCACCCCCUUAAUUUCCAUCCUUACAAAUAACCCAUCAAGUUAGGAUGCGGACAUGACACCUGUAACACCCCUAACCCUUAUCCGUCACUAGAACAGGGUUACAGAGCAUUACUGAACCUUACGAAUUAAAUACGAACAUUUCACAACUUUUAUUAUACAUAUCAAGAAUUAGUUAUAAAACACUCAUAUUGUCUCUUAGAUGGACCCUCGAGGCCCAAUAUACACCUUAGAAGUGAAUCGAGACUAAACCAGGUACUCAGGAAAUUUUUCCCAAAAUCUCAAUAAAAUUUUCUUAGGAGCAGGGGACACAUGCCUAUGUGGCCGACCGUGUCAUGUUUUAGGUCGUGUGGGCAUUCGAUAUGAGGCACACAGCCGUGUCUUUACCCGUGUAACUCUCUGACUUGGGUCACAUGGCCAACCACAUGCCCGUGUGCUAGGCCGUGUGCAAGGGCAGGUCGUGUCUCUACUUGUGUGGACGAAAAUAGGCCAUUUUAAGGCCACUUUUCUUACCCUUUUUGAUAUCAACCUAUACACAACAUUUCAAUACAUCAAAUAGCCCCAAUCAAGUAAUCAACACAAGUCAAAACUCAUGUUUUAAACAUAAUAUAUCAUCACAAAUAUCAAUUGCCUAAGCUUACCAAAAUAACUUCAUUCAUCGAUUUACCAAAACCUACUACUAAAUACAUGCAUACAAACAUAUAUAUAAGUCAUUCAUAAUCAUACUUCAAAUUUAACUCUUUUCCAAUCCAGCCCUAUACAUUCCAUAUAAACCAUAAAAUGUAUAACAAAAUCUAUCGGAGCAAACUGGAUAGUGUGGUUCAAUGUGUUGAUCUGAUCCUCCAAACUUCUUGAAAAUCUAUAAAGAACAUUAAACGACACAGUAAGCUUAAUAAAGCUUAGUAAGUUCGUUGGCUUUAAAUAUAAAUCUUACCAAACUUACUAUAAUAAUUCAUUUAGGUAACUCAUUUCACAAACAUUUUCUGCCAAUCACAACUUCGGUUGAUGAAUUCACUUAUUUGAGCUCAAUAUUAAUAAUAACUUAAAUUCUUCCACAGUAAUUCCAUAUGGCACUUACCAGUCCUUGUCAAAUCAGAGAACAUCUUACGGAUUUGAUUACAUCGUAAACAGAAGCCCGAAGGCUGCACAGAAGCACAUAAGUGCUAAACGGAAACCCGUAAGGGUUUAACGGAAGCACAUAGAAGCUAAACAAAAACCCAUUAGGGUUAAACGAAAACAUAUAUGAGCUAAUUGAAGCUCAUUAGAGCUAAACGAAAAGCAAACAUGAAAGUUCGCAACAAACGCUGAACCUCGGUUUACUUGGGUAAUUUUUUGUCAAUUCCUCAUUUGCACUGAACGACUGUACUCAAUCACGCGUUCCAUUCGUUUUGAACAUUCAAUUCAAUUUCAUAACUUUAAUAAUAAAUUUAUUUUCAACAAAUGAUAUGAAUAAAUAAAUAAUAUCAUUCACCAAUUAGCAUAUAACAUUAAAAUUUAACCAUACGAACUUACCUGGAUUUGAUGUAAGUUUGUUGUAGUUCAAUGAUUAUUCAAUUAAUUUCCCUUUUUCACAUUGAUCUACGGGAUCUUUAUUUAAAAUGUAAAAUUAUUCAUUCAUUAGCACAUAUUUCAAUUCUAAUUCAUUUCACAAUUUAUACCCCUCAAUUUUUGAAAUUGCACAAUUACCCUAACUUUUAUAAUUUUUUUACAAUUUAGUCGCUCACCAAUUAGCCCAUCAAAUAAGCUAUUUUUUCUCAAUUAACACUUUAUCUAAAUAUUAUAAGCUAUUACACAGCCUUUGAUAAAUAUAAUUUAAUACCAAACCCUAAGAUUUAAUCUUUUUCACAAUUUGGUCCUAAAAUCAAUUUCUAUUGAAAUUACUUGAUAAAAUCAUCAUAUAACAAAAUUAAAGCUUUAAUUCCAUGUUAAUUCAUCAUAAACAUCCAGAAAUAAUCAAUGUUAACUUUCAAAAUUACCCAUAAAAUCAAAAACUAAUGAAUUGAUAGUUGGACCUAAUUGCAAAAGUCUUAAAAACACAAAAAUUUCAAGAAAGAGCAAGAAUUAAACUCACUUGUAGAAAAAUAUGAAAAACCAGAUUUUUAAGGGUUCUUCAAUGGUGUUUUUGGCUGAGAAUUAUGAAGAAAUGUCUAGAUAUUCAAUUAAAUCCCAUUUUUAACUAUUAAGUUUUAUUUCAUUUCCAAUUUUACCCCUUGUUCACAAUAAUUUCAUGAUUUUUUUUGCACUCAUGCCGUCCAGCCUCUUAUUUUAGGUUUAUUUACCCUUGAAGUCCCUCCUCAUUUAACAUUUAGGCUAUUUUAUCACGUUAGCAAGUUUUGCACAUUUUUCAAUUUAGUUUUUUUUAAUUAAUUAACUAUCGAAACAUUAAAAUUUUCUAAUGAAACUUUAAUACUAACUUAAUAACACUCCAUAAAUAUUUAUAAAAAUAUUUACGGCUCGAUUUAUUAAAUCGAGAUCUCGAUACUUCGUUUUUGAAACUAAUUAAUCUAAUAAAUACUUCUAAAUCAAAAAUUACUAAUUCAAAAGUCUUCUAAAAUCAUACUUGACUCAUAAAUAAUAAUUAAUAAAAUUUUUAAACUCACUCGUCGGAUUUAGUGACCUCGAAUCACUGUUUUCGACACUACUGAAAAUUGGGUUGUUAUAACAUCUGGAGGGUCUCGGCUCGGUUUUGUUUGUUAAGAUAUUUUUAUUAUUUAGAGACUAUAUUAUUUUAUUUUGAAAUGUGACAUGAGACAUAGGAUUUGAGAUUUUAUAUAUUUAUUUAUUUAUAGCUUGCAUGACAUUUAAUUUGAUUUAGGAUAUCGAAUUAUGAAUAUGAAUUAGUUAUGCAAGAAUUCCGAUUUUUAUUAAAAAUAUAAAUAGAUAUCAUUUUUCUGUUGCUAAACUAUAAUUAAAAUAUUGGGUAAUAAGUAAUUUGGUAAUUAACUAGGUUUUCAAAAAGUAGUCACCGUUACAUAGCUUAAUUAAAUUUAAACCGGUUAUUGACAACUCGUAAAUUUUUCUGAAAACAGACUAAAUUUUCUUCUAGAAUAAACAAAUAUUUUAAAAUAAGCACUAUUUAUUAUUAAAACUAAUGUAAGAUAUUAAUUAUUAUAAAAAAUUAAUCAUUAUAAAAUAAAUUCCAUCUACGAAUUUUAUGAUAAAUAUAAUUUAUGUUGUAUUAUUUUACUAAAAAUAUUUUUUUUAAAUGAAAUUUUUUUAUUAAAUAACACAAAAUAUUUUAUAUAGAACCAUCCAACACAAAAAAAAAAUUAUUUUUCAAAAAUAAAUAAUUUUUAAUGAAACAAAUAUAGCUAAAGAAAGUAGAUAUUGUAACCAUUGAAGCCACACAGACAUGGAUAUUGUGCUUUAAAUAUUUUACUGAAAAUUGGCUAAAAAAUGUUUAUUGAAAGAAAAAAAAAUUACAAGAAAAAGUAUGGGCCCGACUUUACCACUUGCUUUGCAAAUGAGCUCUUGUUCUGGUCCUUGUCCCCCAUUGCUGAAUGGCAACAUCAAGCAACCUCAAAUUAUUAUCUUAUAGAUUUGAUUCAUUCCAAUCCGAUUAAUGAUUCAUAUAUGCCCCUCCCAUAAACAAAGGAUAUAGUAUUGUUAAUUUCUUUACAACCCCUCAUUGACUCUUUUACCAUUCAAUUUUAGUCCAUAUUGCUGCAAUUCAUAUGUAUAUAGAUAACCCUUGUUUAUUUUCUGGGUAUAAAAGUUGAAGCAGGAGAGAAGCAUAAAGGUAUAAAGGCAAAUGCAUGGGCUAGAUUGGUAUGGUAAGCUCAAGUCCAUGCAAAUUCCAUAAGUGAGCAUGGGAAUGAAUCUGACAAAUGUUGGUGAGUAAUACUGGAAAGAAGAAUCUGACCACAACCACCUUUCUAAAGGGAGAAAAAGAAAUUUUACAAUAAAGUUUAAAGGAUGAUAUGUAACCGUAUUUAUAAAAUUAAUAUCAUAUAUUGGUAAGUGUGGUAGUCUAUUAUGAUGAUAAUAUAUAGUAUUAUCUGCAGGUUGAGGAGCAAUGAGACAAAGCACUUGAAUAGUAUCUUUUGAUGUUAUUGUGGGACUUACAGUAAGUACUAUUUGCUUGCCUCUUUGUGUCCUCUAAUGGUAUCUCUCCCUUUCUCUCUCCACUCAUUGAUUUGUAGCUAUUGAAACACCGGAAGAGCCCAAAAAUCAACAAACACUUGUUACUGUAUUAUCUUUUUCUUGCUUUUUUGGUUUGCUGAAUUCUCUGACUUUGCACCCUCAUACCCAUCUCUCUAAACCUCUGCUUUCCCAUAAUUGUACACCUCCUCUUCUAUCUUAUCUCCUCCUUUUUCAUCUUUAACACUCGCUGUACUAUUUGUGGUAGAAAAAUAGCAGAAAAACACAAAAACACCCACAGGUUUAUAUACUUCUUUGUCUCUUCAUACUUCAUCUCAUACCUUACAGAUGUAUUAAACCACUCAAACCUUUGUUUGUUGCUUCGAAAGAUAUUCCAAGUAAGAAUCUUUUUCACCAUCUUAUAUAGUUUAUGGAUUUGGUUUUUCUUUUUUUUUUGUUAGCUUUUGUUUUGUGUUACUGAUUUGAAGCUGCUGUUUUGCACUGUUAUGUUAAGCCUUUUUGAAUUUUCAGCUUGAUUUGGUUUCAUCUUCUCUCUUUUUUUAAUGACUUUUAGAGUGAUUUUGUUUGCAUUUUCCAUGUUAAUUCUAGCUGCUAUUAGUUUGUGAAAAAUGGUUCUUUCAUUCCACUGUUUCUGAUAGAGAUUUGGAGAUGAAAUUAACUUAACAUGAAUCUGAUGAAGCACUUUGAACAGACUUUUAGGGUUAUGAAAAAAAAAGCACUUUCUUAGGCAAUUCUGAAUAGCUUUCAUCAGUUUCAUGCAUGUCAGCUGAUUCCUCAAACCCUCAUUUCUUUAGUAUCUGAAUUUGACACCUAUUUGGUCAUAUAUGAACAGCUAUUUAUACUUUAAUCAUGAUUUUGAGCCAAAAAGUGAAACGAAAAUAAAAUUUGAGUGUGUUUGGUAAAGAAGGAAAAGUAGAAGGAAAUGAAAAUGAGAGAGAUGGCUAUUUCAAUGCAUGAAACUUAAUGAGAGAAAAUUCGUGGGAAAAAAGUUACCAAGCACACCAAUACGAAUCCUUACUUAUUAGACAGCUAGUUCUACGAUUAGCUUGAACCCAUUGUAUUAAUGUAGCCUACCGGAAAAUUCUAAAUCCAGUUUCAUUCAAUGUCAUGCUCUAGAAGGGAAUGGAUAUCAUGUCAAUUUUGUUUCUUCCUUAAUGUUUACUCUUUGCACCGUGAUUGGUUCUCUUUUUUUUCAAUUCCAUUAGCUUGAAGAUCAACAGUUUUGUCGCUCGUUGAUCCAUUAGUGGAUAAUUGGAUCCUUUUUGUCCUCAUUUAUAGGAUUUUCUCAUUUCAAAUAAGAGAAGUUGGAGAUAAAUCAUAGAUACCCUUCAUCAUGUUAGCCGGAAGUAAGACCUAUUUACCAUUGGUUAGCAUUAUGAACUUUUAUGGCUGCACGAUGCGUGUGAUUGUUUAAUGUUUACGGACUUGUAUUUAUGGAGAUUAUUACAUGUAUCACUUAGUUAAACCAUACUGUCCAUGUUUCCAAGGUUGGAUUUUUUUUCUUCAAAUGGAAGUUAGCAUGCUCAUCAUGACGGAUUACAUAUGACAAGCUUGAGAGACCAGAAUAUACUGUUAAAAUGAUGUGUUAUCGCAAACACAUCGGUUAAAUCUUGAAUUGCUUGUUGUCUUAUAAUCAAAUUGGAUUUUUCAACCAAUUUGAAUUGAUGUUAAAUUAUGCAUGUUACUCAUGUCUAUUAGUCCGCCGUGCUUGCCGUUAAAUCCUGGAUUGCUUAUGGUUUUAUGUUUGAGUUUGGUCUCUGCACCUAUUUCUAUUUGAUUUUACAUUGAAUGCUUAACAUAUAGUACGUGCAUGACAACUUCGGCCAAUUGCAUCUUUCUUGCUCACUUAAACUUUAGCCAAUGAUUCAUUUCUUUUGGUAUGUGCAGGUGUUGAAGAGCUAUAUAAUUAGUACUGCAGCAAUCCGUACCGGGUAUCAAAAGGAACAAGCACAAAACUUGCUGCUUUACCGAGAAUGACACUGCCGAAUCUUGGGUUAGAAUCUGAAAACGAUUCCAAUGCAAGUAGCCAAGUCGCUUCCAACAUAUCUGCACAAGAGGCAUCCACUGAUCCCUCGAAGGAUACCACAACCACUACUUCAUGCCUCUCGAAUCCUGUAAAGGUUCAACCAGAUCCAGGGUCUGUUUCCCUUGACCUGACUCUGCACUUCAGUGCCAAUGAUGCUGAGAUGAAGGGUGCCACUGGUGAGACUAUGGGGAUCAACACUUUGUCAACACCGAGGGUUUUCUCUUGUAAUUACUGCAGGCGCAAGUUCUAUAGUUCACAAGCACUGGGUGGACACCAGAAUGCUCACAAGAGGGAGAGAACAAUGGCAAAGCGUGCGAUGCGGAUGGGGUUAUUAUCUGAUAGGUAUACAAGCUUAGCAUCUCUGCCUCUCCAUGGUUCGGCAUUUCGGUCCCUUGGGAUCAAAGCUCAUUCCGCUAUGCACCAAGGAAUGUUGCCAUCAUCCCAAAGACCUGUAGAUACAAGAAGUGGAGCACGGUUCGAUCAAGGGUGUUUUGGGAUGCCGAUAUUCAUGGAAGAUGAGGAGGUAGACUUGUAUUGGCCAGGGAGUUUCAGGCAGGUGAAUGAAGAAAGAGUUGGGAGUAACCAAGCUAUGGAAUUGGGUCAAAAUCCAACUCAAAGUUCAAAUAUAGGUUUUAUAGCAAUGGCAACACCACCAAGAGCAGAUGCAUCAUCUCAAUUGGAUCUCACUUUGAAGCUCUAAUAAUUUUUGAAGUUUACUUGUCAAUUUCAUCCGAACCUGAUACUGAUUAUGUUAGCUCACUCUUGUACAGUGAGGUGCAUUAGCAAUAGCUGCUACCUCCUAUCAUUAUUUUUGCUAGAUUCCUUUAAUUUGAUAACUUUUUCUUUUUUAAACCUUUAUCUGUACCCAUGUUCGCUGCCGAUCAGCUACGUUUGGUUAUGAAAUGAAAGCUAUAGCCUUUCCCUGUAGCAUCAUUUUACUAUUCUGACAAGGUGAACUUACUCACCCCAACACUCCAACCCUUGCAUUAGCAAAGUAGAGACUAAAUUAGAUGAAAUGAACUGAUUGACCAAAUCGGAUUUUCAAACAUUGAAUGGUUCAACUUAGAUUGAAUUUCUUGUUUUUCAAAUUAUUGAAAUUCAAUUUGUAUGACUUGAAACGUUGAACAUUGUUUGAAGAACAAGGUUGGAUGAAUGAUGACUCGGUGUUGGAUAUCUAAGAGUGCUUUUGGAUGGACAGUGCUUUUAUUUUCUGUAAGGUUAAAAACAACAAUGGCGAUUGUGAGAAUAUUUUACAGCAUCAUAGCUACUGCCCAUGCAAAGGCACCUACCCUAAAAGUGAAUUAAGUGUAGUUUUAUCGAUAUUAUUAUAAUGUUUUUGACAUAAACUAGAAAAUUAAGUGUUGAAUUUAAGUUAAAAAAUAUGUUUGGUGUAUUAUUUAAAAUUAAAUAUUGAAUAUAUUUAGAUGGUUUGAUAAAAGGAUAAAAUAAUCCAAAAUAAAAUAAAAACAAUUGCACGUACUCUCUAUUAAGUGAUAAGUAGGUCUUUAUUUACUUAUCAUUUUUUCCAUACUUUUUUGUAGAAAAAAAAAUCUAUUUAAUUGUUUUCAUUGUAGGCUAUCAAGGGCGUUUUUAAAUGUAAUUUAGUAAAAAUAUUAAUUUAGGCCGUCAACCUUUAAAAAGUCGAAUUUGACUGUCAACCUUUUUAAAAAAAGUUGAAUUAUUAUUUUUUAAUGGAAAUAUUGACUAAAAAGUUAAAUUUUUAAACAUGUCAGCCCACAUGGAAAUACUCAUGUACUUCAUGCUAAAUUCUUUUUUUUUUUAAUUCUUUUCUUUUUAUUUUUUAUAAUAUUUAUUUAUAUGACAUAUGAGACAUAUAAUGACAUGUCAACAUAAAAUUCACAUGGAUUGUCACACGGAUUCUCAUGCCGACAUUAUAAAAAAAACUAAUAUUUUAGUCAAUAUUUUAUUUUAAAAAAAUAAUUUAAUUCUUUUUAAAACGUUAAUAGUCCAAUCUAACUAAAAAAUAAAGGUUAAAUGACAAAAAAAAUAUAAGAUUUAAAGGAUAAAUUUAUCAUCAUACAAUUAAUUAUAAGAUUAUAAUAAUUUGAUUUAAAAAAAUUAAAAUUAUCAAAAAAUUAAUCUAUUCUUGUCAUCAACUAUUUCAAAAAACUGUAAAUAUUUUAUAGAAAAACAUUUAUAAUUUCAGUCACGGACUGAGCAUGCACAAGAGAACGCAAUUUGAUAUAAAAAAAAUGAAAAAUAAAACUCUUAAAUCACGAGAUAUUGAUUUUAUGGAUUGAGCCAAUAUAUAUCAUUCAAAAUUACACGUUAGAAAUAUAUAUACCUUUAAAUUGCCAACUUGUUGCAUCAAUGUAACAACAAUACCGUGUUGACACUUCACAUUUAUAUCUUCUUGAAUUUAGAUGAGCGAUGUGUUUAUCUGUAAUUGGUGUUAAAAUAGUAGUGAAUGUAAGAUUAGAUACUAUAGUGAUACUAUAACGUGAAUAAAAAAAUAAGCUAGACGCACCACACUACAUCUUACCGCCUAUCCAAACCCACCCUUAAUUCUUAAACAAAACCAGGUUAUUUGUUCAUAUAUAUAUAUAUAUAUGGAGGUACCUCUUAAUAUAUCUAAAUGUAUUUUAGACUUAAUAGGUACUUAAAUUUAGAAAGAAUAAGUUAAUUUGGUAAUUUUUUAAGUACUUAAUUAAUAUCGUUAAAAUACAUUGAUAUAGCACUAACUAUCAAUAGAAUGGUGACUGAUGGGUGUCGAAACCACUAAAUAAAAUAAUUCCUACAAUAAAAUAACUCUAAACACUAGUAAAGAGUAGUAAGGUCGAGUUCACAGGGAUUGAAUAUUAUGAUCAACUUCUGUGUUUUUCUUGUGAACAAAAUUUCGGUCGAGCUGAUAGUCGUGGUAAUAGUCGUGCCCACGACUCUAAAUGGACUUGCUGAAAAAUAAAUAAAAUAAAUUAGGGGAGUUGGAAAUGUCUAGAAAUUAACUUAUUGAGAUAGCAAAACUAAGCAAUUAAAGAAAUCGAAAGUAAAAUUAAAUUAGAAAAUGAAUUUGGGUUUUGCAAACAUAAUUAUAAAGCCUUAGCCUUAGACUCGGUGAAGUCUGGUUUCUGAAUCGAUCUUCGAAAAUUAGUUUUCUUCUUAAACAAUAACUUGGUUAUAGCGGCUAAGAACGUCCUAACCGCCAAUUCUUCCUCUCGUAGUUGAUUCCAGUACGACCUGCAAACCAACCCUUACUGAUUAUCUAACUACAAUAUCGCGUUCACGAUUCAAGACUCCGGUAGCCUUGCGUUCUGAAGAACCCAACUCGGAUUAACAGCCUUAACUGUGCGGGUCGUUUAAAUCAGAUCAUUAUCUCCCUUGACGAAAAUCUCACUAGUAUGACCUCGCUAGGACACGCCAAUUUGUUCGCAAUAAUCCAAACAUAGCACGGCCAACUCGUCUUCCCAACUAUAAGCUAAAACGACUCCAACCCAACACGCACUUUGUGUUAAAAUCGAGUUAACUUUAAGGGAUGAAUUUGUCAAUCCCAAUAUUCCGGAGAGGCAGUGAAUACCAUUAUGAAAGAUUUUUAGUGCGGGUAUAUUUCUCUCGAUUCUUAACCGAAAAGAAUACCAGCCUAAAACUAAGUAAAGAUUUAGUGAAACAUGAAAUUAGUCAUGCUUUUGUUGGUUUAUGGAAAUAAUUUUUAAGGAAAUGGUGAAAGUUGAAAAGAAAAGGGACUCAGAAAGCAAUUAAACAAUUUUGCAAAGAAACAAGGAAAUGGAAAUGGAAUGACAGUAUGCUACUCACGCGUGAAAUUGGAAGGGAAAAUUCAAUUCCAACUGAAUUCAAAUGUGUCUUUUCAAGUGUACCAUACCACUUAAUUUAUACAUAAAUCAUAUACUAAAAUUAGGCUAAUUCCACCUACUAACUAAUUACAUGAAAAAUAUAAUAUUAUGUUUUCUAAAUUUGGCUUUUACAAAGUCAAAAAAAAAUCUGAUCAGCCCUUUAAUAUUUCUAAAUUUCUAAUUUGGCCACUCUUCUAUUGUUCAUGCUCCAAUUGAAUCCUUUUCUACUCGUUUUUUGCAUUAAAGUAUCCGAAUUUCGUUACUGACAAGAUUUAAACAUAAAAUUCACCAAUUAGCAAUAGUUAAUUCAAGAACAAGUUGAUUUGAGCACGUAAAAUAUGCAAAAUAAACAUGCUAUCAGUGACACGUAACAUCCUCUAAUAAAAAUAAAAAUAAUUAAAAUUAAAAAAAAUAUUUUGUUAUACAUGGGGAAUGAACUUAGACAAAUAGUUGUCCAGAUUCAGAUGAACUAGACAACCAUCGGUCCAAGUUCAUUUUAGAUAUAUAUAUAUUUUUAAAUUUUUUAUAACAUAUCAAAAAAAAAUUUAUACUUGAUUGAGUUUUAGCUUAGUUGGUAUUGGUAAAUGUUACAAAUGGAAGAGGACAUGAAUUCGAAUGCAUUGAAAUGCGUUUAUCUUCUUAUUUAUCAAUUUUUAUUACCACAUUAUUAUUUUAAAAUUAAAAAUAUAUAAAAAAAUAGAAAUUUAUAAAAUAUUAGAAAUGUUAUUUCACCCAUUUAUAAUAUAAACACCAAAUUUAAACCAAUUUUUUUUCAACUUAAGGAGAACUUAAUUCUAUAUUAUAGUCUACAAAGAAGUUGUUUUCUUUUAUUCGAAAAUUUAAUUAAUUUGAACCCAAUUUAAAUUUAUUAUAUCAGUGCUAGAUAGUUCAAAUUAGACCUGUCCAUGGGCCGGGCGGCCCGGCCCUACCCGAUGGCCCUCCUGAAAUAUGGGAGGGUUUGGGUAAAAAUAUAGGCCCGAAAUAUGGGCUUGGACAAAAUUUUAGGCCCGUUUAAAAAAUGGGCCAGGCCUCGAGUAAGAUUUUUUUGCCCGAGCCUGGCUCGGCCCGGCCCGAAAAUAUUAAAUAUAUCUUUUUUAUUUUUAAAAUAUAAUAGUUUUUAUUUUAAGUUUAUUUACUUUCAUUUCCUUGACUAGUGUUACAAAAUAAUAAUAAUAAAACAUCAAGUUUAUUUUACUAAUCAAAUGUUAGAUUUUGUUACAACAAUUAAUACAGUUAAUACAAUUAAUAAUUUGAUAAAUUUACUAAUCAAAUUUUAGAUUUUAUUACAACAAUUAAUACAAUUAAUACAAUUAAUAAUUUGAUAAAUUUACUAAUCAAAUGUUAGAUUUUAUUACAACAAUUAAUACAAUUAACAAUUAAUAAUUUGAUAAUUUUACUAACAAUUAAUUUUAAUAACAAUUAGUUUUAAUUUUAUUAAAAAAACUAAUUUUAAUUUUAAUUAAAAACGGGCCGGGCCGAGCUCGGGCCUCGUAUUUUUUCUUCGGGCUGGGCCUGGGCAAAAUCUCAGGCCCAUAUUUUGGGCCGGGCCCGAGCCUAGUAAACGGGCUGAAAAUUUUGUGGGCCCGGCCCGAACCCGGCCUGGCCCGGCCCAUGGACAGGUCUAGUUCAAAUAUAACUCUAGUUACAACUUGGUUUGUAUAUGAUAAAGUAAUGUAAUUUGUUAUAUUAGUUACACUUGGCACUUGGACAAUAGAUAAACAAAUAGGGGACACAAGGUCUGUUUACGCAAUUCAAUUUCCCUAUGUUUACGGAGCCUAACUCAGUGAGACAUAUUCACUAUCUUCCAUGCUUACAACAAGUGAUCCUAAAUCUAUCACACACUCGUGACAAUUUCUUUACUUUUGCACCUUGAAGACUAAUACUGUCAUCGCUAAAUUUACCCAUUUGAAUUCAGCAAGUAAAAUCACAACACAAUAGGUUUUGCUAUCACAAUGCACUCAUAAAAUAAAGUUCCUCACUCGAACAAAUUAAAUGUUAUCUCUCUCUAUACAAUAACUUAUACAAGUCUCUCAAUUAUAUAGAAUAUUUCGAGACUUACUUACAUAAAAAAGAUCUAUCACAAUCCCUAUAAAACAACAAUAAGAUAAGCUGAAUAUAAUAAAAUAAUAAUAAACAUUCAAUCCAUUCCAAUAUCCAUGAUCCAAGCAAUUAGAUAAGGGUGAUCUGAUGCGAUCUACUCUUCCAAAUAUGUUUCCCCAAGUGAUAUGAUCUUUAAUGAUGGGAUAAAUGCAAUCCGCAUAAUCAACAUAACCCAUAAUUUCGAUUCAAUAAAUUGCCAACAACACAAACAUGAAAACUGCACACGGUGUCGCUAUUAUUCAGGGAGUGGGCACUCCCUCAGGCACUCCUUUAUACUUCCCAUAUUUUUCAACAAAAGAUAUUUAAUUUGUCGAGGAUAUUAUAUAGAAAAGAUCUUUGUUGAUUUAACUCUAUGUUGAAGACUUGUAUUGAGUUGAAUUAAAUGAAUUAGAGAUUUACAUUAAUUGUAAUUGAGAGAGCACUUAUUUGUUUUAGUGGGGAGUUUGUUUUUAGUGCAAAAUUAGUAUAAGCAAGUUGCUCGUGUUGUUCAAUUUGUAACUAAACUUUAAAGGAAGAAAGUCUUAGCGGGAGAGUGACUUAGACUUUGUAUAGGAGUGAGGUUGUAACUUGGUGAGUAAUUUAAAUUCAUAUAAUUUUUUUGAAAAAUAUCUUUAUAUAAAAAUUUUAAAUUAUUUUUACUAAUUUAAAUAUAAAAUAUUUAAUUUUACAUUCCGCCCCAAAAAGUACAAUUGAUUGCGCAAAGAAUAUUAAUUAAUUUUUGGUUUUAGGGUUUUUCGAGGUAGUUUACGAAUUUAGAGGAAAAGCAAUGCAAUACUUUACAACGAAGCACACUUUGUCAUGAGAUUCUCGUUUUAAAUGAUGCCUUUCUUCACGAAUAUAUAUAUAUAUAUAUAUAUAUAUACAUAUAUAUCAUAUUAUACCUUCAUUACAAUAAUCAAUAAGUAAUCCUUGUUCAUUGGUGGGAAAAAAAGUAAUCCUUGUUCAUUGAUGAAUUUUUUAAAACUUAAAUUAGAUUAAGUUUAAAUUUAAAAUAAAAAAAUUAAUUAUGUCAAUCAGUUUAAAUUAUGAUCUAAUUACUAAAUAUCUUAUUUAAAUUUAAUAAUAAAAUUUAAAUAAUUUUGAAUUGUAAAAUUAACUUUGGAAAAUAAUUAUUAACUUUAGUAAAUUUUUUAACUGAUUUGGACAUAAAUAGAGGAUUAUGUAGUCAAAUCUUUUAAUUAGAGUGUUUGUCGAACAGAGAUUUGUAAGUGUUUUAUGAGUUAAAACCUCAAACACAAAAAAACGCAAGGAUGAAUAACUUUUUUCAUAGUUAAUUGGGAGUGAGAUAUGUGGAAUGACAUAUCUGAUCAUGCUUACUCAAAAAUUACUCCCUUUGCCACAUGCUCUCAAACCUAAUGUGGGUGUCAAUAUAUGAGUAGCCUCUGUUCUAAAAAAAAUAUUUACUACUUAAUUUAUGUAUUCUUAAUUUAUUUUCAAUUUACUUGUGUAAAAUAAUUUCUUAUGCAACUUAAGAAAUUUGCAAAUAAGAAACUUGAGAAUUUUGUUUUAAUUCCUAUAAUGGACGUGUUUAAUUCCUUGGUAAUAGUAUUUUAUUUCAACAAUUUCUCCCAAUAAAAAUUAAAGUAUUAUAAACAAAUAAAUACAUAUAACUAAAAUAUAUCAUGCCCUUAUUUGUCAUUUUACACAUGUUAACUUUCAGUUACCGAUUAAAUUUUACCGAAUACAUGUAAAUAAAUACUUUAUAAAAUCAGUUAAUCAAACCAACCACUGAACCAGCAAUAAGCAAAUUACCAAAAAAAAUAUUAUAUUUGAGUUGCUUGUUCGUGACCUAACCUAAUCUAAGAUUGUGCUUGUUUUUGGUUGCCCAAUAUUAAAUAAAUAUAGCAUCUUCCUUAAUCCUUAAAGUCAAUCAACAUUAACAGUUAAUUAAAUAAUUAAUAAUAUAAAAUUGUAUCUGACAGAUAGACAGGACAGCUAAGUUAAUUUGAAAUUUUCGAAGCAUAUCUUAUUUGGUAAUAUGGUCCAAACCAAAUAUCUUUUGCGGGCAUUAGCUCUUGGCGAAGCAAAUAAAAUAUCCUUAAUCUUUAUUUUAUUCUAUUUUUUUUAACAUUAAUCUCGUUAUAGGUUUUUGUCAUAUCUGUUCUUUUUUAUACAACGUCUAGAACUACUCAUAACCUUUCUCCAACCCUUAAAUAGGAGGAUAAUGCGCUUCAACGCACUCGAACCCACUUCCUACUGCGCCGACAAUAAUACCGAUGUCAAUCGAGCUAAAACUCAAUCGACAUGUUUAUUUUAUUUAUUUAUUUUAUUUGGUGAAUUAUAUAACGAGUUUUCUCAUUUCAUAAUUCACACUAGUUCUUAAUUACAUAUUAUUUUUUUUAAACUUUACUUUGAAAUGUUAAAUCUUACAAUUAAAUUUUGCGAUUAAAAUUAAUCAUUAUAAAAUACGACCAGAUUGAUAACUGGAAUAAUAUUUAUACAAUACUAGCACAUAAUAAAACUUAAAUUAAAAUAAAAUCUGAAUUAAAAUCCACACGUACAUUAUAUUUAGAAAUGGUGGAUUCAAACUUACGAUUUCAAAAUUAUCAAAAUUUCAAUCUUAUCCUUAAACUAAAGCCCCAUUGACACCACUUCUAAUAAAUAAAAUAUUAAAAUAUGUCUUAGGUCAUUAUACUCUUUAGACAUUUAGAAUUUAGUCUCUUUACUUUUCUCAAAUUUCAAAAUUCUUUUGUUAAACUCACUAAUGUGACACUUUAACAUAAAUAAAUAAAAAUGUUAUAAUGAACUUGCAUUUAAUAAAAGAAUUUUAAUGAUGAUAAUAAUUGAAAUUGCAUUUUAAAAUUCUAAAAAUAGAGGGACUGAAUUUCUUAAAGAAAAAAUAGAUGGAUUAAAUUUCAAAUGUAUAACGACUACAAGGACUUGAAUCAUAGUUUAACCAAAAUAAAACCAAAAGCAUGUAGUAAAAAAAAACAUAGUGAGUGAAGCAGAAAGAAGACAUAAAUAAAGUAUGAUUCAAAUUUGAAUGAUUUUCUAAGAUAAUUAAUUAAAUAAAUGUGUGGACAUCAAUUUUGUUGCACUUUAUUGUGUUGGGUGAAUGUGGGUCAUGCUUUCAUCUUUGCCAAAUUUCAAUGGGAAACAAUAAGAAACAAAACUUUGGGGGAAUGGGGGGAAGUUUAUUGGACCAAUGCAAUUUGUCAAGUAGAGUGCAACUUGACAUGGAAUAGCAUGUCAUAUUAUCCUUUUCAAACACCAUAUUCAAUUUAUUUAUUAAAUCUGUAUUAUUUGAAUCCAUAUAUCAAUUUAAAUAAAGAGAUUAAAUUGAUCCUUAAAUGAAUGGUUCGAAAUUUAUAAGAGGAUAUAUGUGUUUCAACACGUUUGAAUCAACUGAAUUAAAACUCAGUCGACGCUUUUUCAAAAGUAAGCUCUAGCUAGUUAAUUAAUUUGUAAACAAGAUAUUGAUUAAAUUGAUAAAUAUAUGCCAUAAAGGGUAUAAACAUAUUUUUUUAAGAUACGAUUGCAUACGCAAUUAUAAUUAACACAUUCAUAUCAUUAGAAUCAGUAAAUUACUACAGAACUCAUACAUGAUAGACUUAAACCAGAAUAAACUUUAAAUUAAGAACUUACCCAUGAUAUUUAUGUGUAACGAGACCUGAGUCUAAGAUUUCAAAAAUCAUCCGACCUUAACAUUCUAUUAAAUCAAAAGUUCAUUGGCUUAGAGAGCACAAAUAUUUAAUAUCAAAGAGAAAACACUAAGGGUUUAUUUGGACGACACAGAGUAGUUAAAUGAUUGUAAUUACAAAAAAUUAUAAUUCCAUUUACGUGUUUAGCUGAUAGAGUGUAAUUACAUUGUAAUUCUCUAUAAUUACAUAGUUCCAUAAUUCAUAUUUAAAAAAAUAUUAAUUACUAUAAAAAUUAUUAUCACGAUAAAAAAUUUCUAAAUAGGUAACAAAAAUUAAUUUCAAAUCAUUGUAUGUAUUAUGUUAGUCAAAAAAAGUAGUUGAUAAUACGAUUGCUAAUAAAAAUAACAAGAAAAAUAAACAUCAUAUGCAAUUUUAUCUAAUUGUUCUAGUGUUCCAUAUUUAUCGGGUUAUUCUUUUUUUAAUAUCUAAAUCUAUAUUAUUAAAAUUAUCAAGAUCUCUUUCUUCCAUGUACUCUUUGAAGUAUGGUUCAUCACAAACCCACAUUAUGGAUGAAGCUAUGAAGUAUGUAACAUGCUAGUAUGAUCCAACUCUUUUUUUAUGCUAUACUAAGGUGAUAUUAUUAAUAUGAGAAAUAUUUUUUUAAAACAACAAAUGUUCUCUCAAUCACAUUUCGAAACCAAAUGUCUCAAAUUAAAAAGUUUGCAAGCCGUCUUUGGUGCUUGCGUGUUUAGCUCCAUUCUUUCAAAUGGUAUCAUACCCCACGAUAUGGUGUAAGAAAACAUUUUGUAUUUACAUAAUUAACAUCUACCAUAUAAUAUUGAGUUCACCGUGCAAAUGGUCUAUAGCUUUAAUCAUAAAAACUUAUAUAAACUUAAUUUGGAGAAAGAAAAAACUUAUAUAAAUUUAAUUCUUUUGUAUUACACAAUGAUGACCGUGCAAAUAGUCUAUAGCCAUUAUAAUAGAAACUUUUAUGAAUAAUCAUAUUAUUUUUAUAAUAUAUAGUAUGGACACGUAAAUAAAUUAUGUCCAUACUAUUAGCCGUAACUUUUUAUAAAUAAAUAUAUUAUAAUACUUUUAUAACAUAUAUAUUUUUAUAAUAAGCUUUUUUAUCAUAACUUUUAAAAAAUUUAAAUAAUAUAUUUUUUGCUAUAACUUUAUAAAAUAUACAUAAAUCAAUUUUAUAAUAUAAGUUUUUAGAAUUUAUAAUAUAAUAGUUCUUUGGCAAUAACCAUCCCGAAUAUUUAUACAUGUUCAUGUUUAUAAUAUAAAAAUUUAUAACUUAAAUUUGCAUAAAAAAUAAUUUUUUUAAAAUUAAAUUUGGAUGUAAUUACCUACGAAACUACUGUAGUUCUCAUCCCCUAUAAGAAUUGAAAAGUGUAAUUGGGAUGCUCUAAUUGCAUUCAAUUCGGUAGAACCCACAAAUUACAAUGGCUAUCCAAAUAUGUUAUCAUUGUGUAAUUACAAGCAAUUACACCCAAAUCCAAUCAUUAGGUGACUUUCCAAAUGCUACCUAAUAAGGAAGUUAACAUUAUUUUGUAUUAUCUCUAUUAAUAUUAAACGUGUUAUUGAGUUUGGUGUCACAAGUAAAAUAGGCACCAACUUAAUUGGAUGAUAAAAAAAAACUUUUAUUUUACAAAGUAAAUUAUAUUAUUUUAAGGGUAUUUUUGUAAUUUCUUAUAGAUAAAUAUACACAAUAAAGUUUGAAUUAAAGAGAAAAUAUUUGAUACACUGCUAAUGAGAUUUAAAAAUACCACAAGUUAGGUUGUGGUGACGACAAGUGUAUAUACGGUAUAAUAAAAAUUUUAAAAAAUAAAUAUAUUGAAAAGGACAAGUGACAAAUAUAUAACUCAGUUUGUGGAGUUAAAAAAUUGCAUCGUUAGUAUACCAGAUACUCGCAUUUCAAUUCAGACCUUCAUAGUUUUCAACAUUUGUAUUUUACCAUUCAACUAAAAUCUUAUUUGUUUGAGAAUUAUAUAAGUUUUUAUAAAUAUGUUUAUUACAUAAUUUUGUUUUUCACCUAAAUUAUGCGUGUUUCAUAAUCUAGUUUACAUAAAAUAUAGUUAACUUUUUUUACUAUUAAAAUUUAUGGAAAAUAUAUAUUUUUAGUAAAAUAAGUUUUUUUUAAAAAAUAAGAAUAUAAAAUUUGUAAUUGAGUAUUAUUUAUUUUAUAAAUUUUGAAAAACCCUUAUUUUAUUGUUAUUAUGACUAUGGGCUUCACUUGAGUCACAACACCAAAGGCAUAUCUUGUUUUUAUUUUUUAAAAAUAAUUUUAUAUAAAAUCAAUAAAAUUUCAAUCAUGAUUAAAUUGUGGAAACCCAUUCGGAAAAAAAUCAUAUGUAGAGGAGGAAAAAUUCACUAAUGUUGACAAACGAAUGAUACAAGAUGAGUUUCGACUACAUAUAUUUAAGGGUUAAAAAAUUAUAUUCUAAUCAAAGUCAAAUAGAAGAAGUAUAGUUCUAUACGGAUUCAACUCGUGCAGGAUUCAUGUCAUAAAAUCUCUAAUAAUUGUUAUCAACUCAUUAUUAUUAUUAUGAAAAAGGACAUCAUGUUAUUAAAUCAUAGACGUGUACAACAUUAAAUAGGAACUUUCCUUUGUCCCUAUCACAUAUUUUCUUUUGACCAUUUUUAUUGGAAAUUUAUUGUUAUGUACCAUUGACUUAAAUUCAACACUUGAUUAAUUAGGAAAAAAUCAUAUCAAAACAUAUCUUAAAUAAUUUUUUUUAAAUUUUUUUUAUACAAACACUAGAUUCAAAUUCAACACUAUCAGUCGAUUGGGUAUUAGUUCGGUUGAUAUCGGUAUUAUUGUCAGCGUAAGAGGUCGUGGGUUUAAGUGCGUUGAAACGCAUUAUCCUCUUAUUUAAGAGUUGAGAGGAAUUAUGGAUAGUUCUAAACAUUAUAUUAAAAAGAGAAGAUAUGAUAAAAACCUAUAUAUAUAUAUAUAUAUAUUUAUAAUUAUAUCAAUAAUUACCAUUAAAAUUAAUCAUUACGAAGACUUAUUGUGAAGGCUUAAAAUCCUAAAGUUUAAUAAUGCGAUUUCAGCCUGACCCUUUGCUUUAAUUGAAAAAAGAAAAUAAGUUUGAAUGUUUCCAUCUGUGAAAUUAUAUUUUAAACCAGACAUUAAAAUAUACUUACUUUUAAAAUGUAAUUAAUUAUAUGUUACAUAAAAAAUUAAAAAAAAAUUAGCAUACACUAUUAAUUAUGAUUUCACAAUAUGUAAGAUAUUAAAAUGAUAAAAGUUUAGAUUAAAUUGUGAAUAAAACGAAACCUUGAGGUAUUAACAACAUUAUUAAUAUUAGAAAUUCUAUCACACGUGUACGCGUGCGAAAACUAUGUUCUUAGAAUACAUGUGUUAGUUUAACAAUAACAUAUAACAGAUAAUGAAACGUAUGACUUAAAAUUAAUAAGUAAAAACACAUGAAAUAUUUAUGAUAUUAAAAUGGCAUUUAAAUACUCAAAUACAUCAUAUUAAGAAUUCUAAGCGCAUUGCAAUUAUUUUUCAUGGUGUUGUCAUUAAUCUCGAGUUAGUGUCGAGUUGACUUAUGGCACUAACUCAAUCAACAAUAUUAUCAAGAUAGAAAUUUUAUCACAUGCAUAUGCAUGUGAAAACUACGUAUUUGGGAUACGAGAGUGUGUUUAAAAAUAACAUGCAAUAAAUAAUAAAACAUGUGGUUUGAAACUAAUUAAUAAUAAAGACACAUGCAAAAUGUAUGAUGUUAAAAUGGAAAAAAUAGAUUAAAUUGUGCGUAAAACAAAAUUUAAAGACGUAAAUAUUUCAGAUUAAGAGUAUUAAAUGCAUUACAAUUGUUUAUCAUGGUGUCAUCAUCAAUCUUAAGUUGAUGCCGAGUUAACUUGUGACACCAACUCAAUCAAUAAUAUUAUCGAAUAUAUAUAAAAUUGAUGGAGGUAAUAAAAUAUGCAUAAUACAAUUAAAAUGUAAAUAUUAUAUUAAAAAUUAAAAUAAACCUAUGGUUUAGUGAUAAAGCUAAUGUUUUAUUGACGUAAAUAGCACAUGCUCAAAUGUAACCGCAUUGCAAAUUUUUAUUGGUUUUUAAAAAAAUAAAAAGACUAAAAUUUAUUUGAAUAAUAUAACUUAUUUUAAUUAUACAAGGACAUUUUUAUAAUUUUACAAACUAAGUUGGUGCACAGUUGACUCGUAAUAAAAUGCGCAUUAUAAAAUUAACAUGUAAAAAAUAUUUUAAGAUUUCGAAUCUUGGAAGUAACAUUGUUGAAGGGGCAGUCACGAACCUCAAACAUAAACAGUAAAACGGAGAAGUAACAAAAUUAAUUGUAGUUUAAGUAAAAAAAAAAGAAAAAGAAAAUUUAAAUACUUAAGUAAAAAAAGAGUAAAAUUUGAGGGGUACUAAGCGAAAAUUAAAAUCCAAUUAUCUAGUCAAUGGUGUAAACGCUUUGAAGUUUCCAGCCUUAGUUGCAGGGUCUUAUGGCGUGCUAAAUCAGAAGCCAAAAACAAAAAGCAUCCCUCAGAUUCUUUUAAAAAAUUUCCAUUUUGACCCUCCAUCUCUACUUCUCUAAUCGCUAUCCCUCUCUUUCUCUCUGGUAAGUUAAGUUUCUCUUUGUUUUUUGAUCUCUGUUCGUGUGUGUGUUGCUUUUCAUAUAAGGCGAUGUUUGGAGAGAAAGAUCUCUCAAGUAAUCUCCCUUGUGUAGGAGAUGAAAGCUCUCAAAGCAAGCUUUCGCGUUUGUUUCAAAACAAGGAGAGUUCAGUUGAGAAAGUGAGUUUUGUACAGAAGGGUAUUGAUUUUCUUAGAGAAUCUAAGGUGGGUCUUGAUGGAGGUUACCCUUUACCAAGAUCUUCCAAGCCUGGGAUUUCUGGCUCCCAAGAACUCACUCUUAGCUACCUCUGUGAGAACCCUAAACUGGGUUUUUGUUCUGAGAAGACCCAAACCCUGUUGGAAAAAGUUACUACCUACAAAGGGAAAGAAGUUGUUGAUUCUGAGAACACACAUCAAGAUGAGAAAUGGGUUGAAAGAGAUUUCCUGAAUUUGAGUGAAAGUAAAGGGAUUUCUUCCAAAAGAGAUGUAGAGGAUGAUUUUCAAGAAAGAGAGACUAGUCAUAGGGAGAAAAAGCCAAAGCUUGAGACUUUGAAUCUAUCUCUAGCUUUACCCGAUGUCUCUCUCUCUCUAACUGCAUCGAAUGCUUUGCAAAAUGGUGAUCCUUCGCAACAUCGGUCUAGGCCUAGUAGGAGUGUACAGUCCUUGGCACCAUCAACCAAUAACACGCAAACCACUUGCUCUAAUGAUUUCACUGCUGCUUCAUUGUCAUACUCUUAUUCUGUGCCGUAUUCACACAAUCCUAGCUGCUCCUUAACACGGAAUUCUACUGAGAAUUAUGAGUAUUCUGUGGGGAAAGAUGAUCAAAUUUGGUGUGGUGGUGAAGGUACUAAUGGAUCCGUGCAUAGUCGUUUUAGGCCAAUUGGUGAUGGAGUUGCUUUGGCCGGUGCCGGUGCUGGUGCUGGGUUUUCCAUGAUGCAGGUUAACCGUCAUGUGAAUAAAGAUUCAUGCACUAGUCUUCAUAGGACUUCUAGUUCAGAUAAUCAUUCAUUUUUCCCAUCUGAAUUGCUUGCUAAGCCUCGCAUAGAUAAUCAUUCAGGGGAUUCAAGGAGAAAGGAUUCAGAGAAUUGGAGAGUUUUGGAGAGUAUGGAUGGAGGGAGAUCCAGGAAGAUUUCUAGACCGGAAAAAAUUCUUCUUGAGAUUGUGUCUGAGUCGAUUCCUGCCAUGGCUCAAAUAAUGCAGGAGCUGCCUGAAGAAACCCUCGAAUCAACCAAAGAAUACUUGAGGAAUCUUAUUGGAACCCCAGAGAGGAAGGAAGAAUUAGUUGGACUUCAAAGUCGACUUGAGAGGAGAUCUGAUCUUAGCAAGGAGACUCUCUCAAAGUGCCAUAAGGAUCAGCUAGCAAUCUUAGUUGCAGUGAAAAUGGGCCUGAAAAGCUUCUUGUCCGGGAAAGUAGGACUUCCCAUGACCGAGCUGCUGGAGAUUUUCUUGUUUAUGAGAUGUAGGAAUCUGACUUGCAAGAGUGUACUACCUGUUGAUGACUGUGAUUGCAAGAUAUGCUCAGGAAAUAAAGGGUUUUGCAGUUCUUGUAUGUGUCCUAUUUGCUUGAAUUUCGAUUGUGCUAACAAUACUUGCAGUUGGGUUGGUUGCGAUGUUUGUUCCCAUUGGUGCCAUGCUGCCUGUGGCAUUCAGAGGAAUCUUAUAAAACCAGGACCCAGCAUAAAGGGACCAUCUGGGGCUAUGCAAUUCCAUUGUAUUGGCUGUGGCCAUGCUUCAGAAAUGUUUGGGUUUGUUAAGGAUGUAUUUUUAUACUGUGCUAAGAACUGGGUUCUUGAGACAUUGACAAAGGAGCUAGACUGCGUGCGAAAGAUUUUCCGGGGCAGUGAUGAUUCGAAGGACAAGGAACUAUACGUCAAAGCUGAUGAGCUUUGCAACCGGCUGCAAAACAAAAUGAUGUCUGCUUCAGAUGCUUGCAGCAUCAUUAUCCAGUUCUUCAACUGUAUGUAUCUUUUGUUCUGUCUAUAUUUUCUGUGCAAACUAAUUCCACGAAUACGGAUAUAGUUCAUCACAAAUUCAUUAUAACUAGUCAAACCUGAGAGUUCAGUGCUUUUGAUGAUUGAGAAAACUGAUCAGCAAAACAAAGUUCUUAUGCUACAAGAAGGAUGCCUGUCUUUUGUUGUUUAAAUUUUAUCUUUGAUUUGGCUGCCUGCAACUCAGAUUUGCACUUUGCUCUUUGAUUAGGACCAUUCAUGAAUUAGUUGAAUAAGCAUAGUCUUGUUUAUGGUUUACCGGUUCCUUUGAACUUAAUUCUUUUGUUCUAUAAACAUCCAUCUUAGUAGGCAUCCGUGUUGUAGUUUUCCGUCACGGAGUUAGUUAUAUUGCUGACAAGUCCAGUGAUUAAUUUUCAUGCAUCACUCAUUUUAUGAUAUUCAAGUCCCAACUAAUUCUACCUCAUUUUCCUUUUUGGUCCGCACAUAUAGACUCUGAUGGUUUGUCAGACUUUCCUACCUCCGGUGCAUGUUCCAAAGAGUUAACAACAACUCAAGUUGACCUUCGAAAAGAUGAAUCAUCCGUGACACCAGGCGCUUCUCUUCCUCAGAAGCUCGUGUUUUACAGCACAAGCUCAGCAAGUGGGCAUGAUUUACUUCCGAACGAACACCAUCGGAAGGACCUCAAAGCUUCUCUCAUGAAUGACCUAAAGAGUGAAGAUGAAUACCGAUUUGGAAGGUCAUCAAACAAUGAUGGAUUUGACAGCUUAGAAAGCAUGGUAAGAAUUAAGGAAGCAGAAGCAAUAUUGUUCCAAAGCAAGGCCGAUGAAGCACGGAGAGAAGUGGAGAGUUACAUGAGGAUGAUCCGGGCCAAGUCCGAAAAGUUGGAAGAGGAAUAUGCUGAGAAGCUAUCCCGACUUUGCUUACAGGAGACGGAGGAAAGGCGAAGGAAUAAAAUGGAAGAACUUAAGGUUUUGGAACAUUCACAGUGUGAUUACUACAAAAUGAAACUAAGAAUGCAAGCAGAGAUUGCCAGUUUGUUGGAGAGAAUGGAAGCUACAAAGCAGCAAUGGGUUUAACUCUUUUCUUUUUUGUUUGUUUUCUUCUUUUUCUUAAUUUAUUGGUUAACAAUUAAUUAAUGCAAAACGUGUGGUUUGUUCCAAGUUUUUAACCUUCUGGAUUCUACUUGUUCCCCCCCAAUGAGAAAUGAAUGAUUGUACUGAGUUGUGAAAAAUUCUUUUAAUGGUAAACCUUCAUAGCCAUUGAAAAUUGAGAGUUGAAUGGGUAUCAAAAUUGUAAUGCUUGUUGCUAUCGCAAUAUAGAAUAAUCACGUUUGUGCUGUUCAUGCCAAUCUGCUCCCUAUGCAUAUACUAUAUAAUAUUUCCAUGGCACCAAGAAAAAAGAAAGUGAUUGGUUCCCUAGAAAAUGUGUUGUAUGGAUUGGAGAAUAAAGGUGAAAGGCGGCAUCAACAGGUGACGCCCACAAAUUACGAGAAUUUGGGACCAUUGAAAUUUUGAAUUGAAAAUGCGUAAAGAUCAUCACCAUUUUCUUUUCUGGUUUGUAAAACCGGUUUUCCUGUCUGGACUUUCACUUUGAAAUUUGAGCUCAAUGGACCCUACUGCACCCACUUGUGGAGCCACCCAUUAAAAGCCGUGAACCUAGACAUCAUAAUUUACAUAAUAUAUUUUUCCUUUAAUAUAUUUGAUGGGGACUCCUCCCACUGGGUUUUUGCUAACCAGUGUUCGUAUAACUUUAAUGUUCCAAAAUCAUCAAUUAUUGCAUUUAACAUAGAUGAUCAUUUAGAGAGGGAGAAAGUAAAUUCUUGGGGGAAGGAGGGUUUGAUAUUCUUUUUGACAGAGAAGAGAGGGCUGGGAGGGUGGUGUUUGGGUGUAAUCAUUGAGCAGCAACUGGCAAUUUUGCUUUGACUCUUCCACUGUAGGAAAAUUCCAAGCUGUAUGCAAAGCCCAUACUGCUAUACCCUUCAACAACCGUCUAUGCAUUUGAGCGGCAGAGGGUAGUCUUUCCUGCGACGGAACUGGUUGGCAAAUAAAGCAAAGCACAUGCCCUCUAUUGCAAUGUGAAUCAUGGAUGCUCGCCAUUCUUCCCUGGCAUUGCAGUUGGUGCACAAUCCAUUUGAGUACAUGUGAAUAUGGUGGACUAAAUUUAAAAAAGGAAAAAGAAAAGAGAAGAGUGAUGUUUGUAAUGGAAGAAUGGCAAGCUCCAGUCAGAGAAAGAAAUAAGUGAUAACAGCAAUGCUAGAUCAUCAUUCAACGAUGUGCACAAACAAAUGCUGUUUAUCUAUUUUGUAUUUGCAGGGUGAAUUUAACAGAGCAUUUCAAUCAGAUUUCUAUGGGGGAGAAUUGAUGGAAGCAGAAUGGUGCAGUGACAGGAAGCAAGGAGCAAGGAGCAAGGAAAGAAGAAGAAUGGUGGAAACAGGGAGUAGCAUGGAGGGUUAUCAGGGAAACGGGGAGUAGCAUGGAAACAGGGAGUUGAUUUCUUGAUGUGUAAUUUGAUCUUCAUGAUUUUAACUCUUAAAAUGUGCUCGAAUGUUUUACUCGGUGGUUAAAGGUUAUUCAUCUAUAAAAUUAUAUUUUUAUUAUCGUAAAAUAUAUAAUUUAAUUUUAAUCCUAAAAAUUUUUUAAGCUCCGCCACUGAUAACAUACAAAAUCAUUUUUAUAAUUUAAGUCCAAUUUUAUUAAAUUUAAUAUUGCAAAUUUAUUGUUUAAUGUUUUAAUUUAUCAAACAAUAUCGUUUAUAAAUGAUUAAAAAUGUUCAUGAAUCAUGUGAGCUAAGUUUAUAAACGGUAUUAAUAUAUUUUAUACUUACCCAAAUUUAAUUUAACUCGAAAUAUAGAUAUCAAAUUUUAACAAAGUCCGCCUAUAUUUCUAAUAGUUAAUCCGAACUCAUUUUCAAAUCCCUAAUAUUAUUAUUAUUUUUAAAAAUUAUAAAAAAAUAUUAUUAUUUUUAAUUAUAUUAUCAAGAGAGAUGUGAAAGUUUCAUUUGACUAACCGAGUAGAUAGCAAACAGUGAAGAAGUUACAUUAGAAUUUACUUGUUGAGGGGUGAAGGUAGAAAAUUUGUUUAGGGGCUGAAAUUAAAUUUUAUUUUUUAUAAUAGUAAAAAUGUAAUUUUACCAUUUAAAUGGUCUAUAUUUUUGUAAUUUUUAAAGAAUUAAAUCAAAUUUUUAUCAUUUUUAAGAGGGGCUAAAGCACAAUUUUACAUUUAUUACUUUAAAAGACCUAAAUAAAAAAUUCUGAUUUAGGAUUACUGCCCUUGUACCUGUUCCAUUAUUUUCCAUGUCUGAUAUUUCUUGCUGCUAGAAAGCAAUUAAAUUAUUUUUGAAUUAAUUGAAGUUGAAAUUGAAAAUUAAAUUAAGUAGUGGUCGUAAUUUUACGCUACGGGUAAUUAAAUUUAUUUAUUUAUAAACUUUAACAUGGUAAAGUCGUCAUAAUUAAUAUUAUUUUGAAAAUAAAAAACUGGUUAUUAAAUUGAAUAAAUUAUAUGAUCAUUGAUUUAUAGAUUCGAUAACAUACAGAGUUGUACUCAAUACAUAAAUAAGUUUAGUAAACUCAUUUGAAGUGGGAUAUGCGACACACAGUAGGCAACUUAUUGAAUCUGAGAACUUAGUGUGACUUAGUGCGUGCCGCCCACCUUAGAGACUCCGGUGGGAUUUGAUAUUUUCUAUUAAAAUAUUAUUAUUUUGUCUCUUUUUAUUUAAGUAGAACUCUUAUGAAUUUUUCCUCUUAAAAUAUAAUCAUCAUUGAGCAUAGCUAUUCAGUCGGAAAAUAGUGAGAUUUAUUUUUCCCAAAUAAAGUCUAUUUUCGUGAUAGCUCGAAUUAAGCUUCUUGACCAUAGAGAGAAUUAACCUUCCCACCGGAAAGUUAAAAGUCUUUAUUGUGUGAGCAAGUUGUUAAUUAGAGUCCAUUCUCUAAGCAAAUCGAAAGUUCAAGAACAACAGAGAAGGUCGUGUUGGGUGAAAGUCAAAAAUCAAUUAAAAAUUCGUUAAAUUGAAAAUCCAUGUACUAAUUUGAUAAAAUUUAUUGUUAUAAUAAUACAAAAACUUAAAAUUUCAUUGUUUAAACAAACUCGUUUUUUAAACCAAAUUUUCUAAUACUUCUAGCAUAAUUCUAUUGAACACUUGAUGGACUAAAGAUUUUCAACACAAACAAAACCAAAAUCAGUAAAAAAAUCAACCAGAAUCAUUCAUGGAAAGAAAAAAAAAAAAAGGAGCAAAGAGCCUCAUGACAACCUUGCCAUCGGCUGCCACAAGCAUAAACUCAUUUUCAAUCAACCCUUCCUCUCUCCUUCCUUUAAUGAGCACCUUGACAAACACCUCCGCAACCUUCACCUCACUGAAGAAUAAGGGAGUCUAAAAUUGAAGCUAUGCCAGAGAGGAGGAAGGAGAAGGUAAGAAAGAGGGGCUUCAAUCCGUGCUUGGCAUUAUGCAUCAAUUUUAGGUCGAUUUCGGGUUCAGAUUCAUAUUGUUGUGGUGCUUUACUACCACUAAGUUGUUGUUAUAUUAGUUCUGAAUGGAUCUUUGACUUGAAUAUUUUACUAAUUUGAUUUCGAGAAAUACUAAAGAAGCAUGUAACGAUUUAACUUUUUUUAGUUUUGUUUUGUUUUUAAUUUGUUAUUGUACUCUAUUGAAUGAUAAUCUUUUUUAUUUUUCGUACAUAUUAGUUCUUUAACAACGUUUUCGAGAUUUUAUUUUCCUAUAAAUUUUAUAUAAAAUUUCUAAAUAACUUUGAGGGUUUUUUUUAUACUUUUUAUGUAGAAUCAUAGUCAAAAAAGUUGAGGAAUAAAAUUGUUAUUAUAACAACUAAAAAAUGUCGGGUGAUCAAAAAAAUUAUUUUCGUACUUUAAUGAUCAAAUUGUAACUUUUUUAAUUAAAUGACUAAAAUGAAAACUUUUUCUAUUCUAAUGAAUUGUGAUGUAGUGAAUACUUUCUUGCUUGCUUUCUUUUCCUAAAAAUUCUUUAUUCAAAUUGCUUUACUCUUUUUUUUCAAAAGAAAAAAAAGAUAGAUUCCUUGUUCUUUCUUUUGAAUUUGAACUGGAUCGGUGGUAAAAUUACUCAUGUUACUGGUUUACCGUUUAAAUUAAUAAAUUAUUAAAAAUUUUAAAAGGAAUAAAUAAUAAAUUAAAAGAUUCAGUUCGUACCAGUUCUCGAGUUAAUCAGUUCAAAGUCCCUUUUUGAACUAAUACCUCGGUCAAUUCUUCAUCCGAUCGGUCGAUCUAUUCAGUUCGAACAACAUUGAUGACAUAGAGUAAAUUAUUGACAUUGAAUCCAAGUAAAUCAAAACAUUACCUGUAAAAAUAUCAUAGAAGCUCCUGGAUUAAGAGUUAGAUUGCAUUUGGUCCUCUUUAUUUAAAAAAUUGGCAAAUUAGUCAUUGUACGUUAUAUCAAAGAGCAUACUAGUCUUUUCAUUUAAAACUCCAUUCAUUUUUACCUUUAACUGACUACGUGAUUGAAAUAGCGAGUAGGUUGUUCUUUAAGUGGUUUUCAAAUAAUUAUUAAAAAAUUUAUUUAUUUUUAAGAUUUGCAUUGAACUAAUGAUCAGUUUGCUCUUUUUUUUUGUGAAUUACAACAAGACAAAGUCCGAACAACAAAUGCGACUAGUGCAACUCGAAUCUAAGCCACACAUGGGGCCAUGAAUACCCUGAUCAUCAAGCCAUUAAUACAUGGGGUUCAAUCAGUUUGCUCUUUAAUGUAACAUAUAAUGGUUAAUUUAUUCUAUUUUUUUAAUAGAGAAAGUAAAAUACAAUUUAACAUUUAACGCAUACGCCUCAACGAUACUAUUACCAAAUACUAGCAUUUUAAAAAAUAAACUUUUAAAUUAAGAUACCUAACAACCAUUUUGGGUUGAUAAAAUUAUAAACAUGAAUUAUAACAUCAAUCCAAUGUAAAAUUCACCCAAAAAAAAUAAAAAUAAAAAUCACACACACGAUUGAAAAGAAGGAAAGAAAAAAGGGGGUUGAUUAAUUAAAACAGUAAUUGAUCAAACAUAACGGGCAAGAGCAACACUGAGAUCAACAAAUAUGCCGAACAAGAGGAUAGACAGUCCCAAGAAAUUGACCAAACGAGCUUCACGGUUACUGCGCAGUCCAAUGAAGGUAGCUUUCUCCAACAAUCCAGUGAGAGCCGCCGCUAUCGACAUGUAUAGCAAUGUCCGGCCACCGCAUAUGUGCCAUGGAAGCAGGCUUUGUCUUGUUACGUCUGGUUGAGUGAACAUAAAUGUAAUCAACCCUGCUAACCACUGCACCAGCCCCCACAAUAAUCAAAUUUAUGUAACAAUAAUUUAUAUAACUCCCAAAAAGUUUAGGAUAAUAUUAAAGUCUGAAAUUUACCUGCAACACAAACAAAGAAAUGGCGGCGAUACCGAUCCAUGAAUGCAAACUGUAAACGUCUUCAAUGUUGGUCAUAUCGUGGUACUUGAAAACAGCACAAAGUCCCACCACUGCAAGCACAAAUGCCAGAAGCUGAAGUAUCAUAUGGACUACCUUCUGCACCAUGUGUGUCGCUUGUACUGUCUUGUACACCAUCAUUGCUACAUUUUUUUUUUAACAUGAUCAGAAAAAAAAAAAGAUUCAAAAGUUGAUUUUUUUUUCCAUGAUCAGUUUUCCAAUUACCUUCACCAGACAGAAAUAUGAAUCCGCAAAACAUAAGAAACGGGUGAACCUGCAUGCAUGAGAAACAAUGAAAUCAUCUUUUUCAUAAUUACAACAUGUAAAUAUUUGGGUUGGUUUUACUUACAUUGAAAACACGAACAGCAUUGUAAGAAUCAUAUUCGAUACCUCCACGAUAAUGCAGCAACCAAACGAGCAUGAGGGCGAAAGCCAAAAUCCCAAAGACGUGAGCAAAUAUUGUUAGACGAGAAGCUGAACGUUUAUAUGGGGAGACAACUACGUGGUGGUGGGUGGAAUGCAUGGUGAUUAAAACUCAGGGAGUGGGAUUGUUGACAUGAAAGAACAAAGGAUGAAGGCUUAAAUAUAUAAUUAUGUAAUUGAUUCUGCUAAACUGGCAGGGUUUCUUAGAGGAAAACUUUUUCAAAAAUCUACACCUUUGGGAUUGCUUAUUUCAGGGUUUUGGCACUUUGGAUGUAGGAAAACUUUGAGCUUGGGCAAAGCAUCAUCCGUAUUAGUGAAUUAGUUGCAAAAAUUACUAAUUUUAUUACAGCAAAAAGAAUAAAAGGAAAGGGAGUUGUGUAAACUUUCUCGUCCAAGCAAAGGCUAUAGAAGUAGUAACUAAUUAGAGGUUGAACAUGAAAGUUGUGGAUUUAAUCCUAUACUUUAAUUUUAUCAAUUUUAGUUUAUGUACUUUUCGAAUUGAUCAAGUUUAAUUUAUAUAUUCGAAUUUUGAAAUUUUAAUCCCGACUCAAAUAGUAGCAGUUAGAUAUCUAAUCAUGUACUAUAUAUACAAUUAUAGAUUUAGUUCAUAGUCUCCAAUUGAAUCAUUCUAAGUAAUGGUGGAGCCUGUAUUUUUUUGUAGGGGGCUGAAAUUAAAUUAUAUAUUUACGAUAGUAAAAAUAUAAUUUCAUCAUUUUAAUAGCCUAUAUCUUUAUAAUUUUUAAAGGGUUAAAUCAAAUUUUUAUCAUUUUGGGGGGUCAAAGUAUAAUUUUACCAUUACUAAUUUAAAAUUUUAUAAAUUAUAAAGGGUCUAAAUUAAAAUUUUACCAUUUUAAGAGGGACCAUGGCCCCUCUAGGUCUCCACUGCGCUUCGCCACUGAUUCUAAGUCACUAUACCUUUCAAAUUUUGAAAUUUCAAUUUUAAUAUAAAUAACAAUCGUUAAUUCAAUUUUUAAUGAAUAAUAUGUAAAAAUAAUAUUUUUUUGUGAGAACUAACAUUUAAAUUUAAAAAAUAAAAAUUCUAAAAAUAACUAAAUUAAAAUAUAAAUAUUAAGUCCACAAUUUUUAUAAAUUAUAUAAAUUAAUAGUAAAAUUUAAUCUAACUCAAAUUCAUACAAGUGUUUGCAGCUUCACCCUCACUUUAGACGUGCCCCACAAAUCUAAUAGAACACAUGGAAACUUAAUAAAAAAGAGAAAACUCUAUGUGUUUAAGAUAAAAAAUGGUCUUAGUUUAAUAGGUAUGAGUAUUGUUUUCAAUGCAAGAGAAUGUGGGUUUGAGUGCGCUAAAACGCAUUAUUCUCCUAUCUAUGGAUUAGGGUGGAACUAUGGAUAAUUCCAAACAUUUUCUUAAAAAAAACAGAUAUAAUUAAGAACCUGUAAUAAAAUUGUUAAAAUGAAUUACAAAAAAAUCAUUUUAAUGAUAAAUAUUUUUUUGCAAAUCUACUAUAAAAAAUGAAUGAAAGCCAUAAAUGCUAAGAUUAGUCAAAGAUAAAAUUUCUCUUUUUCUAAUUUUAAAUAUUUAAUUUUCAGAAAUAUUGGUGCAAUUAUGCAAAUGCUUAAUGGUUAUUUAACCAUUACCAAUUGAUGUGUUAGUGGAGCAUGAUGAUUAAACCACUUAGCCUUUAAUUUAUAAUUUUAACAUAUAAUAACCUUAAAUAAGUCAACUAAGCAUGAUUAAUUAACUUAAUUAAAAAGGCUAAUUAUAGUAUAAAUAUUAAGAAGUGGAGGAGAGAGAGAGAAAAAGUCUUCCUCUCCCCUUUGUGCCGUCCAAAGAUUGAAGGGAAAGGAGGAAAAGCUUAUUUGUUUUUCCAUGGUUUUUACCAUCCCAAAUUGAUAAGGUAAGAAUCUUUUUUCUUCAUUGAUUUUUAUGAAUUUAUAAACAUCUCAACUUAACGUUUAUUACCCAUUAAUUAGAUUUUCAAAUUGUUAAGUUGAAUACAAGUUGUCAAUAAUGGAUAGUUGAUGAAAUUGAGCUUAAUUUUGACGAGAAAUUGAAGUAUGAGUUUUGAGCAUGUUAGGACUAAGUUGAAAAGUAGAGAAAAGUGUUGGAUUUGUUAGAAAUUUAACUAGGCUUUACAGAUAAUUUUAUGAUAUUAGAGACUAAAGUACCUAAUUGAAUAAAGUAAAAACUUUUAGGGAAUUAUGCUAUAGAUUAAAAGUACAAAGUCCCUAAUGAAAAUAUAUGAAAUCGGAUUUUGAUCCGAUGUUAAAUAUCGAAAGAUAUGAGUUUUUCAGAUAUAGGAACUAAAAUGAAUAAAAUGAAAACUAUGUUUGAUUAUAUGUUUUCAUGUGAUUGGGUGAAAACUAAAAUCGUUUCUAUACUUGAAUUAUCAUACGUAGCUAAAGAUGACAUCAGGCCGUCUCGAGAGAAAGGGAAAGCGAGACCAAUAGACGAGUAGCUAACACAGUUUGUGCUUCCAUGAUUUGAAUUCAAUACAUAUACAUAUAUUUAUAUGACUUGUAUCAAACUAUCUUGAUUGAGGUGAUGUCCUUACUUAUCUUAUGAAUUUGGUAAGUAUUUCAUGGUUGGUAACUUGUGAAAGAUAUGGUGAUAUGUAUGUGAUGAUAUGAAAUGAUAUGAAUUGGAUUGGAUUGGAUUGGAUUGAGCAUGAUAUAAAUUGGUAUUAUAUGAAACUACGAUAUGUGAUCAUGAAUACGUGUUUGGAACAUUUGUUACCCUAUUAACUGUCUCAGGUGGAGUUGGGUAUAAUUGGCAUGUCAUAGUAUUAGUGUACAAGAUUAUACUUUGGUUUAUACCAAUGAGGCACAAAGCACAAAUUAUACUUCAGAUUUUUUGAUGAGGAGCGAAGAGCAAAUUAUCUUCGGACGUACUGAUGCAUUGGUUGCCAGAUAUAUAGGUGUGAUGGUUGGAUGAUCUGUGUGUCCGUCUUGCCAUAUGACAUAUGAUAUGAAAAUUUAAUAGAAAAUAGUGUAUAUUGUAUAUAAAUAUCUAAGUGACAAAACAUGACAUGUGAAAGAUCAUGCGAACCGGUUAAAACGAGCACUGAAGGUCGAUAUGGAUAUAAAGUGAAUCAAUGGAUUCAAGAUGGAAAUGAGAAAAUGAAAUGAACUUUGUGACAUGUUAUGAUACAUAUGAAAUGUGACAUGAUGAUAAAUGAGAUUUUAUGUUCAUAUAUUACAUGCCUAAUGAAAUGUGGAAUGAGAUUUAUGCACAUGAGACAUGAAAUGCAAACUUCAUACUGGUUGAUAAUUAGAUAUAAACUGAUUGUCUCUAUUAUCUUGUUUCUAUUUGGAUUAUUAAUUCAAAUCAUGUUAGCACCAUUAAACCGUAUUGCUCAACGUACGAUUUUUUAUUUCGGUACGCAAGUAUCGUGAUUCUGAAGUUUCAAAGUGAUUGGCAACAUCUAGAUUCAACCCUCUCGACUCAGCAAGUUGUGUUGUUUUAUUAUUUUAAUGGUAUGUGGCAUGCACCUAAGGUUUUGAGUUAGAUUUUAGGUUGAAUUUGUCAUUUGGUACAUAUGAUGGAAAAGGUUUACAUUUUGAGCAUAACCUUAUGUGUUUGAUGACAAAUAUGUAUGAACAUGUAGUAAAUUAAUGUUUAUUUGCCCAAUAGGCCAUGUUAUACUUAUGAUUGAAUUGUUUCUUGCUUGCCAAGUAAAUGAAUGCAUUACAUUCCUGAUAUCAUAUAUUGAUAGGUGUUUGAUAUGUAAAAGGAUUGUAGUUUGGUAUUUAAACUAAUGUCUAAAUUGCAUUAAUGUUGAGUUUUUGGGUCACAUAGACCAUUCGGUAUUUGUACCUGGUAGAUUGGUGAAGAAUGAUACAAAAUUUAGGGGAAUCUACCCUCAAGGUUGCAACACUCCCCUAUUGGUGUCAUGACAUCAAGCUUUAUUUCCAUAGUCACAAUGUCGAAUUCCCUUGUCCUCAAUGUUGCAACAUUCCCUUGCUGAAGUCACGACGUCAACUUCCUAUCUUCAAGGUCGCGACUCACCUCGAUUGAAGUUGUGACGUCAUGCUCCUACUCUCAGUGGUCGCGACAUGCCUCCUUAUAAUUGUGGCAUUACCUUUGUAUUUUAAAAAUUUUACGUUUUAGUCCCUUGUUUAUCAUCGGUGUUUAAAAAGAGUUUUUAAAAGCUCAUUUAUAACUCGAAAUUGAUUAAAUAAUGUAUUUAAUUAAGUUUUGGAACCAAAUGACUUGUAUAACUUGUUUAUUAGAUAUAUAAAUGAAAUCGUAGUUGCUUCGACAAUUAAUGUAGCAUCUCACAUUCGAAUUCGGCAAUCGGAUUGAGUGUGGGGUAUUAUAUUUUACCUUUCUUUAGAAAACAAUAAUGCAAUUUUCCCGUCACAUCUUUAAUAUUUUAAUAUCACAUCUUUAUUAAAAUGUUUGAACUUUAACUAAAAUGACAAAUUUUGUAAAUAUUGAGGAUUAAAUUUGUUGAUUUUUUAUAUUUGUUAAGUAUGACUCCUAUUUUCAGUCAAAUUUGAGAAAUAAUCUUUUAGUUAAACUCUGUUUAUUUGUUUCAGUCAAACACUGAUUAGUUUAGACUAUUUUAUUAUUAUUUGACAUAUGAAUUUAGCCUAUAAAUAGGCUCUUUUACAACCUUAGUAAAGACACCCAUUAGAGAUUAGAACUCAUAACACAUUUAGAGAAUUUUGUGUUUACGUUUUGAGGGUUCUUUGUUUUCGGGUUUUUGGGGUUUAGUUUUAUCUCCAUUUUUGUAUUCUUCGUUCUUUUGCCAUUAUAGUAAAAUUAUCUUUGCCCGUGAUUUUUAUCCUCUUUGGAGGGGUUUUUCCACGUUAAAUUUGUGUGUUCAUCUUCUCAAUUUAUUUCGCUAUUUUUUGUUUUUAGUUGCUUAAUCGGGUCGAUCCCUAACAAGUGGUAUCAGAGCUAGUUCAAUUUUCAUAGAUCAGCCCAUUCAGAUAUGGCAACAACAAGGUUUGAAAUUGAGAAGUUCGAUGGUGAGACAAAUUUCAAUCUGUGGCAAGUUCGGAUGAUGGCAAUUCUAGUUCAAUCCGGUUUGAAAAAGGUUGCUACCGGGAAAAAGCCUGAGAAUCUAAAUAAAAUAGAAUGGGAAGAGCUUGAUGAAAAGGCCUUGUCUGCAAUCCAGUUGUGCCUCGCGAAUACGGUAUUGCAGGAGGUAUUGAUGGAGAAGACCUCAUCCGCCUUGUGGAAAAAGUUAGAAACUCUUUAUGCGACUAAGUCUUUGGCUAACCGUUUAGUGUUGAAACAACGUCUAUUUACAUUUCGCAUGAAUGAAUGUGAGCUUCUUAUAGAUCACAUCAGUCAAUUCAUUACUCUUUUAAAUGAUUUAAAGAACGUUGAGGUUCAUAUUGAUGAUGAAGAUCAAGCUAUGUUAUUAUUGUGCUCUUUACCCACUUCAUACAAGUCUUUCAGGGAGACCCUGAUUUUUGGCAGAGACAAAAUCUCGUUCGAAGAUGUGAAGGGUCAUUUGUUGAGUAGAGACAAACUCGACAAUGAGCUUCAUUUGGAUAGAAAGGCAGAUAGGCAAGCUUCCAUUUUAGUAGCAUCAAAGAAACGAGACAAAAGGUGUCGCUAUUGUAAAAAGUUAGGUCACGUCAAAGCAGAUUGUUAUAAACUACGAAAUAAAGGAGCUGCUAAGAGAACGAGGAAGAUGUAGCUAGUGCUAAUUUGGCCGAUGAAAGCGGUGAUGAUUUCUUGUUAGUGUCAAUGAGUGAUAAUUCCAAGCUCAUGUCCAAGUGGAUCCUAGAUUCGGGAUGUUCUUUCCACAUGUGUCCCAAUAGAAAAUGUUUCUCUACAUACAGUUCGGUUGAAGGUGGAGUUGUGCGCAUGGGAAAUGAUUCAUCUAGUAAGGUAGUUGGUAUUGGAACUAUUAAAAUCAGGACACACGAUGAGACAAUUAAGACACUCUCAAAUGUUAGGUAUGUACCUGAUUUACGAAAGAAUCUCAUCUCCUUAAGUAUUUUAGACUUGAAAGGAUGCAGAAUCAACAUCGAGUCAAGUGGCAUUAAAGUAUCUCGUGGAGCUCUCGUUUUGUUAAAAGGUAAAAGAACUGGCAGUCUUUAUGUUCUGGAAGGUUCUACAGUGACCGGUGAAAUCAGAUGUCCCUCGUUCGUUACAGAGUCGAAGUCAACUCAUUUGGAGCGGAGGCAACUUGGUCAUAGGAGGGAAAAAUGUAUAACCGUUUCGUUGAAGAGAGGUUCUCUUUUGGAUGCAGGUUUUGAAAAGUUAGGGCACUGUGUUCGUGAAAAUCAGACCCGGGUUAGUUUUGAUUUGGCAGUGUACAAGUCGAAGGCUAGAAGUCUUCCAGUUUCUAAGCACAGAUUAGACUCAGUUAAUUCCCUGCAUAGUUCAAGAUAGGCUCGUGGCGGGCUUUGGCAAAGAUGGCGUUGUGGAAAUAUGAGUCAAGGUGGAGAUUUAUUAAGUAUGACUCCUAUUUUCAGUCAAAUUUGAGAAAUAAUCUUUUAGUUAAACUCUGUUUAGUUGUUUCAGUCAAACACUGAUUAGUUUAGACUAUUUUAUUAUUAUUUGACAUAUGAAUUUAGCCUAUAAAUAGGCUCUUUUACAACCUUAGUAAAGACACCCAUUAGAGAUUAGAACUCAUAAUACAUUUAGAGAAUUUUGUGUUUACAUUUUGAGGGUUCUUUGUUUUCGGGUUUUUAAGGUUUAGUUUUAUCUCCAUUUUUGUAUUCUUCGUUCUUUUGCCAUUAUAGUAAAAUUAUCUUUGCCCGUGGUUUUUUAUCCUCUUUGGAGGGGUUUUUCCACGUUAAAUUUGUGUGUUCAUCUUCUCAAUUUAUUCCGCUAUUUUUUGUUAUUUGUUGCUUAAUCGGGUCGAUCCCUAACAAUAUUUAGCAUCAAAUUAAUAGAAUGUGUAAACAUUAGAGAGCUGAAUUUGUUAUUAGACCAAUAAAAACACCUACGUCAGCUUUCCGUCACUCAUCUAAAGGCUACUAAAGGGAAUUUGACUAAAAUAUUUAAUUUCAAAAAGUUUAGUGAUUAAAUCAGAAAAACUAAUAGUUGAGUGACCAAAAUAGAACGAAGUCAAUAGUUCAGUGACAUUUUUUGUACUUUACCCUACAUUUAAUUUCUUUCAUCUAUAAUUUUCCUAUAGGCUCAAAAUUCUUUAAAUAUUGUACAAUUCUAAAGUAUUUUUAUUUAUUUAAAAAAAAACUAUAUGCAUUUAAAAAAAAUUUACAGUCACUAAUGUAUAGCUUAUAACCAAACAAACUAAAAUGCUUCUAUAUUUAUAAAAUACUUUUAGUAUAACUAGGCUUAAUAUUUUUAAAUAAAUCAAAUUUUAAUAUAUACUAUUUUUUGUUUAUUUUAAAUUAUGAUUAAACUAAUAUAUUUUGUAUUUGUGUUAUACUGUAAAUAAUAUUAUUAAAUUAUACUAUAAAUAUGAUUUUAUUUACUCUAUUUAAAUUAUUUGCAUAUAUUUUAAUAUUUUUAUUACAAUUGUAUAUUACUUUAAAUUAAACUUUAUUUUUAAUUAUUAAAUCUUUUAUAUAUUGCUUCUUAGAAAAAUUAAUUAAUAGACUGUAAAUGUUGGUAAAAUAUUAAAAUUUGAAACUAUUUUUUUAAUAAUAAAAUAUGAUCACAAGUUUUAUCAUUUUAUAUUUUGGUGCCUACAAUAUAGACGACAGUUUUUAAUUCAUUUAUAUUUUGUUUAAUAACAAUUUAAGAAUAUAUAUAUUCAACUCAUGUAUCGCGUGGAUAAGAAAAUUAGUACAAAUCUAAGAUAAUUUUAAAUUUUUUAUUUUUAUUUUUUCUGCGUGUCUUUGAUAAUGUCGUACGGUUUUUCAACUAAAAAUUAUUGAUAUAUUGAGAGAGAAACUUCACGAAUUUGGGUCAUAAAAUUUCUUUGGUGUUAGUGAAAUAGACUCUUUGAAAUCUAAGGUCCUUAAUAGAUUUUAGAUGCUCGAAAUCUAUUAGGUUGAAUGGUAAGAAAUUUAAUAUAUUUAAAUUCGUGAAUGGAGAAAAACUUGUCGUUCAAGCAUUUGAUGUGACUUGACUUUAAAUUUUAUCGAUAUUCAAUUUGAUUCAAAUUUUAGUUAACCUUAAAUAGAAUGCUGAGACAAAAUAUGUCAAGGUUGGAUAAUAUAUGAAUCUGAUUUUUAGGUAUUUAGAGUCACCUUCAAAUAUAGUUGUAAUAGAAAAAGACUUAUGAUGGGAUAAAUCAUCUGGGUCUAAAUUUGGCAAUAACUUUCCUAUUAGGAUUUUUUUUUUGUCCAAGUUAAUUCCUGAGCUUAGUAAUUGUUCUCGGACUUGAACUUGGCAAUUGUUUCUAUAUUGGGGUUUGAACUUUAGGGUUUUCAAAGAAAUAUCAGAAAUUAACUUCGACAAAAAAAAAUUAGGCUCCAAUGUGGGAACAACUGUAAAGUUCAAAGACUAACUUGUACAAAAUAAUUCCAGACCUCAAUGUAGGAUCAACAAUACUAACUUGAAAAACAAUACAAGCUCCAAAAGUUAUUUAACCUUUAUAAAUUUGUCAAGUUUGGUGUCAUGAAAGAUUGAUCUUCAAAAGAGAAAACAACCAAAAAAAAUUGUAUUUGGAAUGUUUAGUGAAUCAAGUCAAUAAAAUGUUUGAAACAUAUGAAGUGAAAACAAAGGAAGAAAUUGCCUGGAAAAUUCACAAGCUCUAUAGUUUUAGAAGAAAGAUAUAUUUAAGUGACAAAAUUAUCAUAACACAGUCUAAUAAUUAUUUUUGAGUUAAUUUGAACAAACAUUUUUAAGCUAUAACCCUCAACUCUAAACUUCAAAUCAUUUUAAUUACAUUAUUAAACUGUCGAAGUUAUAUCAAUUAGAUCUUUACGUUACCAAAAUCCUUAAUUUAAUUGUUAAAUGACACUUUAAUUCUAUGUGACGAAAUUGUAAUUGAAAAUUUUAAGAAAAUGAAUAUUGUAAAAGUAUAUGUUUUGAAAAUAUUAGUUUCUGAAACUUUUACAAAACCUUUAUCGUUCACUUUUUUUGCAUUUUUCAUUUUAAACUUAAUUACAUCAGAUUUGAUACGUUAUUUAAUGGUUAAAUUAAUAGUUUUAGUAACAAGAGGACCUUAUUAAUAUAACAUUGAUAGUUUGGGAGUAUAAUUAGGAUGUUUUGAAGUUUGGGGAUCAAUUUAGAAUGAAGGUCAUAGCUUGGGGAUGUAGGGUAGAAUAACUCAUUUUUCAUACAAUGCCUACCCUACUCAUAAAUCCCCCAAAUCCUUAAAUCGGAGAAAAAUACGCUCUUAAGAGCGCUUAGACCCACGUCUUCCUAGUUGAAAUUAGACUUUAAUAAUUAUUAGACAUAACAGUAAAUCUAGACCUCAACGCUUACAUUCUUUUGUUAAUUUGACACUUAUUAUUUUUUAGCUAAAUUUGGUCAUUAACAUUUCAAAAUGACUCAAAUCGUUUUUCUUUAACGAAAAUAUUGACUAAAACAUUAUUUUUAACGAUGUUAGUGUGACAAUUCGUGUGGCAUCCACGUGUACUUCAAUCCAACAUCACAUUAUUUGUCUUAUAUGCCACAUUAACAAAUAAUUUAAAAUUUAUAAAAAUAUCCAAAAAUUAUAAAAUUAUAAAAAAAAUUAUAAACAUCCGCAUGAAAUACACGUGGAUUGUCAUGUUUUUGAAAAUUUAACAUUUUAGUUGGUAUUUUCAUUAAAAAAAUAAUAAUUUGACUCUUUUUUAAACGUUGAUGGAAAUGUUCGACUUUUUUUUAAAAUGUUGAGGGUCAAAUUUAACUAAAAAAAUAAGAAUCAAAUUGACAAAAAAUGUAAACAUUAAUUGCUAAAUUUAUCAUUAUGUCUUAUUAUACUUAAGAAUUAUAUACUCAAAUUUUGUAAUUGGUGGAGUUCAUGACUUUACAAUGUAUAAACAAAAACUAUUUACUUCAUUUCCUAAGUCAAAUUUUUUCUUUAAAUCGGAAUAUUUCAAAUUUUACUUUUAAUUUUCUAAGAGAAGAUAAGUAUAGAAAGAAUAAGCAAAAGAUGAGGAAGUUUUUGAGUGGUGGCAAAGUGACAAAUGGAGAGGUAUUGAGCUGUGCAACCAUGGGAUGAGACCAAACACCCAACACUCCCCAUCACAUUUUGUCAAACUCAAAGGCCAAGUUGCCAACCCCUUGGCCAUUGGCUCCAUCCUAUUUCCCACCACUAUUUGAUGUAUAUUUGGCCCUUUUCUAAGCCCUCCAACUCUCCAUUUUCUAUGUUCUCUCUAUAUCUCAAAUUCUCAAAAAAAAAAAAAAAAAAAAAACCUCUUCUUAUCCCAAGUUUUGAAGUACCCAAUUCUCCGAAAUCGACUGAUUGGCACUUUGCUAAAAUUUACUCAACUAUAAUAAAUGAGUCCCCACAUUCCUUUUAGGGUUGCAAUAUGCUUGGGAAAACAAUAGCUAUUAUUCACUCCACUAUAAUGUGGUUUGACAUGUCGAGAAUGUACAUAAAUGGACCUACUAAAACUAAUAAGAAAAAGGAGUGGCUAUAUCCACAAUUUAUGUUUUUUUAACAAUCUCAUUAUAAGUUCUGGUCAUAUCUAUUCUUUUUGACACAAUUCUUAGAACUACCCAUAGCCCUCUCCAAUCUAUAAAUAAGAGGAUAAUGUGCUUCAGCGUACUCAAACUUACGUCCUCCUGCAUUAACAACAAUACCCAUACCAAUCAAGUUAAGAUCCACUGAUCAACCACAACAAUGAUAUAAUUAUAUUCUGUCUUUAUUGCUAAAAUUUGUGAAUUUUCCUUAUAUAAUGUCAACAUACUUUUCAUAAUAUAAUUAAUAUAAAUAUGCUUUUUUAAAUAAUUAAUAUAAAUAUGCUUUCCAAUAAAAUUGCAAUUGAUUACAUUUCAUAUUUUAUUGACAUUAAUAGUUUUAAUUUAUGAUCACAUCAUAUAUUAUAAAAAAAAUUGAUGUAAAAAUAUAAUUAUAAGAGAGAGAAAAAUGAAAAGAUUGGUGAUGGAUUUAAAAUUAAGUUAGUUCAUAUUAAUGUAUAUGAUCACUAUUUCAUAUACAUAUUAUCACAAGAUAAUAACAUGUGCUAUAAUAAAAUAUCUUACUAAGUUAGGUGUUACAAGUCAAGUGACAUCAAUUCAAUUGAUAAAAAUACGAAAAAGUUAAAGUUGUCGUUUUAAAAAAUAUAGAGAUAAUUAGGCGAAUACACAGUUCAAAGUGGCUUUAAAUGGCUAAUGACUAAGACUCUACACCUGCAGGAUUAUAUUACAGACCAAAUUACCAAAAAAUAAUAUUUUACAAAGAUUUGAAAUCUCCUGAUCCUAAGUAAAAUAAAAAUACAUCUGUGGCGAGUUGCCAAUAAUUUUCUUCUGACACUCAGUACUCUUAGACUUCGAAGAAUCAGGAGCGAUGCUGCAUGUUCAGUCUGCUCAGUUGAAGAAGAAACCGUGGAACACCUCUUUCGAGAUUGCGAAUUCACAAAACAGGUCCUACAGGAAGUUGGGUUGGACACCUCGCACAUAAACGCAAGUCAUACAUGGAAACAAUGGUCAGCCUCUUUCUUCCAAAUGAAUAAUAUUAAAAUAUGUACUACCAUGGCAAUUACUAUUUGGGCAAUAUGGUACCACAGAAAUAGAAUUUACUACGAAGGAAAAAAGGAAAGGGUACAAGAGGUUGUCGAUUUUAUUAGAGCUAUUUACGAGAGUUAGGGCAAGUUAAAUCCUCAAUAAAAACUAGACUCAGUCCAAGAGAGGUAUUUUGGAGACUCCCCAAGGAAGAUCAGGUCAAAGCCAAUUUUGACGCAGCGUAUUCACAACAAGACAUGACAGCAACUGUGGGAGUUAUUAUAAGAAAUCAUGAAGGAUUUGUUAUGGGAGCAUGUCCUUACCCACUAGGAAGAAUAGGGGAUCCAACCACUACUGAAGCGAAGGCGUGUCUACAUGCCGUCAUAUUUGGGGAAGAAAUGGGCUUUCGAGAUCUGGUUGUCGACGGUGAUUCCCUUACAGUCAUUAAAAAGCUUAAGUCAGAUUCAGUGGAUAGAUCGGUGAUUGGCAACAUCAUUAGUGAAAUCCAAAGAAAAAUACUCAGCUUUGUUACCUUAUCUUUUGAGUAUACCCCUCGAAAGACAAAUGAAUAAGCACAUGCCCUUGCAACUCGAGAAUACAACCUAGAUAACCCAUCCUAUUGGAUUGAAGAAGUACCAACAAAGAUUGAACCCAUCAUUGCCAACGACCAAAGAAGACUCUAGAAUCGGUAGAAAUAGGACAUUUUUGUCUGAGUCCGGGAAUGCAACACAAAAACGCCUAUCCUCACCACCCUCUGAUGAACUCAGAUUAAGGAGAAAUCUGGUAUGGUGCUUCAAUGAGACUCUUUUGCAGUGAUGAAAAGGCACAACCAGUAUCCUCCACCACAACAACUAUAGAUGCAAGAAAGAGGAAAUGUGAUUCUGAUUGACGAUAGGAUUUAGGCUUUUUUAAGUUUUCUUAGGUUUUUGCUUUGAUUAUGGCCUUAAAAGAGGUGUUUUAAUUUCUUUUAUUUUUUCUUUACUGUUAGGCAAACCUGAGGCACCGCCUCGGUUAUUUAUACUCUAUUGACAGCUGAAAUAUGUUAUAACUUUUAAACUGACUACAUAAAAAAUCAUUUUCUCAAUUAAAACUAUUAUUUUGUUAUUUUGUCAAAAACAAACUACUCAUAUUAUUCAUGUAACAUUUAAUUAUUAGUAAAAGAAAUUUAAAUAUCAUUAUUUCUUAAAAUGAAAAAUUUUAUGUAUGAAAUAUUAUUUUUUAAAUGUAAAUUUUUAUAUAAUAUAUUAUAGUUUUACUCGUGGGACAAAUUUUAGUCGUUAGUUAUGUGUUUUACAAUUUUUUUUUGUAGAUAAUCAUGUUCAAGAGUCGGAGUACUAUUUACCCAAAUUUAAAGGCGCGCUCGAAAUAUGGGAGAAUUUGGACAAAAGUAUAAAGCUGAAAAAAUGUGUUUGUGCAAAAAAAAUUAUGCUCAUUUAAAAUAUGAGUCGAGCUUGGGCUCCAACAUUUAAGGUCCAAGCCUAGUCCGUUUUCUACUUUGUAAUAUAUUAUUUUAUUUUAUUUUGAUGUAGUAUGUAAUUUAUAUAAAAUAAAAGAAAAUAUAUAAUAUUAUAAUGUAAACAUUAAAAGAUAUGUUAAGUUAUCAAUGUUUAAAAUUUAAUAAAAGAAAUUCACUGAAAUAAUAAAAAAAGAACAAAUAUUAAAUUAAUAAAUAAUAUAUUUCUUAAAAAGAAUUAAAACAUAAUAUGGGUGAGACUAAAACAAGCUUAGGUUAGUCAUUUUCAAAUAUGAGUGGGCUUGGCAAAACUUGAGGCCCUUAUUUCAAACCGAACUAGGCUUGGGCGAACACAAAGUGCGCUAAUAUUACUACAUAGGUUCAACUCGACCCGGUUUAUAAACACUUCUAUUUGGAGAUUAGGGUUUAGUUAGCUCAUAUAUAAAUAUUUAUGCAAUCACUUGUUUAUACAUAGCAAGCAAACAUAUGAAAUAACUUUAAAUUUUAAAAAUAAUAACUACAAAUAUUUAAAAUUUUAUUUUAAAUAACAUUUAUACCUUAUUAUAAUAACUACAAAUAUAUAUUAAAAUUGAAUAAAGUAGUUUUUUGUGAUUUUCAUCUGAACUUGUACUUAGUUAACACAGUCAUAGCUAGUUAUUCAAAUAAGCUAGUAUAUAUGUAUGAAUAUGAUCAUUAAUUUAUAGCCGUCAAAAUCAAACUAUAUUAUAGUUUGAAUAAAAAUUGGUGGUCCAAUCGAUUCAUCUAAUACCAUACAAUUAGUAAAAAUCGGUUGAAUUGCUAAAAAGAACGGAUCAAUUAAAAAUCAAUUGAAAUAGGUUAAAACUAGUUUAAUCAUUUAAUUUUAUUAUUAUAAUUGAUAAAUGAAUGUUUAUAUUUCUAUCAUUAUUUAUUUGUCUUUACUAUUUUUUUUUCCUAUUUUCCUUGAUUUUUGUAAUUUUUUUAUGAAUUUUCUUUUAAUUAUGAAUUUUUUCUUUAUGAACCCAAGUUUCAAUUUUUUUUUAAUUAUGAAUUUCAUCUCUUUAUUUUACGAAAAUUCAAAAGUUAAUAUUUACUUUAAUUUGUUAGAUAUGUUUCCUCAUAAAAUAAUGGGUAAACUACAAAAAUAGUCACUUUUGUUUGCCUCAGAUUAAAUUUUAGUCACUUAUGUUCGAAAUGUUAUGUUUUAGUCACUUAUAUUAUCAUUUUGUUACGAAGUGGUCACUCUACUGUUAACCUCCGUUACCUCCCUAACAACAGUCCUACAUGGCAGUUCAAAUGGGUUUUAAAUGCCAACUUGAUGUCCAGUUGCUGGGAUGAAAAUAGGUUUUUAAUUAAAUAAAUUUAAUUUGGACUGCCACGUAGGACAUCCAAGUUGGCAUUUAAAACCCGUUUAGAUUGCCAUGUAGGACCGUCGUUAGGGAAGUGAUCAGUUUAACGGUAACGUAACAUUACAUCCAAACAUAGCAUUUUGAACAUAAGUAACUAAAAUGCAAUCUGAGGCAAAUAAAAAUGACUAUUUUUAUAGUUUACUCUAAAAUAAUUAAUAUAAAAUUACAUCCAAAAGUCCAAAGAACAGCAUGAGAUCCAUCCAUCAUUCAAAAUUAUGUUUAAAUUAAAAAUGGAAGAUACUAUAAUCAUAAUUUGAUGUAAAUCUAUACCUAACACACAUUUGAUUUUUAAUUUAAUUUGAUUUAUUAAAAAGGGAUUAGGGUUUACUAAUAAAAGAAUAAAAGUAGGUUGAGAACCAAAAUGCUAUAUUACAAUCACAUGAAGGCAAAAAACAGUUGAUGGGACCAUUUGCUUAACCCCCACACUUUAUUAAUGUCAUGUCUCAAUGGGACAUAACCUCAAAACUUGCACUGAAAGAAAACCAAAUGUUCAUAUUCUAAAUUUCAAUUUUUCAAUGUAUAUAAAAAUGAUGGGAUCCAAGGACAGACACAUUGAAAAAUCCCAACAAGAUUAAUUAGGAUAAGAUAUGUUUCAAAAUAAUAAUUAAUGGAGACGAAGAUGUCGAUUGAGUCUAUCAAAAUUAUUGUCAGUAUAAGAGAAAUAGGUUCGAAUAUGUUGAAGUACAUUAUUCUCUUAUUUAGGGAUUAGGGAGGGACUAUGAAUAAUUCUAAGCAUUAUAUCAAAAAAAUAAAGACUAAGAAUCGUAAUACUAUACUCAUAUGAAAGGAAGUAAAUCAAAAUAAAUAUUAAUAAUGUACUAGUUUUUUUACGUAUUAAUUAAAAUAUUUUAAUACCAUAAAUGGUUCUUCCGGUAGUUUAAAUAUAUGAUAUUAAAAUGAUUUAAAUAAUUAAAUAUAAAUUCGUAUAUUAAUAAAGAAGAAUUCAAAAGUAAUAUUAUAAGAUGAAGUAGGUAAAAAAAUUAUAAAUAUUUUAUUUUUUUUAAAUUGUAAAAUAUUAAAAAUGAAAUAAAGGUACAACAAAUUCUUUUUCUUUUUACCAAAGAAUAUACCAUUAUUUUAUUCUUAGUUAAAAUGUGGUAAAUAAUAUACUUACUUGUUUGAAAAAAAACAAAUUUAUUUAUUAAUUAAUUUUAAUUAUAAAAAUAAAAAUCACUUUAAAUUUAAUUAAAAAAAAUAUUUUAAACUAAAACUUUUGCUUAUAUAUUCUCGUAUAUUCUUUUAUGAUUAGUGAGUGUAGGGCAGACAAACAUUCCCUCGGUCCACAUCAGCUUAAAGCAGAGGCAUUUCCUUUUUAUGUAAUUGUAUUUUCUUUUCCUUUAGGACGUUUGAGGAGGCAAGGAGCUGAAUCUAUUGUCCCCGUGUUUAUGACUAAAAUGCCCAUGCCUGUUCUCCUGAUUUUAUACCCUCGUUAUGAAAUAACAAAGGUUUAAUUGAGUUGGUGUCACUUAUCAAUCGAUUUUUAAUUUAAUUAAAAAAAUUAUCAAACACUCGUCAUUUGAGGAUUUUUUUUAGAUCUUUUUAUAUUUUUAUAUAAAAUCUAAAAUUGUAUACACAUAAUGAGAUUUGAAUUAAAUGUACCAUGAUUUUUGAUAUUUUAAACAAAGUCUCGUUUAUUUUUUAAUUUUUUAUAAAUAUAUUUGUUACAUAUUUUUUUCACCCUGUAUUAUAAUUUAAUGGUUCAUAAAAUUUCUUAGGGAUUAUACCUAAAUCAUUUUUAUUAAAAAGUGAAUUUUGAAUUAAAAAAAGGGGAAGAUUAGGCACAUGUAGACUUGAUCUUGGGUCGGGCCACCCAGCUCGGUCCGAAGACCCACCCGAAAGUUGGGAGGUUUUGGGCAAAAAAGUAAGGCCGGUUUAGAAAAUGGUUCGAGCCUUGGGUAAGCUUUUUUUGGCUUGGGCUCAGCCCGAAUUUGCAAAAAAAAAUUUGUUGUUUUGCCACUGUUUUGCUGUCAUCUCACUAUUAUAUUGCUACUAUUUUAUUGUUAUUAUUUAGAUAUUGUAAAACUCUUAUUUUUUGUUAAUUUUGUUACUAUUUUAGAGGCAUUUACUUGUUAAGUUGCACCUAUCUUAGUGUUAUUUUAGUAUAAAGACUUUUUAAAUUUAUUUUCAAUUCGUUGGGAAACAUUUAUUUUAAUAUUUUUAGUGUAUUUGAUGUAUUAUAUAUUUUAAAUUUAUUUUUAUAUAAAAAAAUUAAUACGGAUAGGUCGGGCCGGGUCAGGCCAAGCUCAAGUUUUAACUUUUGUAAUCCGAGUUGGGCUUGGACAAAAUUUUAGGCCGAGCUUGAGCCUAUACAAUAGGGUGAAAUUUUGUUACGGCCCGAUCCAUGAUCACCUCUAGGCAUAUGGUAAACAUUCCCAAAAAUAGUAAGGAGGAAGGGAUGUGAGGAGUUAGAGGUAGGGCUGAGCAAAAAAACGAUCUGAAUUAAUAUGAAAAAGAUCUUAAAAUUUUGUUAAAUAAUAUACAAAAGCUAUAAAAUAAAAUUCAUUUUAUCAAAAUAAAUUUAAAAAUUUUAAUAUGAAAAAACAAAAAUCAAAUCGAAUUAUAAUAAACAAUUUUAAAAAUUUAAAUUUGACAGAACCGUACCGGCAUCGAGUUAGAGGAUGAAAUAAUUGAGAUCUUCAUUAUAUUGUGGAAAAGUGGCAAUUGUAAGCUCACGUGCAUGGAAUCCAACGUAGGCAAGGGAUUUAACAUUGGACUUUGGGUGAUAGAUGGAACCCAUGCUGUUCUCGGAAAACGUUUAAGAGAUAUUAUGUUUUUCUUUUCGACCGAAAGCCGAGUGGGAGGCUUUAUUUAACGGUGGGAUUGAAAGUGAUGAUUGGGAAUUGACCCCCGCCCCCUCCGCCCAUGAUUAACGGCGUUGACGUCCGGGGUGUAAAUCACAAUAUUACAAUCGGCCCUAACCCAUUGCAUUGCAUUGCAUUGCAUGCAUGCCUGCCCUUAAAUUGCGCUCUAACUUGGUUCUGUCUUCCUCCCGUUUCUGGGAAAUAGAAAUUUCAAACGGUUAAUAGAUUUAUUAUUGUCUGCCAAAAAGUGUAACGGCUAGUUGAUGCUGACGUGGAAGAAGACAAGAUGUCACGUCUGCUCAGACAACCUCUGACCCAUGGGGCUCCGCUUCCUGUAUCAAACUAUUGAAGCAAUUUAAGAAUAUAAUUUUAUGCAUGAAGUUUUUAUUUCACUCGAUUUUUACGUCUAAUCAUCUAAAACGAAACUGGUGUUGUAUGCUAAAUGCACCCCCAAAAGGAUGUUGAUGGCGGCUGGUGUUUGAAGCGUCUCAAAAUCUAAUUAUUUAUAUACUGAUGGCACGGUUAACGUUGUAUCAGGGGAUGUUGUUGUUGGGGAAGUGAUUAGAAAUCAUCUGGACAAGUGGAUUCUUGAGUAUAAUAGGCCGUUGGGACAUUGUUUGAUAUAUAAUGUUGAGUUUUUGGGUAUUUUGGAUGAAUUGAUUCUUUUUUAGAAUAGAGGAUGUAACAAAGUGUUGAUUCGAAUAAAUAAUAUAAAUGUUCUUCAAGCCAUUUAGGAAAUAGUCUCAACAACAUUUUAUUCAACACUUAUCAAACAUAUUCAACAGUUUCUGUUGGAAAUAGGCUAAUGCGAAACAGAGCAGGUCCCUAAAGAAGAGAACAUAGAAGCGGUUUGCAUCGCUAAGAUAGCUUUUGACAAAACUAAGUGCACCCCCAAAAGGAUGUUAAUGGUGGUGAUUGAAAGAUCUUGAAAUCUAUUCUGAUUUAAGGCUUUGGCAUUAGGCUGAAUUAUCCAAAAAUGCUUAUUUUUAAUUAUAAUUAUCGGAUUAAGUCGGUUUUUGUAAAUUGUAUCGGAUUGGGUUGAUUUUGAAAAAAACGCGUCCAGCUGGGCAUGUCUUUAAGUGGAUAUAUAUGGAAGAAAAACACUUCCAAUUAGAUAAGUUUUCAGCUUUGGCCAAAUGGAUAAAUGCUAGUGUUUUCAUUCUUGAGUCCCGAGUUUGAUUCUUCUUCUACUGACAUUUGUAUUUUUUAUUUCACGUUGCUUCAAGCUUUUUAAAUCUUUAAUUAAUUUUUUUAACAUAUUAGUUCUUUGGUUAGAUGGUUAAAUAGUUACAAUUACAUCCUUGAGUCUCAAGUUUAAUUCAUCUCCGACUCAUAUUUGUAUUUUCUAUUUCAUGUUACUUCAAGCAUUUUCAAAUUUUAAUUAAUAUUUUUAACUUUUUAAUUCUUUCGUUAGAUGGUUAGAUAGUCGUAAGUACAUUCUUGAGUCUCGAGUUCGAUUCCUCUACUACUCACAUUUGUAUUUUUUAUUUCAUGUUGCUUCAAGUUUUUUUUAAUUAAUAUUUCUAACAUAUUACCUCUUUUCGUUAGAUGGUUAGAUAAUUGCUAUUACAUCCUUGAGUAUGAGGUUUCCAUUAUUUUUAUGAACAUAUUAAUGUAUUUUCUAUUUUUAACUUUUAACUUUUUUAUUUAUAAAAUGAAAUAAUUUUUGCAAAUAUCAUUAAUUGAAAGAAAAUUAAUAAUAUGCUUAUAAAAAUAAUUAAAAAAUCAUCAAAACAUUAAUUAAAAAAAACUUGUAACAAUAUGAAAUAAAAAAAAAUAAAAAUGCAAGUAAGAAAUGAAUCAAACCUGGAACUCAAGGAUAAAAGUACUAACAUUUAAUCAUCUAGCCAAAAUUGAAAGUGUAUCUAGUUGGAAGCGUUUUCCUAUCAUAUCUACUGAAAACGCGUACAAAAUCGACCUAAUCCGAUAAAUUUUAUAAAACCGACCUAAGUCAAUCAGCAUUUUUGGGUAACUAACCCUUGGCAUUAGGCCUAAUUUAUUUUUUUCCCUAUUGACAGAUGACUUUGGGUAUCGGUUGAACAUAACCUAUAGGAUGCAAAGAUGAUGUAUUGUUGUUUGGUUUGUUUACUUGACAUUCUCUGCUUCAUUCAUUUCGUCUUGAUUUGUGAUUUUCUGCAUUGUUCCUAUCCUCCUCAUGAGUACAUCAUCAUUUUUUUAUUCCAAUGUCUUCAAUGAAUCUACUCUUUCAACCAAAAUAGAAUUUAAGAGCGAAGUUAGAAAUUUAUUUUUGGGGCAAAAAUUAAAUUAUAAAAAGAUUAAAUCGAAAUUUUUCAUCUUUGGGGGCCUUCCCCUUGGCGCCGUCCUUGUGAAUUACCAUUUAAUUUAUUAUUAUUUUGAUAUAAUGUUAGGGGUGGGGAUAGAGGUAACAAGGUCCGAAUCCAAUGUCAAAUGGAUAUUUGACAAGAGAUUUAACUACCAUUUCAUAUAAGUCAAAACAUCAUUUGAUUUAUUGUAUAUAUAUCAAUUUCUUAACCAAAAAAAAAUCUAGAUUAAAUUUAAGGGUUUGGUUGAGAUUAAAUGGGUAGGAAUGAUGUUGAUUCCUAAAACUCACCCGAAUCCAAUCAAACUCCACCAUUGAGAUGGAUUAUGUGUUUUAAUUUUUGUAAUUACAAAAAAUCAUAUUAUCCAUCAUUUUACUUUAUAUUUUUUUUUAUUUCUUAAAGUAUUUAUUGGAGCGAAUCUUAUAAUUAGGGUAGAUAGUAACAUUUUUCCUUAUCUUUUAUAAUGAAUCCAAUAAACCAAAUAGGAUUUGCACUCAACCCCACCAUACAAACCUUUGCAUUUUAUCAUCACUGAAUUAUCAAGAAAUUGUCAACGACAUCUUAAUUGUGUUGACACAAAAUUCAAUCAUCUUGAAUGAUUAAUGGCUAGUUUACUAACGAGGUUGAAAAAUAUAGUAAAAUAGAGUUUUUAAAAAAUUUGAUAAUAUUUUUUAUUAUUGUUAAAAAGUUAACUUAAACACGAAAAAAUUGAUUUAACAUUAAUUAAAUGUGAGGAAAAAUAACAAACAUCACAAAUUCGAAAAGCUUAAAAUUGGGCUUUUUUAUAAAAAUAAUAUAAAAAAUUAAUUAAUUACGAAAAUAGGUUGGGAGAUAAAAUAUUUACGAAAGUGAGCUGUUUGUUAUCGUAUCCACUAGUGUCGCCCGACACAUCGGUAACACCACUCCCCUUUUUCAAUCAAUCAUCACCCAAUCAUUAGGUUUUUAAAAAAUAAUUUUUUUUUGUGUUACCACUAUAUCAAGCGACAUCCGUAGGUAUUUUAAAAGAUACCUAUAAAAGUAUAAGUAUACACCGUUGGAGAAAAAAAACAAAAAAAAAGUUAUAUUUUUUAUGGGUGCCACCGGACUGUCAGUCUAUUGGCUGCUGAGAGCUCUCUUAUUUUUGCUUUUAGGCUUUGAGAAAUUGUUUUACAUUAUGGAUUUUACUUAUGGUCAUUCCUCUUGCAGGUGAGGACUUUGACUAGAGAGUUACGAGCUACUUCAUUAAAAUAAUUAAGAAAAAACAUGGAAAGGACAUUAGCAAGGAUAACAUGGCUCUUGGGAUGCUUAGGAGGGAAGUUGAGCGUGUCAAGAGAUUUCUUUUUCAUUUUCUCUCCUACUAUAUACUCGUAUUUUUAUAAGCAUUCUAAAAAAAUAUAUAGGGUGUUGCCUGAUACCGUGACGAUACUAAAAAAUUACUCUUUUAAAAGUCUAAUGAUUACGUGAUGAUUAGCUUUAAAAAAGAGUGAUGUCGUCGAUGUGUGAGGCGACACCGAUAUUUACUAUAACAAACGACUCAUUCUUGUAAUUAAAAUUUCUUUAAUAUCAUUUUUAUAAUUAAUUAAUUUUUAUAUUAUUUUUAUUGAAGGGACCUAAAAUUGUGAUUACCAAUCAGAUUGAAUUUAGUGCAACAAAAUCAGCUUAGCACUUGAUUAGCAUAAUCGUGAGUGGCGUUAGUUAAAAAACGGUCCAGUUCCAGCUGUACAGUAAAUGCAUUCACGUUUUCUUAUUGCCACAAAUAAAAUAUUGCAAAAAAAAAACACAAAAUUUUGACCGUUGAUAUGAUUGGAAAUACGCGUCGAUGCGCCGAAUUUUAAGCCGUUUCACUAUAGCCACGUGGCACGCCGGAUUAUGGAAAUACGCUAGGGCCCCACGCGAUUCUCGUAGGAGGCAGCGGCCACCUUUCACGCUUUUGGCUUUCUUUUUCUUUUUUUCGGUUUCCAUAAUUACCCUCCCUUGGUCUUCAGAAUUUGUGAAUACGCCAUUCGAAGGUCCUCGUUUAGGGCAAAUCAGUAUAUACGUAGAGUAUUGAAGGGUAAUUUAGGAAUCACGUGACACGCGGCGCUUCACUGCCGUGGGCUGUGGGCGGUUUCAAAAGCAAAGGAAGGAAGCGUUCCGUGUUGAAAAUCAGUUCCAUUAAUAUUGAUUGAUUUAAUUAAUAAUUGAAAUUAUUCCUUCGUUUCUAAGUAAAAUAAUUUAUUGUUUAGUAUUAUUAGUUAAAAGUCUGAGGGGUUGAGUUCGAGUUUUAUUAUGUAUAAUUAUAUUAUGCGAGUUUUUGAUUUCAUUAUAUACUUAUGUCAUGCGUAGAUUCUUUUUUUUAUAAUAUAUUUUAAAUCGAAUCGAUUAAGUUAUUGAUUCAAUUAAAAUUUUUUAAAAAUAGAUUAAAAAUUUAAUUUAACAAAUGUUUGCUCGAUUCAACUGGUUCGUAUCGAUUCUUGAGUUAAUCAAUUCAAAACCUCUCCUCGACUAGGGGUGUUCAAAUUUCGAUUAAAACUUAAUUAACCAACCAAAUCGAUUUAAUUCGGUUAAUCGAUUUAAUUCAGUUAGAGGUCGGUUAAUGAUUUUUUAGAAGUUUGAUUAUCGGUUAAUUCAAUUCAAAAUUAACCGAACUUAAUAAUUAAUAAUAUAAAUUAUAUGUAGUUUUAAUUCGGUUAAUUCGGUCAAAUGAAAUCAAUUUUUUUUGUAUGUUUUAUACUUGUUUUAACAAAAAAAUAUAAAUUUUAGUUAAUUCAGUAAUAUUUCGGUCCGGUUACUUUUUUUUAAAUUACGGUUCGAUUAACAAUUAAAUAAUUAAAAUUUUUGAUUAAUUCACUUUGAUUAACCGUUCCGGUUAACCAUUUGAACACCCCUACCCUAAACCGGUAUCUCAACCGAUUUUUAAUCCAACCUUUUUUUUAUUCAAUUGGUAAAAAUAGAUGAAUUCUGAAAAAAAAAUAAGUUUUUAUGGUUUACUUUUAGUUUAAUAUUAAACCCAAAUUUGGUUCAUUUUAUCUCGAUAAUAUUUAAAUAUUAAAAGGAAAAAUCUGUUUUAGGCCCCCCAAAAGUCAUUGCAAUCAUUAUUUUUACCCCUAAUGAUUUACAUUUUAUCACACUUUCUUUGACAUUGCUCACUCUUGUCUUUGUCCAGUUGAUUAAUUUUAUUCUUUACUUAUUAUUAUAGCAAAGCUUUUGACACUUUAUCCCUCUUUCAAAACUUCAAACUUUUUCAUAAAGAAAAAAAAUUCAAAGUUCAAUUUUCAAGCUUUGGGAGCCUUGAAUGAGGGAUAAAGUGACCAAGUAAAUUUAUACACGUAGAUGAAAAAAAUAUGUAAAAAGUUUAUAUAAUUUAAAUUAAUAUUUUUUUAAAAAAUGAUAAUACUUAACCACGGGUUAGGUGAAAUGUUAAGGGUUUCUCCUACUUUAAUCAAUGGUUAAGAGUUUGAUCUUCGUUUUGAGUAUGGAGAACAACUUUAAAAUUCAUAGUCAGCGUCAUUAAACUCACUUCGAUGAGUACCUUAAAAUGAAAUAAUAAUAAUACAUAUAAGGGAAACAAAGUAGUUUAUUUUAAUAGUUUUUAAGAGGUGGGGUUAUCUUUUUCAAAGUAAUUAAGGUUUGUUUUAAAGACAUAAAUCUCGGGUAUUAACUCAUAAUUUAUAGAAAAAGUGGUUUUUAAGUCAAUUCCUUAAGUAAGUAUCAAGAUUUUUUAGUAAGGAUAAAAUUAGGAAUAUGAAAAUAAAUAUAAAAAGUAUCUUAGAAAUACUAUGUAAACAUUCAAAUGGUAUGGGCAGGGGCGAAACCAGGGGCUAGCAGGGACCCAGCCCCUAUAAAAUGAAAAAUUUUCGAGUAUUUGGAUUAAAUUUAAAUUUUAGAGUUGAUAAUAUUAGGAAAGUUUUAUCUGAAUAUCACUUUUAAUCGAAUAGAAUUGUGUUUGAAUAAUAAUAAUACAAUUACAAUUACAUGACACAAUAAUAUCUUAUAAUAUCUUAUAAUAUAAUAAUAUAAUGGUGAAAUUUCAAUUCUAAUCUUUCUAUUUUUGAGAUUAUGUAAGAACGGUUAAAUUUUAGUUUCGAUCUCUUUACUUCAUUCAAAUUUGAGAUUUAAUCUUUAUACUUUAAUUUCGACAUAAUUUGGUACCUCAACUUUUAUAAUAUCAUUAGUUCAAUUAAAUGCUUAUCUCAAAAUUAAAAUGUUUAUGCGAACUUUUAAGAAUCGUUAACAUUGUUAAAACUCUCUAUUAAAUUCAUGUCCAUUACAGGAAUACCAAGUGAGUAUUUUUUUUUUAAAAUUUCAAAAUAUCAUACCAAUAAAUUCGACUGAAGCAUUUUAACGAUAUUAACAAAUAGACCUAAAAUUUCAAAAUUCGAAAAAUAAAGAGAUUAAAUUCCUAAAACUAAAAGUAUAAAAAUUAAAUUCCAAUAUAUGAUUAGUGUUGGAGUUUGUGUAACCCGAAUCUCAUCACUUGUUGAAGAAAUAAAUCCAGUGGUAAAAUAAGGAGAUCUAUAGGGGCGAAUUAAGCUCAAAACUGGGCUGGGGUUGCGACGUUCGCCCCCGUAGUACGGGCCAUACCGCACAAGUAGAGUCCAUAAAGAACUACAUUCUACUAUUUGACUUUGAUUAAAACAAGAUUUUUAAAUUCUUAAAUAGAUAUAAUCGAAACUCCGGAUUGUGAUUAUAUUUUUAAAGAUUUGUAUGUAAGUAUUGAAAAUCCAAACCCUAUAACUAAAGUCCUCUUUGGAUACGCAAUAUAUAUAUGUAUGAAUUCAAUGUAUUGUGAUAUUUAAGAUAGUAAUUUUAAAGAUAAAGUUGAGCCAAUCUCCUUGGCAAUAUGUGGGUGGGAUAAAGAUGAACACCCAUUUGAAUAUUACAUGAAAAUAUUUUCAUGAAUUUGAAAUUCCGAAUAUCGUAUUUGCAUAUUUGUGAAUUUAAAUGCUUCACAAGAACCUUGUAUUUCUUUAAGCUCUUCGUUUUCAACUAUUCAAGUUUCAAAAAUUCAACCAUGUGAGACAUUAAAUUAAAGAAUCAGUGUUUUUUUUUGAACAAUCUUAUUAUAGGUUGUGGUUGUAUCUGUUCUUUUUGACACAAUGUUAGAAUUAUUUAUAGUCUUUUUCUAAACCAUAAAUAGAAGUAUAAUACAUUUUAGCACACUCGAACACAUGUUCUCUUGUAUUAUCAAUAACGCCCAUCUCAACCGAGUUAAGGUUCAGUCAGUUAAAUUGAUUUUUUUAAAUGUAAAUAGUAACUGAAUAAAAAAAAUAUGAAAAUAAUAAAAAUUACUUUAGGGGUUAAAAAUGAAUAAUGAUUUGGAAGCAUGGUAUAAUAUUAUCAUUACAUUAACUUAUGAUUUUAUAAAAUUUGAAGGGCUUUUAUAUCAAAUUUAUUAGUUUUUGGUCUUGCCUUCGCCUCUAGCAAUUUGAGAUAUUGAGACGAUAAAUCAAACAUCCGUCUCACAAAAUAAAAAAUCUUUGUUACUUCGAUUUGAGAUCAAAAAUCAUGUUGAGAAAACUCAAAUCGUCAAAUCGUCAAAAAAGUUCACCAUUAAAAUGCUAGGGAGAACAAGUCUUUAGGUUUAGGACAUGGACAUGCUAGUAAAAAGAGUUCAUGCCUACUGACUCUGUUCUGAAUUCUCAGUUCUGACUCUUGACUGAUUUCUCAAACCUCCUUUCACUAAAAAUUAUUAGGAAAAAAACCCCAUGAAGCAUUAAUAUGAUUUUUAAAAUAAAAAAUAAAAUUUCUAAAAUAUGAUGGAAAAUGAUGUUGAAAAUGAAAAAGUAAGAAAAAGAAAAUGGGAGAAUAAUUUGAAAAAAAAAAAAACCUGUCUACAUAUGAACAGCUAACACCUGCUCAGUCUCCCAAUAAAAUGACCUGCUAUAUUGUCUUUCUUUUCAAUUUUUAUUGACCUUUUUUGGUUCUCAUAGCUGUAGAGAGAUUAGUCAUAUUAUUAUUCCUUUCUUCUUCUUUCAUUCUCAACAAUCUCUUCCCCCUCUUCUUCCAUAAUACUCUUUCUCUUCAUAUAUAAUCUUUAUUUUCAAACACCCUAAAUUUACAACCACAUAUUCCAGAGAGGAUUUUUUUAAAAAAAAUGGUGAUGAAGUUACCUUAUCUGGGUUCUUGUUUGUUUUUGGUUUUUUUUAGUUUGGUUUCUAUUGUUGCUUCUGGGUCUGGAAAAGGGCUCCCAAUUCUUUCAUUCGAUGAAGGAUAUAAUCAGUUGUUUGGGGAUGAUAAUCUAGUUAUCCAUAGAGAUGGUAAAGCUGUUCACUUGUCUUUGAACGAAAGAACAGGUAUGUUUCUUUUUUGCUGAUUUGGGUUCUUCUUUUUUUCUUUGUUGUUUCAUUAAAAAGGAAACAUUUUUUUGCUUUUGAUGAUGGUGCAAAACAGGGUCGGGGUUUGUGUCACAAGACCUUUACUUGCAUGGUUACUUCAGUGCUUCAAUAAAGUUACCUGCUGAUUACACUGCUGGAGUUGUGGUUGCUUUCUAUGUGAGUUUAUCUAUGUUCUGCAUUAAUCUCUUUCCUUUUUUUUAUAUUAAAAUCUAUUUAUCUAACAGUUAAUUAUUUUAGAAGCUCUCUCAACAGUCCUUUUAAGCUCAUGGUUGCUGUUUAGUGUCAAUUAAUCUGUUUUUUUUUUUAAUUCUGAUACUAAUAAGACUCAGAUGAGUUUGUCACUGUUUUUUUCACUUUCCUCUCAUGGUUCAACUUGGAGUUUGAAUAGGGUCUUGAAUAAAGACUUUGGUUUUUCUUUUCAAGUCACAAAAAAUUCAAAUUUUUAUUCAAGAAUCUGAUCAAAAUACACAUGGAUAUGACUAUGAACAUGUUCAACUUAUCUCAGGUUAAUUAGAAUUUCCAGAUGGUUUUUUCAUGUUGAAGGAGAUGGCUUCUUUCAUAAAUGAAAUUCAUUUUCCUGAAUAUGGAUUUUAAUUUAUGUGAUAAACAGAUGUCAAAUGGUGAUAUGUUCGAGAAGAACCAUGAUGAAAUAGAUUUUGAGUUCUUGGGUAACAUUAGAGGAAAAAAUUGGAGGAUUCAGACCAAUAUUUAUGGCAAUGGAAGCACCAGUGCUGGCAGAGAAGAGAGAUACAAUCUCUGGUUUGAUCCUGCUGAUGAUUUCCAUCACUACACUAUUCUCUGGACUGCUUCUCACAUCAUGUAAGCAUUCACAAUCUAUAUCCCCAAAUACUCGUGUUGGACAUCCGACCCAAUCACAAACAUGGAUAUGGGAAUAUUACCCUUUAAGCAUUGCCCCCACCAUCUCUCCUAUAAUUUUUUGUUGUGUUGCUUUCCUUUUUCCUCAAAUGGUUAAAUCCUUUAGUUAUGCUGCUCUGCUCCAACCACAACUUUUUUAACCUAUGAACAUUGUAUGAGUAAGUGCUGAACAUGCUGUUUUGAAGAGUUGUGGUUUUGAUGUGAUGGUUGUAUUGUGAUGUAGGGUAAGUUUCUUAUUUUGGGAUGUUUAUAUAUUACACGAUAUGAAGUCUGGUUUUGCUUGUAAUGGCAUCCCUUUUACAUCCAUCCAGUUUUUCUUCUAAUACCACCAUAACUAAAUUGUUGGUUUUGUUUUUGAUGGUAAUUAUUUUUGCUUGCAGAUUUUAUGUAGACAAUAUCCCCAUUAGAGAGUUCAAAAGAACAGCUGAAAUGGGUGGAGAUUUCCCCUCUAAGCCAAUGUCAUUGUAUGCUACAAUAUGGGAUGGAUCUGAUUGGGCUACUAAUGGUGGCAAAUAUAGAGUCAAUUACAAAUAUGCUCCUUAUGUAGCGGAAUUCUCCGAUUUAGUCUUGCACGGCUGCGCAGUUGAUCCAAUCGAGUUUUCGUCCAAGAGGUGUGACGGCACGCAAAGUUGGGAACAACUUACAACCAGUAUCACCCCAUCACAAAGAAGCAAGAUGGAUAGCUUUAGGAGGAAGCACAUGACAUACUCUUACUGCUAUGACCAAACCAGAUACAAGGUUGCUCCUCCGGAGUGUGUGAUCAAUCCCCGAGAAGCUGAAAGACUGAAGAAGUUUGACCCUGUCAUGUUUGGAGGAGGCAGGCGCCACCAUGGGAAACGACACCACCAUAUGCGAGCAAGCCGGUCUGAGGCUGAUUCCAUCUGAUGAAAGACCUUUGACCAUUGUUUUCCUCUCCUUUUCAUUCAGCUUGGGGAUCAGUUUUGUGUAUAGAGAGAGGGGGAAGACUGCAGAGCACAGCACAUAUACAUAUAUAUAUUGAGGGUGAUAUGAGUCAUUAUAUAUGUUCAAUGAUGUGGGGGGUAUGUGUAUAGUUCCAUACCGUUUUAGGUUUCGCUGUCCAUUUUUGUUAUUGAUGCAAUAAAAUACUUUAGCAGAUUUAAAACAUCUUUAUUUUUUAAAAAGUUAAUUUAAGUAUCAUUUUCUGCUUUCCCUCUUGGUGGUUCAAAGAGACAUCUGCAGCACCCAAAAUUGUUGCAUUUAAUGUCCAAAGUUUGGGGUUAUCUCUAUGUCUGUUAGCAUGUUGCUGAUCAAUAUGUAUAUGCCAUUGGGUAGUUGGAAUCUAAGGAGGGUUAGAUGUGACAAGUUGGGGAGAUAUACUUUUAAAAAAUAUUACUAAAUUUUAUUUUUGAGCCCUCCAAAAACUAAUAAUUUAAUUUAAACCCUUUAACAAAAAAAAAUAACUUUGACAUCUAAAAUUUUAUAAUUAAAAAAAAUGUUGAUUUCGCCCACUACAGAACAUAAAUUCAUCCAUUCCAAGGGGCAUUAAAUAUAAAGCAUUUGCACAAAAUCAUAAGGUGAAGAAUAGAGGUCACAAAUUUUUGGAACAACUUGUGCUUAGAUUCCAAUAUCAUUUGACAGCCAAUUCUGAACUGGAAUUGCAACCUCAUUGAGUAAAAUUGAAAUGAAAAAAAAUGAAGAAAUCCCAGUAUUUUAGACCACAUAAUAAUAAUUCAUAGUUAUCCAUAUGCACUGACAUAAAUCAUGUGCAAAGCUCAAAAAGAAAAGGCUACAUCUCACUAUCUUUUAAAGCAGAUAUCUUUGAUUGCUAAGAUUGUAACCUGCAUUUCCCUAACAGUGAAAGAAAUCAAAGAAAAUGGAUUUGAUUAACACAAGCUAACAAGUGCAAUAUCAAUAUACAUACCCGCUAUAAACCCUAAAAUUUGACUUUGUCCAAUAGUAUCACAUGUAUGUAUAACCCUUCCUCUUACUAAUCCAUGUAAAGUAGAUGAAUGUAAGAAAUAUCAUGUAAAUCAUUUACACGAUGCCAUGGUGUGUUAUGUCCAAGAUUUUUCUUUUCUUCUAUAAGAAACAGCUGUUAAGAAAUAUAAAUGAUAGUCCAAAAGCAAAAUGUCCAGAAGAUGCUUUCCAGCAACAAGAGGAGAUGCAUUCAGAAAAGUUCUCAACACAAAUACGACUCCAACUAAUUUCGAAUUCUACUACCAAACUUACAUUUACCACCAAAGUAUAUCAGUAAAGAACAAGAUCUCUAGUUCUGGGAUUCAGCUGCCUCCUUUCUCUCUAUCAGUUUGAUGAAAUUCUGAACAAUUAUUUUGCCUUCAGAGGUUAUGAUGCUCUCCUGACUGAAAUGAACACCCUACGGUUUUCAAUCAACUUAAUGAGCGUAAAGAGAAGUAAAUGGAAAAGAUUGAUAUAGUAAUACUUCAGUAAGUGGAAAAUAAGCAUAACAAUGAGGGACAGCCUCUGCAUAAGGCUUUUUUUGGGACCCUUCUUUUCCUCGACUCUUGGUUUGUGAUAAAAGGAGGAAAAAGAUGACAUAAAGAACUUGUUAAAAGUGCUUGUUUUAUGAUGGUAGCUUUAGUUUCUUUUAUCUAUAACCAGACUAUGGAAUCAAAUCAUAUAGAGGUAUACACAAAUUGCUAAAACUGAAUGAAGGAAUGUAUGUGGAAGAUGUGGAGAUCAUAGUGUGAACAACAUCAUCGACCGUCUCAUAACGACGAUGUUAGAAUUGAAGAAAUGUUCUUAGCAGUGAUGGGGGUUAAUAUAGGGGUAUAAUUAAGAUGAAAAAAUAGCUAUUUUAAUUCCUAAAAUGCUGCAAAAACCCAAGGGUGUCAUGUCUAAGGCACUGAAGUCAAGAAAGGGUACUCCUAUGAAUCUAUGAUGCCAUUAGAGAUGCUAUUACAUUGAUAUCUCUAGGCAGUAAUGUCAGAACAGAACAGAGGUAACUAAGAGACGAGAGACUUUUUGAUAAAUAUGAAAACAAGUGACAUUUUGGUUUUCAACAUAAAAUAGGUUGUUAGUUAACAUUUUCAUACUGAAAUUUAAAAGGUAUCGAUGUCUGCAAGUGCAUGUAUACAAGAAGACACCAUUUUGGCCAAAAAAAGAAGACACCACUAGAAAAAUCAAUAUAAACUUAAUAAAAUUAGGAGAAUAAAGCACAUUGCAGAAAGAACCUUAUUAGAUGAUUCUUAAAACAAGCAAUUGGUCAAACAUAUAUCAUGGUUGAGCUAUGAUUCUCCAGAGAUUAAAAAAUUAUGGUGCCAGGGAAUUUAACCUUAUAUUGAUACUCCAAUUAUUCCAGAUAUAAUUAUAGUGAUUCUAUCAAUUAGGAGUGCAUCUAAUUUAUGUAAAGAAAUCAGUUACAUCACAGCAAAUACAAUCUUACCAGCCAAUCAGUUAGUUUUCAAUUUGACUGUAGGUGUUUGUUCUCAUUCUGAAAAUCAUUGUGCUAAUACGUUAUAAGUAAAAUAGACAGCGGUCUUACAUGUAGAUACUUGUAUAUCUUGUGCCGAGCAGCCAUUAUCAGUGCAUCUUCUGUAAAAGCAGUAACCUUGAGUGCUUCCAAAGGAAAACUAUCCAUAUCAAGAAAGGCAUCGGGACCUCUGCCAGCUUGGAAUGGGCUGGAAAAGGCACAAACUUAGUAAGAAUUGCUGAUAAUCUGAGGUGUAAUUAAUGAAAUAAAUUGGAAACUGUUUUUAAGAGUAAUUUAAUAGAGCUUCCAAAUGUCUAGUAAAAAUAAAGAAGGAUAGUAGCAGAAAAGGGAGGUUUUGACCAAGUAUGCCACACAGUAAUAGUAUAUUACAUUCUCACAUGGGGGCUAGGGGUGGUUGUGAGGGAAGCAAGGUGCAGUUUUCUGAGAGAGAUUGGUUUUAGUUUCCCAAGUAAGCAUUGCAACAUGCUCAACAGUGACUAUAUACCCUUAGACACUAUAUGAACUUCAUAUGACUGGGCUUCUUUUUCGGUAUAUUUAUAGACUCCUCACUCUCAACACCCUUUCAUUGCCAAUCUCAUAGCUAAACCUAGGUCUGAAAGCGGCAGGGUGAUUUGCAAAUCUGAAACAUAGACUUCACUAAUUAAAAUGGCUCUUCUUCUGUACCUUUCUCAAAUUCAGUUUGCUAAUGUGAGAUUUUAACGAAGAUAAGAUUUUUUUCAUACCACUAGUUUUUCAAUGGCCAACAAAUUUAGGACAUGAUUAGCUACAUAAGUAGUCAACCAUGCACAUUAUGUGUAACAUGCUGUAUAGAGCUCUACUGAUUUUCUGACCUAUUGGAACCAUCUAGCAUUGGUAAACAAAAGCUGACAGGGUGUAGAAUCCCUCUCAAGGGGCAUUGGAAAAAAAAAAGUGGAAAUUGAAACAUGUUUUACAGCUCCUUAUCCACUAUUUUGCCUAUAAAAGUAAACAAAAUUUCCUAACAGUUGAAACUUGUUAGGGGAAAAGUGCUAUUAAGGAGUCCCUAUACUUGAAAGGUAAAAGAGAGCUCAAGAAACAAAUUUGACUGUAUUGAUAGUUUGAGCACAUAAUUUAAGCACACUUUAAGAAUUUAAAAAGGAAAAAUUGUGGGCCAAGAAGUAUAUACUUUGGCAAUCCUGUAAACAACCCAGCUUCCUUCUCAUCAUAAUAAUAUACACAACAACUGUCGCCCAGUUUAAGACCAUAUGGAGAACGUACUGUCUUUCCUGCAUUUUACAAUGAAGUCAAACAAAUAAUGUUAAGAUCCCACCAGCAAGCAGCCCAGCUUCAUGAUAGACAUACACGACUAUGGAAUAAAUAUUGAGAUAAUGUAGAAAGAUCCUGAAUUAAAAUGAAUAACAGUUACAUAAGCUAUCCUUGAACACUCACCUCUGAAAGCCUCACAAAUGCACCACAUUCCCGUAGAAACACCUAACAAUGGUACAAUCGUCCAAGCUCCAAAACUGUUUGCAAUAAUGUUCUGGAGUUUUUGAGCGUGCCUGUUCAAUGGAUACAAAGUGUAUAAAAUGCUGAAAUACGACAGGUUCUUAUGCUUUGGUUAAUACGGCAAACUAGUACCUGGACCAGGGGAGAUGAGCACUCCCCUAGGGUUUUUCCUACAAUAUAACAGGAGAACUAGUCAUUAUGUGAAUAAAAUCUCUAGAUAUAAGAUAAUUAAUAACCAUCCACCACCCGAGUGACCAUCAUGUUAUACAUAGUAUUGUACUAGUCAAAAGGCUAAAAUUCUUAACUUUUCAACUCUUCCACGGUUAACUCAUCAUUCCGACAAACCUUGAGACUACAUCCAAGCUCUCCUAAAUCCUGCAAAGUAACAUGUAAAUUCUGAGGGUUUUCUGUAAUUAGUCAAUAGCACAACUCAGAAAAGACUAAAAGCAAUCAAACAAAAAAAUUCGUAAGGCAACAUUUCUAGAUCAGAAAAUUAUUAUCAACUCCUUUUACCCCUUUCAUAAGGCGGCAAUCAAAUGAGCCAUGUCUACUGCUUAAAAGGACAAAGACAAGAUUGAAGUAAGGAUGAUUCCCAACAUUGGAAGCAAGAUUUCACUCUAUUCCCUAAUAGUUGGUUUCUCAGUGCUUGUGCUUGUGCUUGUCCUUGUCGGGGGGAAAUCUUUGACCAAUUUCUAGCACCAUAAACAUAAAAAACUGUCUCAUGCUAUUGAUAUUCAUUGGUCAAAGACCAUUAAACCAAGUGACCAACAGUAUCGAAGAUGCUGAAUUGAGUUCACUACACCAUAUGAAUAUUCAUUCAGCAGGAAUCACUUUUGACAUAUCAUGUUUCUUACUGAUAAUAAAGUUGCAACAAUUUCGUUGAGGUAAAUAGUUUUGAAAAAUAAUCCUUUACUUUCAAAGAAAGAACUAAAAUUAGACCAAAAAAGAAAAUUUCAACAGUUCAGGAUUUUCUUUCUAGAUCAUUUACAAGCAUGAAUAUAUUCUUUCACACACAAGUACAAUAAAUUUACUAUAAACCUGCUAAUCAAUAAUUCUGUUACCUGUCGUUUUCCUCACGAUUUGUAAGCAAUCAAACAGCAUAUCUAGAAUCAAGUCUUAAAGCAGGGCAAUUAAGAAAGGCAAACGAUUAGCUAUGAAAAUGAGAUUGGGAGUGAAAAAACUAUCAUAGUUGUCAAUGAGUAUAAUGGGAUUCUGGCUGUCUUGCUUAGUCUCUGUUAGAUACUAUGCAAAAUAUGUAUGAACAGAAAGAUAAACUAUAGUGUAAUUCUUUAAUCAAUAUUCCCUCUCUUGAAUGAACAUAUUGAUGAAGUUUAUAUAACUGCUCCUAACCAACUACUUAACAGAUUUGAUAACAGACUAACAAUCUUUAUACUAUUGUUUAACAGUCUCCAACACUGAAAAGGCUGAAUACGGUACAGCUGACGGCGUUGAUAAUUUUCCAACAACCCCACUUCUCUUUGUUAGCAAGAAACCAACUCCUGCAAAACACAACAAAGAAAAAAACAGAAAAGAACCUUUCUUUGAUUACACAGUACACCCAAAAAAAUUCGAUAGAAAAGAAGAUAGAGGAAGAGAGAGACUUGAUGGAGGAGAGAGCCUGGAUAGUUGAGGCAGAGAUGGAUUUUGAAGGGUUUUAAGAGAAAGUGAAGGUUUUGGUUGAACCAGAGAUGAUUGCAUAACAAAAUUAACAGCCAUUUUUCUUCUAAACAAAGAAACAAAGCAAAGUAGUUUUUUUUUUCAAGGCGCUAGGACUCUGAGAGGAAGGUUUAUCAGUUUCAGUCUUAUGUCUUGCAGGGAUUCUGCUUUAUAGAAAAAUAAGUUGCACAAUGUUCUCCACAUGGCCGUCAGUUAUCUAGAAAAGCAAUGUAAUUGGACAAGUUUUUGUUCUCUUUUAGGUGAAUUGCCAAAUCCUCCUUAGAUGCUUUCCAUGCCUCAAAUCUGAAUGGGAUUCAAUUAAAAAUAUAUACACUCUUGACUCAAUGAAAAUUUAACAAGGACCUAUUUCUUCUGAGUACAUAAAUUAAUGGGUUUUCUUUUGACAGGUGAGAUAGAGAUGAGUUUUGAAGGGAUUUAACAAAAAGGGAAGGUUUUGGUUGAACCAGAGAUGAGUUGGUAGUACAAUAUAACUGACUUGGAGUCUCAUUGAAAAGAGAAUAAAAUGGCAAUGUAUGUUCAGUUUCGAUCAUCUGGGGACAUAAUUAUCAUUUCUAUCUUCAUAAACAAAAAGAAAAAUGGAAAUAGAAAUAUAGGCAAAAGAUUAUCCAAUGAAAAAGACUGUUAUGGAAUGCAAUUGUAACUGUCAUUUCAUAUUUCUGUUAAUUACUCUUAAUUACUUUUUAUUGUAAUGUUUUGGUAUUCUUUUAGUAGUACGGUGCGUUUUGUAUUUGAGGGGGGUGGGGGGGUUGGGAAAAACACCGUUUAAGGAAACGGUGUAAUUUUGGCAAUGAUUAUUCUGCCAACUGUUACCAUCCGUUAUUCUGCUUUUCUUAAUAGCCAAUUAGAGAGAGCAGAGGUAGUUAUGAAAUUUGAAAACCAUAUUCAAUUUUCUUCUCUCUCGUUUCUCUCUUUCUCACCUUCUAUUUUCUUAAAUUUCUUCUUUCAAAAUCACCUCGCCACAAAUGUAUCAGAGCCUCGUCGAUUCUCAUGGCUACUGAGGGCAUUACAACCAGGCUUCAGAAAGAUAUGACACUGAUUCAGAAUGAGCUUACAUAGUUGCAAGCAAAGUUCAAUCAACUGAGCAUAAGGAUUGAUGCACCUCUUAAGGACUUCCAGGAAAGAAUUAAUAAUGAGGUUCGUUCUGAGGUAAGAUCCGAGCUUCGUUCAAAGCUCCACUCUCUGUUUGAGCAGUACUUUAGCCAAACUCCUCUUAUUGUGGUUACUGGUUUGGUUUCAAACAAAGGAAAGGGAAUUCUAGGCGAGAGUCCUCCAGGAUUUCCAUCAAGAGAACAAUUUGUUGUGUCUCCCAUACUAGAUCUGAGACAUACUGGUGCGUCUUCUCGUGUGAGCAGCUUGGAUGUUGGGAGUACUCUUUUCAGAGUAGAUUGUCCUCAUUUUUAUGGGAGUAAUUUUCGAAGGUGGUGGUCUAAGUUUGAAAAGUACUUCGAAUAUGAGGGGGUAGGAGACCAUGCUAGAGUUCCGAGUGGUGAUGUUGCAUUUGGAAGGGAAGGCAUUGGAUUGGCAUCACUUCUUUGUCCAGACGCAGGGAGAGUUACAUCAAGUAACCUGGGAUCUAUAUGCCAAUGGCCUGAAUGAGCGCUUUGGAUCUGACUCAUUCCUUGAUCAUAUGGCUAAACUUGUCUCACUCAGGCAACAAGGAUCUGCCGAUCAGUUUCAUGAUGGAUUUGUAAGUUUCCUGAAUCUAGUCCACUUGCCUGAAGCAUAUGCACUAAGCAUUUUCACAAGUAAUUUAAAACCUGAGACAAUACCUUAAGUUGUUCAAGCCACAAACCUUGGUUGAAGGGGUACAUUUUAGCUAGACAGGUGGAAAAUAUUGUCUUAAGACCUUCUAGGAAGUGAUUACUUGUGAAUAAUGCAGUAGGCCCUUGUAAACCUUUAUUGCUUGUUUCCAGAAUGCAUCAUGGUAAUGGGGGCCUUUCACCAGUAGGUGGUUCUGGUGGUGUGGUCAAUACUGGUCAACGAGUCCCCACUAAAUCUCUUUCUCAAGCCGAGAUGGAUGAUAGAAGGAAGAAAGGGCUUUGUUUUUUGUAUGGCUCCAAAUAUACACUAAGACACAAAUGCUCCAAAUCCUAAUUAUAUCAGCUUAUCAUUGAACCAUAAGUUGAUCAUGAUACUGAUGCCAAAAGUCCUACUUCAGAGGAGUUCCAAGACUGUCCUGACCAAUUAGAGGUAGCAGAUCAAAUGGUUGAGAUUCCUACUCUAGUGUUGUCUUUACAUGCUCUUCAAGGGUCACAAGGGCAGAAUACUAUGACAUUUUGUAUUUGAGGGGGGGAAUCAACGAUUGCUUAAACGUCUCGUUUUGGGAAAAACACCGUUUAACGAAACAUUGUAGUUUUGGCAAUGGUUAUUUUGCCAACUGCUACAAUUCGUUAUUCUGCUUUUCUUAAUAGCCAGUUAGAGAGAGCAGAGAUAGUUAUGAAAUUUGAAAACCAAAUUCAAACCUUCUAUUUUCUUAAAUUUCUUCUUUCAAAAUCACCUCGCAACAAAGACACGUAGUUUUGAAGAUGCAAUCAAACCUGGCAAAGAUAAUCAGCGAAACUAUAAUAGUUAUGAAUGAGGAUAAUGGGAUUCUUAGUGUUUUACUUACUCUCCAAACACUGAAGAGGUUGAAUCCGAUGCCAAUGAUGUUUUCUCAACAGUCCCACUUCUCUUUCUUACCAAAAAACCAACUCCUGCAAAACAACACAAAAAGAACCUUUCUUUAAUUACACUGUACAUAAAACCAAAAAAAAAAAAAAGAAUAGGGAGAGAGAGAGCGUGGAUAGGUGACAUAGUCACAUAGAUGGGUUUUGAAGGGUUUUACUAGAGAAUUGAAACAAUUUGGAUCAAGGCCCGAGGAAUGAAUUAGAACAAGCUAAGGACAAAUUUAUAAGAAGCUCAAACUAAGAAGGAAUUAUAUUGGAAAUAUCCCGAAACAGAAAAGAAAAUUUCUUACCCCCAGCAAGCCUACGCUUUUACAGAGAAAUCCCUAAGAAAUUAUUUUCAUCUUGCACGGAAAAAAAAUCUCCAUCUUCUUCCAUCUCACACCGCAAGCCUACCCUUUACGCCCUCUUCUUCUCUUAAAACUCUAUAACCAUGGAUUCUAUAUCCUUUUAAAAUAUAAAAAUCAAAAUACUCCCAUAAAUAUUCUACCCUAUAAAAGCCCCAACACAAAGUUUUCCAUCCCUUUGCUGUCACUGAAAACAACCGAAACCUUUCCCCUUUUACUCUGAUUUGGCUUCCAGUUAUCGACUAGUAUUAGUAAUAGAACAAGUAUCAGAGAGAGAGAGAGAGAGAGAGGAAUGCCGCUAGGGAAGUAUUACUGCGACUAUUGCGAUAAGCAAUUUCCAGACACUCCUGCUGCUCGAAAACGCCACUUGCAGGGCCUCCAGCACCUCCGUGCCAAAGCUCAAUGGUUCCACUCCCAAAACGCCCAAGGUACUCUCUCACUCACUGCUUUUCUCCCAACUCCCCUACUUCCUGCUUUUUUAUUCACAUGCUUGUGAUUGCAGAUCUUUAUCAAACUUCGGUACCACCCUUUUCGAAAGGCGUCUGCAAUCGCUUCCUUAAUACAGUAAAUAUCCCUCUCUUCUCCUCUUGGAAUGCCAUUUUUGUUUCUUUUUUACUUCAAUCAUAUAAUAUUCAAGUGCACUUGGUUUUCCUGUUUUAGGGAUUUUGCCAGUACGGAGAUAACUGUAAAUACUUCCAUCCCAACAAUGAUUCUCGGACCCCAAAUCCUCCACUUUCAACUGCACCACCAGGUUUUUUUUUCUCCCUCUGUUUUAUUAAUUCAUAUUUGGUUAUGCAGUGCAAUGCAAGUAAGGAUGGGUUUUGUUUAUAUUGUUAUAGGUGGUGUAGAGGGAAAUGGAAAUGGUAUGACAAUAUCGUGGGGUAAUCUGCCUCCAUCCUUAAAGCCCCCACCUGAGGCUGGAUAUCCACCUCUUCCUUUUGUGGAUUGGGGAUAAACUCUCUCUCUCUCUCUCCCUUGCUCUGUUUCUAGACACCAAUUUCCUCAUUUAGUUUCUUCAUUUGUUAAAGCUGUAUCUUCUUGUUUAUAUUAUUAUUACAUAUUAGAUCACCCACUUUCAUUUCCCUGUUCUUCCUCCUUUUACAUUUCUUGUCAUCAUGAGUAUGUCAAUACCUUGAUAAUGGGAAUUCAUUAUAUUACACAACACAAUUGUCUAACAAAUCUAAAAGGUGAAGUGUUAUGGUUCAAUUGAUCCUUGGUUCAGUUUAGUUUGUGCAUUAUAGGAACAAAUGGUAAGAAUGCAAGUGAGAGUAUGAAUGUUGUAUGAUUAGGUGGCGGAAUUUUAGUAGACUUCCAAAGUCUAUCCAUAAGCUUCAGAGCUUACUGACAUUUAGAGAUUAUUUGAUGUUUCAAAGCUUCAAGUGCCUGUCUGAUCAACCUCGUAUUCGUAGAGGAAAUUCAACCUGGUAAUUGGAAUUCGCUUCAGUUCUUGCACUUCUUUGGUUGCUAAGGCAUUGAAAUAUUUUGUUUAAAGGGAUGCAAAACCUCUCGUCUCUUAAAUUUCUGGCUGAGUUGCUGUACAAGUCUGAAAUUAGAGGAAAUUGCAAUGGGAGGGAUCUCUGUCUGGGUUGCUCUUACCCAUUUGGAGGUCAUUGAAAUCUGGGAUUGCCCCAACUUUGAGGCACUGGUUUCAUAAGAUUUUAUUUUAUUUUAAUUAAUUUAUAAAAUGUUUAUAUAUUUAGGGUCUGUUUGAUUGCCAGUAAAAUAUUUUUCGUAAAAUGAUUUCUGGAAAAUAUUUUACUUUUCUGUAAAAUGAUUUACUGGAAAAUAUUUUUUGGUGUUUGAUUGAAUCUGUGUAAAAUAUUUUCUGCUGCUUGGCAGAUUUUUUGAAAAUAUUUUUCGGAAAAGUUAUUUUUACAUAUAUUAAUAUAUAUUAAUAAAUUUUUAUAUUUUAAAUUAUUUUUACAUAUAUUGCAAUGAUUUAUUUAUAAUAAUACUCAAUUAUUAAGUUACAAUAUUAAUCGUUAUAAAUUGAAAAAAACUAAUAUCAAAUAAAUUAUUUGUAAUUGUGUUAAAAAAUAAGUAUUGAAUAAUUAAAAAAACAAGUUACUGGAAAAUCGAUAAACAGAAGCAGUUUUCUACCGGAAAUGAAGGAAGGAAUGAAGGAGGUGAUAGAGAGGAGAGUACGCAAAAUGUCUUACGGAAAUUGAAAGGGUAAGACAUUUUCCCUAAAAUGUAACCCAUUUUCCUUUGUUUUAGAGUUCAUUUUCCAAAUGGAAAAUAUUUUCCGCCAAUCAAACGCUGGAAAAGUUAGAAAUGAUUUUCCGGAAAAUCAAUUCUAUCAAUCAAACAGACCAUUAGUUUAGAAUCCAUUUUGAUUAUAUGUAUGUAACAUGCCCCAGAAUUUUCUAAUUUCUUUUAAAUGAUGUAUAUUUGAAACAAGUUGAUUUUUAGAAGAUAUAUCUAAUUCAAUUAGAAAAAUAAGAAUAAAUUUUCAUUUUUUUUAUAUAUUUUUAGUUUUAAAGUUUUUAUCUACUUUUUUUAUACGAAAUAUUUAAAUGAUUUACAACAUAUUAUUUGAUGUAUUGAUUUUAGCUAUUUUACCACUUUAGUCUUUAAACUUACAUUGUUUGUUAAAUCACUCCAAAAUAAAUGGAAAAAUUAAUGUUUGUUAAUUUUGUUGAUAUGUCAUACACGUGACAUAUCAGUUAUUAAAUAAUUUUAAAAAUUUUAAAAAGUUCAAGUAUUAAAAUUUUAUAAAGUAUUAAAAUUGUUAAAAAAGUACAAAAAUAUUUUUUAAAUUUUUAGAAAAUUAAUUCAUUGUUAACACGUGACAAUCCACGUUUAUGUCAUAUCAGCAAAGUUAACAAACGUUAACUUUUUAUACAUUUUUGGGUGAUUUGACAAAUAAUGUAAGUUCAAGAGCUAAAAGAGGUAAAAAAAUUAAAUAGUGGACUAAAAUAACUUUCUUUUCUUGUAAAGAUAGAGGACCAAAUAAGUCAUUAUGCCAAAAAAAUAGAACUGAAAAAUCGAUUAAAAUUUGAUAAAUGUUAUAAAAUAAAGAGAGAUGGGGAGAAUAAAGAACAAAGAAAAUAUAAAAGUAACAAAGAAUGUACUUUAUUGAUCAAAAUGGGUGGUUACAAUGUUUCAUCAGUGUCUCUAUUUAUAGGCAUAAGAAGUAUAAAAGAAGUAGAGAUCUAAUUCUAAUAACUAUUAAAAUUUAAAGUAUACCAAAAUUUUAUCUUGAUCGUGAUGGACAUGCUCUUAAUAAGAUAUUCAUAAUACUCCCCAUUGGAUGUCCAUUGGUAAAUAAUGUGACUCAUUAAUACCUUAGGUAAAUAAUGUGCCUCAUUAAUACCUUAUUAGGAAAAACCCUAUGGGAUAAAAACCUAACGAGGGAAAAAGAGUACACAAUCUAUAAUACGUAUAAUAUGUUGCCUCAUUAAAAACCUUACCAGGAAAAUCCAAUGAGACAAAACCUCGGUUAAGGAAAAAAGAAUAUAACGCAUAUUUACUCUUCCUCAUGAAAACAUCACAUAUUUUCUCGUAUUCUACGUAUUCAAAACUUUAUUUUGAUCAUGGUGGACAUCCACUUAAUAAUAUAUUCAUAACAAUAAAAUCAUUUAUACUAUUAUUUAAUCCUGUAAUUGAAUUGUUGUCAUGAGUAAACUAGGUACCCAUUCAAUUAGUGCAAUUAUAAAAAUAUACGUUCAUAAUUAAAAUAAGUUAUAUUAUUCGAAAGCAUUUUCAUCUUUUUAAUUUUAAAAAACAAAUAAAAAUUUACAUGUGGUUAGAUUUGAACUCACGCUAUUUACAUAAAAGGUUAACAUGUAGUUUGCCCUUUAAACUUAUCCAAAAGUAUCUAGUUGGUACUUGAACUUUUUUACCUAGUUGGUACGGGUACCUAAACUUGUAUUCUGUCACCCAGGCUGGUACCUCCUCACUAACACUGUUAGUUUGUGUUGACAUGUACUGAUAGCCAAUAUAGUGGUGACACGUGGUAGCUUCUCAAUAUGGCAUGUGAUGAGCAUAAAUUUUAAAAAAAAACUUUAAAAUUAAAUUAAUUAAUAAAAAAGUAUAAAUUUUUAUCUAGGUUCAUCCUUGAUAUGAAUAAAAUUAUAUUUUUUAUUAAUUUAUAUAUUUUUAAAUUUAUAUCUACCACGUGGCAUACUGAGAGGUUGUCAUACGUCACCAAUAGAUUGGCUAUCAAUGCCACGUUAGCAUAAACUAACGGUGUUAUUGUAGAGGUAUCAACCUAGAUGACAGAAUACAAGUUUAGGUAUCAACUAAGUUCAAGUACCAACUAGGUACUUUUGGACAAGUUCAAUGGGUAAACUACAUAUUAACCCCUACAUCAACAAAACAUUUAACUUUACCAUUAAACCAAAGCUUUAUUGUAAUAUAAUUUUUACAUUUUAAUUGUAUUAUGCAUAUUAUUUUCCCAUCAAUUGUAUAUAUUGAUAAUAUUGUUAAGUGACUUGGUGUCACAAGUCAAAGCAACACUAGCUUAAUAUUGAUGACAACACUGUGAUAUUAUUUAUGUAACGACCCAAUUUUUAGUGGUAUCGAAAAAUGUGGUUUUGGGACCCCAUUUGCGUAACCCAAAUUCGUAAAUAUUAAAUAGGGAUAUUUAUGGAGUUAGUGUAUAGAUUAAUUAAAAUUUGGAUAAGUAAUUUAGCUGAAAUUGUGAUUAAUUAGACCUAGGGACUAAAUUGUAGAAGAUAUUGAUUAAUUGUGAUUAAUUGUGACUAAUUUGCGUAACCCAAAUCCGGUUUUAGGGACUAAAUUAAAUAAAUUAUAAAAUUUGUGUAAUUUGGUAUUUGAUUCUAAUUAGGCUAGAUAUUGAUUGUAUAAUAUGUUUUAUAAUUAUUUGUAGCUAAUGACAGUACCGAAUAGCUGAGAGGGAAAGGAAAAGCAAAAAUCAUUGACGAGUGAUGCAUGAAACCUUGAUUUGUACUUUUAUGAUUCAGGAUAGAAAUAUUUGAUUUCAUAUGCAUGUUUAUUGGUUGUUGAAUUAUUGAGGUGAGUUUAUUAUGAUAAUAUGAAAUAUUUUGAUUGAAUUUGAUAUGAAAUAUCAAGAUUAGAGAAUUAAAAUGAAUAAAAUAGGAAAUGAUAUGAAAUACUUAAAUUAUGAUAUGUGAUAUAAAAAUUAUAUCGAAAUAUAAUUUUUCAACUUAUUCUUUUGCCUAUCUAAAUAACUGUUUGAACAACUAUUGCACCAGAUUUAAUUUUCCACAAGUCAUUUUUCAACUUGAAAUAGUAAGGCCUAAUAUAACUAGCCUUCACACAAUAAUGGAAAACCAUUCUCCUUGUUUUAUUCCUCCCUUUCAUAUUGUUGCAAACAUGUUGCUGUCUAAGUGAUGUUCUGUUCAAUAUUGCAACAUUAGAUUGAACAGAUCUUAUUUUUCUCCACCUUUGAUCUUUCAUCAGCUUGUAACGAUAAGAUCUAAUAUGUUUGGCCUUUCCACAAUACUAACAAACAUAUUUUCUAUUAUUCUUUUUACUUGUCUUAAAAGAAGAAAUAACAACCAUAUUUUAUAUCUAAUAAAAUUCCUAGGAGAUAUAGGUUUCUUACCAAGUUCAAUUUGACCAAGUUCGAAUCUCCUGACAACAAAUAUCUCAUCACUUUGGCUUUCACAUUUCUUGAGAGUGGCUUCGACAUCAUUUAACUCUUACUCAUUUGUUUUCAAAGUUGCAUCUUUUUUUUUAUAUAGUUUUAUCAAGCAUUUCAUUAGCUUUUUUAAAAUCAACAAUCAUAUCAUAUCUUUUUUACCACAGUUUCAAGUCUUUAUUAUUUGGCUAAACACAUCCUUUAGGUUGAAAAAAACAUCAUUUUCAUUUUCUAAUUUAAUGCUUUAAUCACCAAUUGGACGUGUGAUAGAACCACCUUUCUUAUUGGACUUCAUUAUUGCAAACCGUAGUUUAGGAUCCCUUUCAAGUAUGUUUGAAGUCAAGCUCUGAUACCAAUUGCAAUAACCUCGAUUUGCUUUGUGUUCAAUUCGAUAUUCAGAUAGUAUGUUUAGACAAUAUGUUCAAACAAAUGUUAGAAUAGAACAUAGACAGUAUGCAAAUAAGAGAAUAAGAGAAACAAACACAAGAAAUUUAUUAACACAAUUCAGAUUCACCAAUCCUACUUUGCAAAACCUUACUUAGUAAAUGAUUUUAUUCAACAAUUGAUCUAGUAACCUAUUGACUAAAUCUCAAUGUACCCUUACACAAAGAAGUGAUUGUAGCCCCAAUAACUAACCCCGACUUGUUACAAAUCAUUCACCCAAAAAACCUCACAAUACAACUAGUAAAACUCUCCAAUAAGCCUACUAAAUGAGUGCAAAAAAUAAAAGGAAAAAUAAACUAAAUCAGCACAAGCAAUCUCCUAGCUUUCUCUUCAACAUGCAAAUUGAUGCCUAUUUAUAGGCCAAAUAAGGCAACCUUCAAGAUCAGAUUUUGUAGAGAUAAAUACUUCAAUUUGGUGCAUAAUAAUUCAAGAUAAAAGCCUCCAAAAAUUAUCCCAAAAUACAACCUUAUCAUUAAGUAAAAUCAUCAGCUUAACCAUAAAUAGCUUAAAGGAUAAAGAUAAAUAUAAGCAUUAUCCAAUAAGGCAAGUCGAUCAAAUCAUCCUUAAGCCACCAAUUUCGAUUAUCAUGGUUUGAGAUGGAUUACAAUACAUCUUGGAAUCCAUUUGCUUAUGGUAAAAUCAUGUGUAAAGGAUCUCGUGUCUGAACAAGUGUUUAAAUAGUUGUUUAAACAUGUUUGUUUGAACAAGAGUCGAGUCAUCAGUCUUGAAAAGCUUUGGUCUUAACAAGUUAGUCGACUAUUUUAAGUAAUUUACUUUUUAAAAUAUGUAUUUUUAAUUUUGGUGUGAAUUUUUCCUUUAAUUUUAUAAAAUUAUUAGAUUAUGGCAUGUUUAAUAUAGGUGAAUAUAUUUAUACAAAAUUCAUAUAAGAUUAAAACGAAGCUUUAGUUAAAUUAAUAAAAAAUCAAAUAUCUUGAUAAUAAUGAUUUGAUAUUACAUAUGCAUCUUUGUAUUUUUUUUAUAGUGAACAAAUAUGAUAUAUUUUUCUCCUUUUUAUCUUUUAAAUGUACAAAAAUAUCGAGGUUUAAAACAAUGUUAUUUUAAAUUAUUUUCAAAACCGAUGAACAGAACCAAGGGCAAAAUCAACAAAUUUUUUAGAGGCCAAAAUUUAAUUGUAAUUUUUAUGAUGGUAAAAAUUACAAUUUCAUCAUUGUGAUAGCCUAUAGCUUUAUAGUUUUUAAAUGAAUAAAUCCAAUUUUUAUAAUUUUAGAAGGACUAAAGUGUAAUUUUAUCUUUAUUAAUUUAAAAUAAAUGUCUAAAUGAAUUUUUCGAUUUUAGAGGAUUGGGCCUGUGACCCCUAGUUUCUCCAUGAAGAGAACCAUUGUCAACUCUAGCUUCCGAACAAAUUAUAUGAAAAGAACUAAAAUCUCUGAAAACAUAUAACACAGGGACCUAAUAUAGAAUUAGACCAAACUGAUAAAGGAAAUCAAGCUAGAAAACUGUAGGGGGAUUUACAUACUUGCAGCGAGUCAGCAAUUUUCUAUCUCGCAGUUUCCUCGGGACUUUCAUUUGAAAAAGAAAAAAGGAGUUCAUUACUUCUCUGCUUCAGCUACUCCUUGUAACGAUUUUUCUUUUCCUUUUCAAUUUGGUCCUUUCAAUUUUCUUGUUGGAUUUGAAGCAGUAAUCCUUUUCCGAAUCGUUGAAUUCCUCUGUGAAAAUUUCUGAUCGGUGUUUCAUCGCUCCGUUGAAGAAUGCCGUCGUCGCCACGAAAGAAUUAGUAAAACGGAAAACAAACGGAUAAAACUAGAAUGCGAACCAUUUGCGACGUCUGCGACAGCGCCGCCGCGAUCAUAUUCUGCGCCGCCGACGAGGCUGCUCUCUGCCGUUCCUGCGACGAAAAGGUCUAUUUUAUCAUUUCAUUGCCAUUUUAGUACAAUUAAUUGAUAUCCGCAUAUUUAUACACGUCUACGUAUAUAUGUAUACUUGAUGUACUCCAAAUUCUGUAUAUUCCUAAAUUAGCCGUAGUUUAUAUAUAUAAUUAUUUCUGAAAUUAAAUCAAUAAGGAAACUUUUUAUUGGGAGUUUUUAGGUUCACAUGUGUAACAAGCUUGCCAGCAGACAUGUCAGAGUUGGUUUAGCCGACCCCAGCAAUGUCCCACGCUGUGAUAUAUGUGAAAAUGCACCUGGUAUAUAUAUGUCCUUUUUAAUUGUAUAAUUAUUGUGUAAACUACAGUUUUUUGGAAAUUUGUUCAUUUGUUGAUAUUUUUGUACGUAGCUUUCUUUUACUGUGAAGUGGAUGGUAGUUCCCUUUGCCUGCAAUGUGAUAUGAUUGUACAUGUUGGAGGUAAAAGAACCCAUGGGAGGUAUCUCUUGUUGAGGCAGAGAGUUGAGGUUUGUCACUCUUUAGUAGGCAACAUUUUAUGUUUUCAUGUAAUUUUUGGAAAGCCUGCUAAAAUUCUUCCUUUGCUUGUAGUUUCCAGGGGAUAAGCCUGGUCGUUUGGAGGAACCAGGUUUACAACCGUUCAGUCCGAAUGAAGUAAGGAAGGAUCUGAAUCAGCAGUCAAAGCUUGCAGUGAGAGAGAACCGGCAAAACCAUGGAGUCUCUCAUGUUCCAUUGCAUGAUGAUAAUGCUAAGGCUGAUGGAGAGGUAGGAAAUGAGUUGAUUGAUCUAAAUGCCAGGCCACAACAGGUGCAGGGGCAAGCUUCGAUCAAUCAGGUAUCUUCGAUUGACUAGCUUUUUUCGUUCUUUGGACUUGAUUGAUGAGGUGACUGUUUUGUUUUUUAAGGAGCAAGCCAUGGAUGUUUCGAGUGGCAAUUAUCAUGACACUACUAGUGGGAUCCCUGAUGGAUCCUUCAAACAAGAGCCUGAAAAAUGAGCUAGGUAUAACUAUUAUCCCCUACUUAUACUGUUGACUUUGUUUAAGAGCAUUGCAACCAUGUGGCUCUAAGAUUUUUCUGUUUUUAUGUGCAUUUCUUGAUAAUUCAUUAUAGAUGCUCAUUAUGUAUUUGAAUCUGUGUGAUAUCAAAUUAAUGAAGUGUACAAAUAAUUAAUAGGAUUUCCCAAGCAGGUUGGCUUCCUUUCACACGACAUUGGUGCUUAGAUAUUAUUUUAAAAGACUUGUCUGGUUUUUCAAAGUAGAGCUUGACCUGCUGAGCAAUUCCUGAUUCUCAUAGUCAUAUGAGAAACAGAUGGAUCGGCAUCUAGUUGUUUAUGAAAUAUUAAACUACAGAGUAAGAAUGUCUAGGCUUUUCUAUUAGGGGCAAGUUCUGCGUUUUUGAGAGAAAUGGUAUCCUGUGCAAGUAAUCUUUAACCUUCAUGCACGUGGAAAGUCAGCUUCUGCUGGCCUAUCUGUCUCAUGGUUUGUUUCUCUUAUUUAGGCUCGUGUCGAACAAAACUAGUCCGUCUGGUUAUAGGUUUAUACAAAAACUAUAGUGCUAUCAUUUUCUACUGGCAAAAGGAUAUAAUUUUGAUGAAAAAGCAAUAAUGUUUUGUUACUGAAGUUGAUUGGUCCUUUGUUUGUGAUGAACUUCCCAUGGCUAAAGCUUCCUUUCUUUUAAGUCCAGAUAUUGGAUCAAUUUACACCUCAAGUUUUGUUGCUAUCAUGUCUGAGAUUUUCUUAAUAAAUCACACAACUACCAUGUUUGUUAGCUCAUUUUUAUCAGGGCAUUUGCUUUGAUUCAAGUCUAUGACAAUUAAGAGUAAGACAAACAACUGGGAAAUAUAGUCGCUUAAACAAGUAGUAACUGUUGCUAGGUCUACAAUUUCUCUUACGUUCCCCUCAAAACAUGCACACACAUAUAUGCACACACACAAACCUUUCUUUCUACUCCUUUGAUAAUUGAAUGAGGUUUCUUAUCAAAUAAUGUUGUCCAAAUUUUUGGCUGCUGUAGAUAUAGCUGGAUCAGUUUUCUCACAUCUAUGUAUUUAUUGAGUAAAGCGCUUGCCUUUGUCAGAUAUGUCUUCCUUCCCCAUGGAUUAGUCUCUGUCUAUUCAAUUCCUUUACACAAAUGAAAACUUUUGAAGAAAACUUUUACCCAUGUACCAAAAUCAACAUUCUUGCUUAACCGAAAAUAGUUGUGACAUUUAUGCUUGUUUGAAUUGCCAACUAUACAUCCUUUGUGAAUGACCAUUCAUUUAAAUUUCCUGAACAUUAUUGCUGGUGUUAGUAACUGUAUGAAAUUGAAUAACAAAGAAUAAUUUGGAAAAUAGAAUGAAUGACUGAAUAUUCUAGUAUUAUUAACUUGCUUGGAUCAGUACAACAAUAGGACUUAUAUACUUGAGUGAGACUAACUGCUGCUAACCAAUCUACUAACAAUAUGCCAGUCUGUAUAACAGAUUAAUAACAACCUAACGUAUUCUUAUACUCUAACAGCUGGUGAUUACAAUGACUAGUUGCCAUCAAAUUUUAAGUGGGAAAUAGAAGAGUAAUGGAGGGGAAAUUUUCACUUUUGAAAGGAAAAAUUCCCCCUCUUGUUUCUCCGGAAAAUUUCUUUUCUUUUUUGGUUCGAAUUUUGGGGCCGGAAGCAGAACAAGCAGUGGGAGACUAUGAAUCAUGUUGCUCUUACACCCCUUCUUAGUGGCAUCCAAUUUUACCUUUGUUUAACUUCCAUUAUGGCGUUUCUUCUACUUUUGCCACACUCCAAUAGCAGCUGAAUUUUUUUUGAUGGAAUCCAAUAAUAAGAUGGAGAAAUAUUAUGAAAAACACAGUUUAAUUGUGUAAGUAGAUCCGUCUAUGGAUUGGGUGCACUCAGGCACGUGUAAGUCUAUUUCAAUUUUUAUGCAUAAUGAUCCAUCCUCUUAAAGUUAAAAAUUCCUCGGAAAAUGGAUCGAUCAUUAAAAGAGAAUCUGUUUCUCUUAUAAUUUGAGCAAAUCAUUUCAUGUCCAAUUCUUGAUUCAUUUUUGAACGGAUUUUUUUAGUCCAACAUUUCCAAGCAGACAUCAUCAAGCAGGAUCGAGAAAUGGUAAUGCGGAAGUUAAUCAGAUCAGUUUACCCUAAUUUUUCGGUGGCUAAAAUGCAGAUUCAAGCUUGUUUUAGUAUUUAUGAUGAUGCAUUUAUAAGUAAUCUCAUCAGCAAGAAGUUUAUUUAACAGUACAUUGCAAUCCAGAACAAAAAGUAGUCUCCAGAGCCUAUAAAACAUUCAACACAAAGAGAAAGAAACCAUAUCAUGAAAUCUCCAUCAUCUCAGCUAAAGCUUUGUUUGCAGCAGCUUAGUAGACGUAGCCCUUUACGAACAUUCCUUUCUUGGCCUCUUCUGAUUCUCCCUCGCCGGUGUAUUUCCCGAGCUGAGCGAGUGAGUUGGCUUUGGCACGGACAAGGAGUGCAUCCUGAGCAGCCUUAACGUUCUCGGGUCUGCCUCCCCAUGUCUUCAAGCAAGUGUUCUGGAGAGCUCUGGCAUACGAGAACGAGACGUGCCAUGGGUUUGGAGAUUGGUUCAUUGCGUUCAAGUUGAGGGUUGCUUCAACCUCGGAUUGUCCGCCAGACAAGAACUGCACAACAGAAACGGUUUGUCCAAUCCGUUAGUACGGUUCAUUUUAUUAUUUCACAAUGCUUUCGUAUAGAAAAUGUACCAUGAUUCCAGGAACAGCUGGGGGGAUUCUCCUGUGGAGGAGCUUGAGGGUGUAAUCAGCAACUUGCUGUGGGGUGGCCUUGUCUUUGCAUUCAGCACCAGGAGUGACCAUGCUGGGCUUGAGAAGGAUGCCCUCAAACAUGACAUUGUUCUCAGCAAGGUAGAAGAAAACCUCAGCCCAAACCUUCUGCGCUACUUCGAAAGUCCUAUCAAUUCCAUGGUCACCAUCAAGCAAGAUUUCCGGCUCCACAAUCGGGACCAGUCCACUGUCCUGCAACACAAUGGCCACAAAAAUCACUUCUCGACAACAAGUAGCAUACACAUAAUGAUUGCUCCACAGCUUCAUCUAUCAACUUACUUGAGAAAUGGCGGCAUAGCGAGCAAGUCCCCAAGCUGCUUCUUUCACUGCCAAGGCAGAUGGACCAUUUGGAAUGCUCACAACAGUACGCCUGUCCGAUCAAAAAGAGCUAAUAGAGUUAUACAAGAAUCCUUUAUUUCAACACUGCAUAAUAUGGUUGAGAAGUCAUCGAACCAUUUGGCGAAACGAGCACCCUGCUGGUAGUAGGCAGCUGUGCGGGAUGAAAGACCGUCAAGACCUUGGCACCAUGACUCGUUGUUGGAACCAGGGAGUGGAACCAAACCCUGUUAUUUUGUUUACCAAAUCAUUCAGUUCCAAGUAUCCUCUAUAAAGAUAUGAAUUUGUGGGUGCUUUUUGGUUAAGCUUUAUACCUUGUCAACUUUGAUACCAGGGACAAUCUUUUGCUCAACAAGAACAUCGACCAUCUUUUUCCCAUCGAUGGUAGAUUGGUAGAGAGUCUCCUCGAAAAGGAUAGCUCCCGAGAUGUAGUCACCGAGGCCAGGGGCAGACACGAGAAGGGUACGGUAAGCUUGCCGGUUUGCCUCGGUAUUCUCGAGACCAAUCGAGGCAAGCCGUUUCCCACAUGUAGCAUUUGAUUCAUCCAUGGCCAGAAUACCACGACCUGGAGAUGCAACAGUUUUCUACAUCCAAACAAGAAAUAAUAUUUAAGCAUGCACGAGAUAAAAAUACGAUUCAAGACUACAUUAAUUCUAAUUAAGUACCGCGGUCUUAACAAGCUCAUCGGCAUAUGAACUAGCACGGACGGCAAAGGCGGCCGAUGUAGGGUGUGACCGUACAAAACAAACCGAAGGGUGGCGGAGGUUUUGGCCCUUAAUCCACUCGGACUUGUCGAUAAUAGGUGAAGACUUGAGGAGAGUAGCGGAAGCAGAAGCCAUUUUUCUUGGGCUUUGAGAGGGCUAAUCAAUGAAGCAAGUCGAAGGGGCUUUAUUAUGUUUAGUUUUUCACUAUAAUCUUAUCUCUUCAAUCCUGGCCUUCCUUCACCACACAUGCAAGUCUCACUCACUGGAUUUUAUACUUGCGUUUGUCUAUACUAUCACUAUACCAGAAGAUGUCGCAUUUGAGGCUGUCGUGCUCCGACCAAUGCCCUUGUGCCAUGUAGAUGAUAAUUUUGCACACUUGGCCGGGAUGCAUUCCGUGGUUGAUAUGGAUGAUUCUAUACUCACCUCGUAAAACAUUGUUUCAAAUAGGUUGAUUUUUUUCCCUUUUUUUCAAUUUGCUUUUAUUUUUUAUUUAAUUUAAAAAAAAUUUAAAGGUUUACUAUAACAUUUGUUACCUGAAUUUGACACUUUUUUCUAUUUUGGUACCUAAUUUUUUUGGUCCAAUUUGAUAUUCAAACUUGACUCAUUUUUCUAAUUUGAUACCUAAUCUUUUUUUGGUUCGAUUUGGUACUUGUCAAAUGUUUUACAAAUUACUCCAAUAUCUAACAAUGUUAUUCUUUUACAAGGUAGCAAAAAUAAUCAAUGUAUUUUAUAUGUUCAAUUACUUUUAGUUUUAUUUAAUUAAUUAUUUUAUUAAUUGAAAAUAAUGAAUUUCUUUUAAUUUGGAGUUUUUUAAAAUAUUUUUUUCUUAUUUAAUACUAAUUCAUUAACCAUAGUCAAAUAUCUAGUUUUUUAACAUGAAUUUCCUAUAACACUAAGGGCACGUUUGGUUCACUGUAUUGAAUUAGAGGUGUAUUGGAUUAGAGGUAUAAUGGAAUAGAGGUGUAAUGGAAUAGAUGUGUAAUAGCAAAUCAACUGUUUGGUUGAAUGUAAUGGAAUAGAGGCGUAAUAGUAAUCUUGUGUUUGGUUGAAUAGAAUAGAGGUGUAAUAGCAUAAUGGAAAAAACUAAAAUGACUAGAAUACCCUUAGCAUAAAUUUGUUUUGGUAUAUGAUUAUUGUUAUUGUUAUUUAAAUUUUAAUAAUAUUAUUAUUAUCAAUAAUAAAUAAUUUAAUCAUAUUUAAACAUAAUUAUUAUUAAAUAUAUUUUAAUUAAAAUAUAUAAUUUAAUAAAAUUCUUAAUAAUCAAUAUUCUUAUAUGAAUUUACUCAAAUCAUAAUAUAUGAUACUAUAAAAUAUAAAUUAACAUAAUUAUUAUUAAAUAUAUUAUAAUUAAAAUAUAUAAUUUAAUAAAAUUCUUAAUAAUUAAUAUUCUUAUAUGAAUUUACUAAAAUCAUAAUAUAUGAUACUAUAAAAGAUAAUUUGAAAUAAUUAAUAUUAAAUAUAUUUUAAUUAAAAUAUAUGAUUUAAUAAAAUUUAAAAUAAUUAUAACUAAUAAAUUAUCUUAUAUGAAUUUGUAUAAUUUAAAAUAAUUAUUAUUACAUAUAAUUUAAUAAUAAUAUAUAAUUUCAUAAAAUUCUUGAUAAUAAAUUUUCUUAUAUGAAUUUAUACAAUUUAAAAUAAUUAAUAUUAAAUAUAAUUUAAUAAUGAUAUAUAAUUUCAUAAAAUUCUUAAUAAUAAAAUGUUCUUAUAUGAAUUUACUAAAAUCAAAAUAUAACUUAAGAAUUAUAAUCUGCAUAAACACUCAAUCCGAGUUCCAAACAUACGUGCCAAGGAAGACGAUUAUUAAACGUGUCAUUGUAUUAUUUUGGCUUGUUUCAUGUUUAAGUUGAUAAGAGAAUUCUUGGACCGCCAAGAUUUACAUAAAUUAAGUAAAAUUUAGUUUCAACUGUAUCGGUUCAAAACAAGUAAGAUUUGCCAGUCCAUGCUUUGCUGGCUUUUAAGUUUAAAACAGAUGGCAUAUAGCUGACAAUUUUCAUCGAGGAAAACAAGUAGUCUGUUCUACCCAAAAUAUCUCAAGAGUUUUAAACAAAAGGUAGUUAGUUAGAUGUAAACACGCCUUUUCUGAAACCUACAAAUGUCAAUGGCUAGUUCUUAAUUACAAGCAGAUCAUCCUCCUUGCAUAUGGGCACCUAGUUCACCAAACUGAUCAUCAGCUUCCACAGUAUCCUCAGACAGGCGAACUGCAUCCAGCUUCUGUUUCAAGAUUUCUAUAGCAUUAAGAACCAACUGAGAAGCUUUGAUCGCACCAGUGGAUUCAACUGUAAAGAUGAAACUGUCUUCUUUGGCAUAUAUCUCCACAAGACCUGGCUUGCCCAUAGCUUCAGCUUUCUUUAGCACCUCAUCGUCAUAGGUAUACGCCUCUGGAUCAACCACCACAACCUGUUUUCAAGAUAAAAAUAGAAUUCAUAGUUAGCAGCGCCAACAGCAGCAGCAGUGAAAUAGCAUAACCUCCAAUUUUUGGCUCACAAUAUAGGGACUGAACGAAUGCACUCAACAUACAUGAAACAUAUGAUGCUCAAGCAAGUCAGAACAGCUAUCUACACAAAAUAUGAGGCAAAAAACAAAGCACUAAUCAAACGAACUAAUUCCGAAAUGCUCCAACACUCACUGCAAUAAUAGUCAGUAACAACAUUACGGUAUCAUUGGAGACUUCCUAUAGAAACAAGGUUUUCAAUACAGUAAUGGCAGCAGUAGCAAGCAGGCCCCAUUUAAAUGAAAGCAGAAAGAAAUGUAGUUUGACACCUCGUAUCUUUAGCUUUGAGAUAAACACAGGGUGGUAUUAACAGCCCUAAUACAAGGAGAAACACUCCAAUCCAGAAACCUAAACUGAAGCUCAAGUUCCAUCAAUAUCCUCAUGAUUCACAAAAGUAAAAGGCACAUAAGAGGAACUUUUGUAAGAAACAUAUAAAGACAAAAUGCUACUAAAACACAUCCACAUUUUAAGCUCAAGCAAACUAGAAACUCUAAAAGAAAAGACCUUGAUGACGUGCAAAGCAAUUCAAUCCUCCUAUUGGACAGACCAUAGAUGUAAUUAAUCAAAACUAGCAUUUGCUUUAACAAUCCAGAAGCUCUAGUGAUAGCCAACACAACCCAAAGCUUAAUCCCAAACAAUUUCUUUGUUAGAAUAGAUGUAAUGAUGUAGAAAGUAAAGGCAUAGCAUACCUGUUGGGUAUUUGGGUCAAUGUCAAAGAAUAAGAUCAUUGCUCUGCAUUUUAUGAAGUAUUGAUUAGACUUGGCAAUUAAUUAUAACGGCACAGCCCUUAUAGAACUCGGGAAGAUUGUGAAACUUGUAAACCUCGUUAACAGCCUGAAUUUGCUUAGUUAUCUGCGAGUUAAUUGCAACAAAGUAAAUGCCAUUUAUUUGGAAAUAAAAGAACAGUGGAAUAUAGAGGGAAAAGAAAAAGAACUGCAAGAUGAGCAUCCCGAUUUGUUCUACAUAAGAUAGCCAUCCUACUGAGAGCAGAUACGACUUAAAUACUUAAUUGUCAGGAAAUGAGAAUAGAACAAAUACCCGACCAGUAUGACAAACCAGUGCAAAAUAAACAUUAUUUAGAAGUUUUUAAAAUAUAAACAUCAUUCAAAUAUGGGCAUGAACUAUGAAGUAUGACUCUCCAAAUAUAUACAAGUGCCGAAUGUCAUUUAACUAUCCAAAGUAUGACUAGAUAUUGGAAAAGGUUCAACUAUCCAAAGGAAUUACAAUCAUGUCAAAUACUAUGAUAUAGGCAACCACUCAAUACAAUUUUUAAACUCGAAAACUGCAUUAACAUACGAGAAUCAAAAUCAGAUAGAACACGAAAUAGAACUCAAAUCUCAUUGACCAAAACAACAAACAAACGGGUAUAUUUUAGUUUAUGCAAAGUCAAUCAUCACUUAUUAACUAAUAUCAUUACAAAAGAAUAAAAUUACAAUGCUUUUCAGCCAGCUAUCCGAAAGAAACCACUAAAUGUUUACCUCAGACAUGUGAAGCAUGGCCAUUACCACCCAAUUCCACAACAGCCGACUUCUCUUUCACCAAACCAUCUUCUUCUUUAAUCCCACUAUCGAGAUCAUCAUCGGAAUCCAAAGUGAAAUUCCCCCCAUUACUAUCCAUUAGCUGUAUUUCAGCCCCUAAUGGCUUAUACCGCAAACCAUCCCCUGAAGCACCAACAACAACACCGUUUCGUUUGCCAAUAAGCGAUAACAUCCCAACAACCAGAACCACAAGCAAAGCAAGAUGGCAAUUGAAUUGCAAUGUGGCAAUAAACCUUGCUCUAUGAUAAUCAGGGUGACUUCUGCAUUUAAUAGUAUAAUUCCCUCUACUUUUUUCAUGUAAGCUACAUCUAUGAACCAUCAAAUUAGUGUAAAAUGAAAAUCCCAUUUGCACAAACCAUGUUCCGUGUAAAAUCAACCCAAUACCUCGUACCGAUUUCGAGUAAAUGGACCUAUUAGAUCUCAAUUCUAACAUUGUUGAAACCACACAAAUUGCUAUGGGAACACAUAAAAGAUCAAAAUAUCUAUACUCAAUCCCACUUGUAUCCUUUCUUUGCAAGUAAUACAACAAAAAUUCUUCAACAAAAGCUAAAAGCAGAACUAAUUCAAGAACAGGAUCAGGCCAAAAGUAUGAACCUUUCUUAUUAUUUAAAAGACCCAAAGCAGAGUAAAGCAAGAAGAGUAGAGCAAGUGAGAGCACUUGUAACUGGAGCACCGUCCCCACCCGAUCUUUUGAACUGAAAGCAUCAAAGAUUGAAACCACAGAAUUUAAGAAAAUCGAAAGGGAAAAGAUUGAUACAAAGAUGAAAGAUGGUGAAGAAGAAAAAUGGUUCUCUUUAGUUUUAGAAAUAGAGGCAGAUUUGAUCUGGGUUGAAAGUGAAGAAGAAAAUGGAGUUGGACUCGGGUUGAGGCAGAGGGUAAAACAUGGAGGGAAAACUGAAGAGGCAUCUAAUCUGGGCAAAAGAGAGGGAUUAGAAAUCGGUGGUUUUCACUGAUUAGAAAAGUAAUGUAUUACACGCGUAUUAACAAUACAUUGAACCAAACGACGAAAUAAAGAGGGAUUAGUGAGGCCCACCGAUUAGGGGUGUAUUGGCUAUGCCAAUACACCCAACCAAACAAGGCAUACAAUAUUUUUAUAGCAUAACCAAAAAAAUUUUAACACCGUUAGUGCUUUGCAUAAUUUGUAUAACAUUUAAUAAAUUUAGGUACUAAAUUGAACCUAAAAAAAACUUAGGUACCAAAUUAGGAAAAAAUGUCAGGUUCAGGUGCCAAAUUGGGCCCAAAAAAAUUUAGGGACCAAAUUAGGGAAAAAAAAUGUAAAAUUUAGGUUCCAAAUGUUACAUUAAGGCGAAAUUAAAAUAUCAUUCAUUCUGUGUUGUAGCUACUUUUUCCAACAAUAUAUUUUUAAAGUUUGAUCGUAAAUUUUGUCUAAAAGUACAAUAUGCCUUACUAUUACAUUUAAUAUUUGUUCAUAAAGCCAAAAUGUAAUUAAUAAUAUUAUUAACAGGUUUCUUUUUUUUCUUUUUUUCUUUGAAUAAUAUUAACAGGUUUCUAUUAAACUAGAAUAUGUGGCAUUUUAAAUGGGAUGAUUGAGUCGAUUAUAUUGAUAAUAAACUUAAGUGGAUAAAAAUUUGAAAAGUAUAAAAAUUGGAGGGUUAAAAUAUGUAAUAUAGUUGCUGUACUUUUUGAAAAUUAAGAAUUUAGUCAUUGUAUUUGUAUUUUCAAAUUUUAAAAUUUAAGUCAAUCUGCUAACACUAGACUUGAUCAUUGGUCAAGCUGAGUUCGGGCCAAGUCAAUGUAGAAAUUUAGGUCUGGACUCGGCCCGAAAAAUAGACUUAAAAUUCUAUUCAAAUCUGACUCAAAUUAAAUAUGUUAAACUCAAGCCCGACACGACUUAUCCUAUUAAAAUUUUUAGAUUAUUUUUUAUAUUUAAAAAUAUAAUACACCAAAUUCACUAAAAAUAUUAAAAUCAGAAAAAAUAACAACCGAAAUUAGACAUUUGAUGGUUUUAGUUUUGGGUUACAAAAUUCAUCAAUUUAUAGCAACAAAAAGGAUGUGGUGUUAAGUUUAUUACAUUGACUAGUAACAAAAUUAGUCUUUAAAAAUGAAUACCUAACCUUAAAUAUUAAUUUGUUAGUUAGGUUGUUUUUACACACUAACCUCUCCAAAGCUGGUUUGGAAAUUCAUCGCUCAAAUAAAUAUUAAUUAAAUAUCGUGGUUUUUUUUUAGAAAACGGGUUUUAAUUUUUAUUCAAGUUUAUUUUUUAAUUUUAUAUUUUUGUUUAAACUUUCUCAUUUUCAAGUGGGUCUUCGGGCCUAAACGGAUGGUUCAACUCAUGAUCAGGUCUAAUUAAUACCGUUAACUUUCUUUGUUAAAUUUGUUGCAAUGACAUUUUGAAAUAAUAAUAAAAACCACUUGAUAGCCAUGUAAAUAAAAACAACAUGUUGUAAUUAACUUGAAUUUAACAAAAACAAAAAUGGUAUUAACAGUUAGACCUGAAUUUUGAAAUCUGAAAAGUAGAUGACUAAAUUCCUGGAAAUACAAGUACAAUGAAUAAAUUCCUAAGUUUUGAAAGUACAGGGACUAUAUGGAUAAUUUAACCAAAUUAGACAUUUCAAAUAAUACGGCAUAUUGAAGAGUACAAAUGCAUGAUAUUCAGAAAGGAGUUUAGAGUGUGGGUAAAAGAGAGAUUCCUUCUCAACUGAAAGUAACCAAAUAUGAGGUUCUAAAUUUGUGCAGAUUAAUGGCUGUGGUUUUGAAGUUAAGCCCCCACAUCGGACGGUUGACAGAAUGCCAUCCCUUGAGAUUUUUCUUUCAUGAGGACCUUGGAGAAUGGAGCCAAAAGCAUAUGAUAUGAAGCGUGGCUAAGAUUCAUGAAAACUGGGCUUCUGUUUGCAUUUGUGGCCAACUGCAACGCCUAUAAGAAUUAACCAAAAACCCCUGAUUCUGAUAAUGACUGCCGAAAAUUUUCAAACAAAAAACGAUCGGAAAAAAUGAAAAAAUUUCCGUUGCCGGGACUUGAACCCGGGUCUCUCGGGUGAGAGCCGAGUAUCCUAACCACCUAGACUACAACGGAAUCUUGUUUGUUAAUUUGAAUAAGAUAAUUUAAGCCAUUUAUUUAUUAAGUUGCUAUUGAACUUCCUACAGUAUUCCGGAUUUUUAGUAUUUUUUUCUCACCCAUAUAUAAAAAGUUACAAAGAAUCAAUAAAUUUAUCAAUUUAUAACCUUUUGGUUACUUGUCUCUUAACUCAAUAUGACAUAGAUAGGCUUAAUAGCUAAUUUGGUCCCUAAACUAUAACUAAAAUAUUAAUUUCAUACUUUCCUGAAGUGUGAUAUGAUUGUACAUGUUGGAGGUAGAAGGACCUAUGGGAGGUAUCUCUUGUUGAGGCAGAGAGUUGACGUUUGUCAUUCUUUAGCAGGCAACAUUUUAUGUUUGUUUGUAAUUUUGGAAAGCCUGCUAAAAUUCUUUCCUUUGCUUGUAGUUUCCAGGGGAUAAGCCUGGUCGUUUGGAGGAACCAGGUUUACAACCGCUCAGUCCGAAUGAAGUAAGGAAGGAUCUGAAUCAGCAGUCAAAGCUUGCAGUGAGAGAGAACCGGCAAAACCAUGGAGUCUCUCGUGUUCAAUUGCUUGAAGAUAAUGCUAAGGGUGAUAGAAAGGUAGGAAAUGAGUUGAUUGAUCUAAAUGCCAAGCCACAACGGGUGCAGGUGCAAGCUUCAAUCAAUCAGGUAUUGUCGUUUGACUAGCUUUUUUCGUUCUUAAACUUGAAUGCUAAGCAGUGUAGUAAGAUGUUCUUUUAGAACUUAAUUAACGAGGUGACUGUUUCGUGUUUAAGAAGCAAGCCAUGGAUGUUUCGAGUGGCAAUAAUCAUGACUCUACAAGUGUGGUCCCUGUUGGAUGCUUCAAACGAGAGCCUGAAAAAUGAGCUAGGUAUAACUAUUAUCACCUACGUAUAGUUUACUUCUUUUAAGAGCAUUGUAACCAUUUGGCUCUAAGAAUUUUCUGUUUUUAUGUUCAUUUCUUGAUACUUCAUUAUAGAUGCUCGUUACGUAUUUGAUAUCAAAUUAGUAAAGUGUAGAAAUAAUUAAUAGGAUUUCCCAAGAAGGUAGGCUUCCUUUCACAUGACAUUGGUGCUUAGAUAGCAUUUUACAAGACUUGUCUGGUUUUUCAAAGUAGAGCUUGACCUGCUGAGCAGUUCCUCACUCCCAUAGUCAUAUGAGAAACAGAUGGAUCGGCAUCUAGUUGUUUAUGAAUCAUUAAACUAUAGAGUAAGAAUGUCUAGGCUUUUGUAUUAGGGGCAAGUUCUGCUAACGUUUUUGAGAGAAAUGGUAUACGGUGCAAGUAACCUUUAAUCUUCAUGCAUAUGGCUAGACUGCUAAAUAACUUUUGAUCCCAAAAGAUGGUAACAUGGCGGCUUCUGCUUGCCUAUCUAUCUCAUGGUUUCUCUCUCUUACUUUAGGCUCGUGUAGAACAAAACUAUCCGGCUGGUUCUAAGGUUACUCUUACGUUCCCCUCAAAAUAUGCACACACACACACAUGCGCUCACGAACAGCUAACCAUUCUUUCUACUCCUUUGAUAAUUGAAUGAGGUUUCUUAUCAGAUAAUGUUGUCCAUCAAUGUUUGGCUGCAGAUACAGCUGAAUCAGUUCUCGCAUAUCUAUGUAUUUAACGAGUGAAGCGCUUGCCUUUGUUAGAUACGUCUUCCUUCCCCAUGGAUUAGUCAUUAUUACCGGUGAAUUAGAAUGACUAGUUGCCAUCAAAUUGUAAGUGGGAAAUAGAAGAAUAAUGGUGAGGAAAUUUUAACUUUUGAAAGGAAAAAAUUCCCCUGCUUGUUUCUCCGGAAAAUGUCUAUCUUUUUUCUGGUCGAAUUUUGGGCCUGAAAGCAGAACAAGCAGUGGGAGAGUAUGAAUCAUGUUGCUCUUCCACCCCUUCUUAGUGGCAUCCGUUUUACCUUUGCUUAACUUCCAUUAUGGUGUUUCUUCUAUUUUUGCCACACUCAAAUAGCAGCUGAAAUUUUUUUGGAUGGAAUCCAAUAAUAAGAUGGAGGAAUGUUGUGAAAAAUACAGUUUAACUGUGUAAGUAGAUCUCUCUAUAGGUUGGGUCGGAUUCAGUCAAGCACUCAGGCAUGUGUAAGUCUAUUUCAAUUUUAAUGCUUAAGGAUCCUAAGUUAAACAAUUGGUUUAACUCCACGGAAAAUGGAUAGUAAAAGAGAACAUCUCACGUCCAAUUCGCCUAAUAUUUUUGCUUAAACUUGUUUUUCCAGUCCAACAUUUCCAAGCAGACAGUUUAGAACAACGUCGAGCAGGAUUGAGAAAUGAUAAUCCGGAAGUUAAUCAUAUCAGUCUACUCUAAUUUUUUUUAUCAUUAAAAUGCAGAUUCAAGCUUGUUUUAGUAUUUGUGAUGAUGCCAUUUAUGAGUACCCUCAUCGGCAAGAAGUUUAUUAACUAACAGUACAUUGCAAUCCAGAACAAAAACUAGUCUCCAGGGUCUAUAGAACAUUAAACACAAUGAGAAUGAAAGAGAAACCAUAUCAUGAAAUCUCCAUCAUCUCAGCUAAGCUUUGUUUGCAGCAGCUUAGUAGACAUAUCCCUUUACGAACAUUCCUUUCUUGGCCUCCUCUGAUUCUCCCUCGCCGGUGUAUUUGCCGAGCUGAGCAAGUGAGUUGGCCUUAGCACGGACAAGAAGUGAAUCCUGAGCAGCCUUAACGUUCUCAGGUCUGCCUCCCCAUGUCUUCAAGCAAGUGUUCUGGAGAGCUCUGGCAUACGAGAACGAGACGUGCCAUGGGUUUGGAGAUUGGUUCAUUGCGUUCAAGUUGAGGGUUGCUUCAACCUCGGAUUGUCCGCCAGACAAGAACUGCACAACAGAAACGGUUUGUCCAAUCCGUUAGUACAGUUCAUUUUAUUAUUUUACAAUGCUUUCGUAUAGAAAAUGUACCAUGAUUCCAGGGACAGCUGGGGGGAUUCUCCUGUGGAGGAGCUUGAGGGUGUAAUCAGCAACUUGCUGUGGGGUGGCCUUGUCUUUGCAUUCAGCACCAGGAGUGACCAUGCUGGGCUUGAGAAGGAUGCCCUCAAACAUGACAUUGUUCUCAGCAAGGUAGAAGAAAACCUCAGCCCAAACCUUCUGCGCUACUUCGAAAGUCCUAUCAAUUCCAUGGUCACCAUCAAGCAAGAUUUCCGGCUCCACAAUCGGGACCAGUCCACUGUCCUGCAACACAAUGGCCACAAAAAUCACUUCUCGACAACAAGUAGCAUACACAUAAUGAUUACUCCACAGCUUCAUCUAUCAACUUACUUGAGAAAUGGCGGCAUAGCGAGCAAGUCCCCAAGCUGCUUCUUUCACUGCCAAGGCAGAUGGACCAUUUGGAAUGCUCACAACGGUACGCCUGUCCGAUCAAAAAGAGCUAAUAGUGUUAUACAAGAAUCCUUUAUUUCAACACUGCAUAAUAUGGUUGAGAAGUCAUCGAACCAUUUGGCGAAACGAGCACCCUGCUGGUAGUAGGCAGCUGUGCGGGAUGAAAGACCGUCAAGACCUUGGCACCAUGACUCGUUGUUGGAACCAGGGAGUGGAACCAAACCCUGUUAUUUUGUUUACCAAAUCAUUCAGUUCCAAGUAUCCUCUAUAAAGAUAUGAAUGUGGGUGCUUUUUGGUUAAGCUUUAUACCUUGUCAACUUUGAUACCAGGGACAAUCUUUUGCUCAACAAGAACAUCGACCAUCUUUUUCCCAUCGAUGGUAGAUUGGUAGAGAGUCUCCUCGAAAAGGAUAGCUCCCGAGAUGUAGUCACCGAGGCCAGGGGCAGACACGAGAAGGGUACGGUAAGCUUGCCGGUUUGCCUCUGUAUUCUCGAGACCAAUCGAGGCAAGCCGUUUCCCACAUGUAGCAUUUGAUUCAUCCAUGGCCAAAAUACCACGACCUGGAGAUGCAACAGUUUUCUACAUCCAAACAAAGAAAUAAUAUUUGAGCAUGCAUGAGAUAAAAAUACGAUUCAAGACUACAUUAAUUCUAAUUAAGUACAUACCGCGGUCUUAACAAGCUCAUCGGCAUAUGAACUAGCACGGACGGUAAAGGCGGCCGAUGUAGGGUUGCACUGUACAAAACAAACCGAAGGGUGGCGGAGGUUUUGACCCUUAAUCCACUCGGACUUGUCGAUAAUAGGUGAAGACUUGAGGAGAGUAGCGGAAGCAGAAGCCAUUUUUCUUUUUGGUUAUGUUAUCUUUGGGCUAAUCAAUGAAGCAAGUCGAAGAAUGUUAUGAGGGACUUUAUUAUGUUUAGUUUUUCACUAUAAUCUUAUCUCUUCAAUGUUGGCCUUCCUUCACCACACAUGCAAGUCUCACUCACUGGAUUUUAUACUUGUGUUUGUCUAUAUCACCCUAUCAUAAGAUGUCACAUUUGAGGCUGUCGUGCUUUGACCAAUGCCGUCAUGCCAUGUAGAUGAUAAUUUUGCACACUUGGCGGGGAUGCAUUCGUGGUUGAUAAAAACAUUGUUUCAUAUGCGUUGAGUCAUUUUACUUUAUUAUCUAUUUUUUAUUUAGAAUAAAAAAUUUUUACCAUAAUUCAUUUUGAACAUAAAUUCAUGGUUAUUUCUCUUAAUAAUAUCGUUUUCAAGAUUUGAACUUCAAUUAUCUCUUUAAGAGUGUAAUGUGAUUUAUCACUAAACUCAACACUCGUUAGUAAAAUCAAAAUGCAAUUAAUAACAUUGUUAAUAGGUUUCUAUUAAACUUGAAUAUAUAUCGUUUUAAUAUUUAAUUAAGACCAUAAUCAAUUAAAACAAUAAAACACUACAUUCAAUAAGAAACAAUGACACACCUAAUUAACUAUGAUUGGAUUUGAUGAAUGGGUUGGUCAGUUAAAGUACUUGUAAAUUUAGUGGAUAAACCUAAUUCGAAGAGUAUAAAGAUUGAGGACAUAAACAUUUGAAAUUGUAGUGGAUAAACAUGUGUAAGUAACAAACAAGUAAAUUAAGGAAGAAAUUAAAAAGAUCGAAUACACAAAUUUUAUGUGAAAAUUUUCUCUGAAGAAGAUAAAAAAUCAGGAGUAAAGGGAUAUUUCACUAAUAAGAUAAAAAUAUAAGAUAGAGAGAGUCAAAAUAAAGAAAAUUUGAAACCCUGAAAGAAAAAUAUUCUGUACUAAAACACAGAAUUCUCUCUUAACUAUGCUAUUUUCUGCAUCUAAAUCUAAUUCACACACUAAUCUCGGUGGCUCUAAGGUGACUUAUAUAGUGUACAUGUUACUUGGUGUCCACUUAUCCUAGAUACAUUUUAGCUACUAAUUAAUGUAAUAUACUAUUAAAUGCUUAGUGUCUAAUUAGGAAGUAAUCCAAAAAUUGUCAUCCAAUGAAUUAGCUACAUAUUUUCAUAUCUCGGCAUGAUGACAGUUGCUUGUUGCGGCAUCGUGUUCUCUCAUUACGACGUCACUCUCUGUUUUGGUCUGAAAUACAAGGCAUAGUCCACAUAAAUAAUAAAGCAUAUUUAUACGAAAAAAAAAACAGAUUUUUUCUUUCCUUGUGAUGUAGUAAGAGUACAAGAACAUCAUAUUCACAAUGCAGUUUGCAGUGCGUACGUAAAUUAGAGGUGUUGGAAAGAUUCCUUCUGAAACUAAACAAACAUGAGGUUCUAAAAUUUGUGCAGAUUAAUGGCUGUGGUUUUAAGUACAGGGUCUUGAAGUUAAGCCCCUACAUAGGACGGUUGAGAGAAUGCCAUCCCUUGAGAUUUUUCUUUCAUGAGGACCUUGGAGAAUGGAGCCGAAAACAUAUGAUAUGACGUGUGGCUAAGAUUCAUGGAAACUGGGAUUCUGUUUGCAUUUGUGGCCAACU